GUUUGAGGUGGUCAAGCUAAAGAGCCCCUAUCAUGCGUUGUUUGGGCGACCGGCUUAUGCCCGUUUCAUGGCUCGCCCUUGCUAUGUUUACCUUAAACUCAAGAUGCCCGGUCCUGAGGGACCCAUCACGGUUGAUGGUGACAGGAGGAUCGCAAGAGAGUGUGAAGAAGGGGAUGUGGCUUACGCAAAAGUCGCCUGCGCUGCGGAAGAGCUCAAAUAUCACCAGGCCAAUGUUGAUCUAGCUAACAUGUCACCUCUAAAGAAGCCAACAACAGACGCUGAGCCGCCCCUCAAGUUCAAACCAACGGACGACACUAAGAUAGCGGAUUUCGUCCCUGGCGACUCAACCAAGCAGUUCACUAUCGGGGUGGGUCUGGACCCUAAAUAGGAAAGCGCGCUCAUCGAAUUCAUUCGUGAGAAUCGGGACAUCUUCGCAUGAAAACCUUCUGACAUGCCUGGUGUACCGAGAGAAUUCGCUGAGCACCAUCUUAAUGUUGACCCGAAAGCAAAACCGAUUCAGCAAUAUCUUCGCAGGUUCAAUGAGGAACGGCAUAAGGCAAUCGGGGAAGAAGUCGCCCGUCUUUUGGCUGUCGGGUUCAUCGUAGAAGUCUUCCACCCCCAAAUGGUUGGCUAACCCGGUCCUCGUGCUCAAGAAGAACGACACCUUCUGCAUGUGCAUUGAUUACACAAAUCUUAACAGAGCCUGUCCAAAGGACCCUUUCGCCCUUCCCCGUAUCGAUCAAAUCAUUGAUUCAGUGGCGGGUUGCGAGCGUUUGUGUUUCCUGGACGCUUAUUCUGGGUAUCACCAAAUCAAGAUGGUUGUGGAAGAUCAGGAGAAAACAGCUUUUAUAACCCCCUUCGGGGCUUUUUGCUAUGUGUCCAUGCCGUUUGGGCUCAAAAGCGCUGGGGCGACUUACCAGCGUUGCAUCCAAAAUUGUCUCCGUGGUCAAAUCGGACGCAACGUCCACACUUACGUCGACGACAUUGUGGUCAAAACUCACAGGAAGGAGACGCUCUUGGAAGAUCUAAGGGAAACUUUUGACAAUCUGCGGGUAUAUCAGAUGAAGCUUAAUCCCACCAAGUGUGUCUAUGGCGUUCCUGCAGGAAAAUUGUUGGGUUUCCUGGUAUCUGAACGCGGCAUUGAAGCCAACCCGGACAAAAUCGAGGCGAUUACUUCGCUUGGGAAACCAGCAAAUAUCAAUCAAGUUCAAUGGAUGGCGGGUCGUAUCGCAGCUUUAAGUCGCUUCAUAAUCCGCCUGGGAGAAAAAGCUAUUCCCCUUUAUCAAUUUCUUAAGAAAUCUGACCGUUUUGUUUGGACAGACAAGGCCAAUGAAGCUUUUGAAGCCUUGAAGCAGCAACUGGUCAACCCGUCGGUUUUGGCCGCCCCGACUGAAAAGGAGCCUAUGCUUCUGUAUAUUGCGGCAAACUCCAAAGCGGUGAGCGUGGCAGUGGUCGUCGAAAGGAAGGAAGAAGGGAAGGAAUAUCCGGUGCAACGCCCGGUGUAUUUCAUUAGUGAGGUGCUAACUCUCUCCAAGCAACGAUACCCGCACUGGCAGAAGUUGGUCUAUGGGGUCUUUAUGGCAAGUCGGAAGCUCAAACACUAUUUCCAAGAGCAUCCCAUCACGGUGGUUAGCUCCGCUCACCUCGGAGACAUCAUCCAGAAUCGAGAGGCGACAGGGCGAAUUGCCAAGUGGGCGAUCGAACUUGGGCCACACCACGUGCGAUACACCCCUCGCAUGGCUAUCAAGUCUCAGGCCUUGGUUGAUUUCGUCAACGAUUGGACCGAGUUACAGAUCCCGAAAGACAGGCCCGACCUUACGUACUGGACUAUUUAUUUUGACGGGUCUAGGCAAUUGGAAGGCUCGGGGGCUGGCGUGGUGCUGAUUUCACCCCAGGGAGACAAAUUCUGCUAUGUUCUCCGACUCAUGUUUCCAUGUACCAACAACGCUGCAGAAUACGAAGCCUUACUUCAUGGUUUACGACUCGCCAAGGAGAUGAAUCUCAUGCGGGUCAGAUGUUUCGGCGAUUCUGAUCUGGUGGCUCAGCAAGUUUCAGGUACUUGGGUGUGACAACCCGAGACCGACGCCCCAGAAGAUUCCCCUUCUAUUCCGUUUUCGUCGUGUGUCUAUUUACUUUUCUUGCAUCAUCAUCGCAUAAUGCGCAUCAUCUGCAUUGCAUCAGCAUCUCCGUUGCCGCCAGUUUUCAAAGUUGCAUCCGUUGUUAGUUACCGGUUCUCGUCGUUGUCCGUUCUGAGCCCGACCGCACUCGCACGCGCCCGCGACAUCGUUUAAAUCUUGUUUUCGAAAGUGUGCCUUAAAAUUUCUUUGAUCAGGCUGAAACUUGGCAUGCGGUCGUAAUUAGUUAUAGCCAGGCCGCCUGUCGAAUUUCGUCGCGAUCGGACUUCGUCUGGUACCCGAACGGUCGACCUUAGCGGCACCAUCUUCGGUCUACCGUCGGACGUUCGUCGGUAUUUUAAAACUCGUUGUCGCGCCGCCCGUUUUCCCUCUCGUCUCCGGUAAACCACUCUUCACAGCCACUCGACCGUCCCGCGUUCAGUUUUAGUCGAAUCCGACCCCGCGGUUGUAUCCGGAACGGGAUUCCGGUUAACCUAGCCCCCCCCCUUUUGCCUAUAAAUAGACCCGCAUGUAUUUUUUUAGUUGCCCCUCUCAUCUGCCUCGAAAACCGUGCACACACCAAACCCUAGCCGUAGCCUCCUCCCACCUCCUCCUCGCACCAUCGGGCCCGCGAGCCCAUGCGAGCCCCGCCGAGCCCAUUCGGCCGCCGCCCCCGUUCUCCUCCCUGCCCGAGCUCCUCCCGCUUGCGCCGCCGCCAAGCCAUCUGCGCCACCAACCUCGCCGCCCGCGCCUCGCCGGAGAGCCCCGCCGGACCGAGGCCGGAGCUCCCUCCACUCUCCUCUCUUCUCCUCUCUUCUUCUCUCCCUCACCCGGAUCUCUCUCUCCCCGCAGGUCGUCGCGCCAUGGUCGGAGUUCGUCGAAGCUCCCCGAAGGCCGGCCGCCGCCGGGAAUGGAACCCUGACGGCCGGAUCCGUCCAGCCCGCUGGGAUCCGGCCUCCCCUCGCCCCCCGCCGCCGGGAUAUGGCCUCCCCUGCCCCGCCGUCGGCACGUGCUACUGCGCCGCCAGAGGUGCGUGCCCGUGAGGAGGACGACGCCCGUCGCAGCGCCCAACCGCCUCGGCAGCUCCUCGGCCGCGCAGAAGGAGCCAGGCCGAGUCAGCCCAGGCCAGGGUGCCCCUCCACGCCCAGCUAGCUCCAUCCCCCUCAGCCCACAGCACCAGGCCGACCUCUAGCCCAAGGUGAGCCGAGCUCUAUUCCCCGCCCAAGCAGAUGUUAUCUAAGCCUCGCCCAUGCGUGUGUAGCCCAUGAUAAAUAGAUUAGGCCCGGUUAGAUAAUUUAGGUAUUUUUGGAAUUUAAUAAAAUUUCAGAAAAUAGACGACUUUAAAACGUUCGUAAGUUUUUAACCGUAAGUCGGAUCGCGACAUGUAGCAUAUGGAUUUCGUGUAGUUCUGUGCGUAUAUUACGUUGGUGCAACUUGCAUAAUAGUUUGACGUUGUUUGAUGUAUCGAAUGCAUAGGUUAGCGUGCUGUUCCAACAGGAUAGUGCCCGUAUUUAUUUUUCACGCGUGCCCGGAUUGCUCGGAUGCCUUAGAUAAAAUGCCAUGUUUUAGGAACCACUUUUCCAUGUAUUUUAGAGCAGUCAUUUAUAUUUUUGCGUGUAGCGAUUUGCGCUAGUUUAUUUUUCCGUGUCUAGGUUAUUUUCUCGCAUUUUCGUGUGGUAUUAUUUUGUUGUGCAACCCCACAUAUUUUAUAUCUUUUCGGGGCUGUGCAAAUAGUUUUAGCUCUAGAGUAAGUUAGUUCGCGCGAUAUUUUGCUAUGUUGCCCUUUUGUUUAAUUCGUAGGAUUUAUUUCGUGCUUCGUUUGACGGAGUUGUCAACUAGAGAGUUGAUCUUUGAUGUUUAGUCUAGCCCCUGGUAUUUUGGUUGCAAUAGAAAUGCAUGUUUAGGUGUGGUUUGCUUGCUCUCAAGUUGCUAGAAAUAGUGCUGAUUUGGAGGUGCUGAAAUAUUUCUAAGUCUGGAAUCUGUUAUUUUUUGUUGUUGUUUUGUUUUGCUUCUAUCUUGUGAUCUGUAGCUCUUUUGAGGUUGGUCCAAUGGAGUUAGUUGUAGCCCUUGUGUUUCUAUAGCACGCUGUGAAUUUUCAUGCCAUUUGGAGUCCUGUAGCUUAUGGUUUUACUGCUGUCAAUAUGCCUUCAGAUCGAAAACUGCAGCUUCAAAAACUGCUAUUUUCACUAAGUUUGAAAUAGUGUGUGGGAAGCCAUUUUGUGACUUCUUUUCCUAGUGUUCCUUGCUGUCAUGCUAGUUGUUGUUAGUUGUUUGUAGUAGUGCUUCUUGCCCUCUUUCGUGUCAUGCCUUGCUUGAGUUUAUUUGAGUUGAGUAGCUCGUAGUUAUGGGGUGUAGAAGAUGCUAUGUGGCUGAUUUUGGCAGAUUGUAGUGAUAUCUUGUUUUGCUCGUAGUUGUUGAACCGUAGCUUCGAUUUGAUCGUGUCCUACAUGGAACUUGCUUAGAAUCUCGUGUAGUUUCAUUUUCUCUUACUGGUUGUAUGUUUUGAAGUGCUCGUGACCGUCGUUGCACACAUAUUGCAUUCAUGCCAUCAUAUCUUGCGAUGCUUGUAUCUUUUGAACCGUAGCUCCGUUGGAGAAGUUCUCUAUGUGUAGAUUGCUUGAAAUGACGCGUAGAAUCACGUGAACCUAUUUGUUUUGCUGUUUAACAACUAAUAAAAUGUGUUAGUUCAGAUUUGGACAGAAUUGUAAAUUAACAUGUGAGGUCGUUUCGGAGGUGCUAUAUGUCAUUUCCGACCUCAUUUAAAAUGCCUAGAUAGGUAGUUUAAUCACGCUUCACCUCUUGCCAUGUUUAAUCACAUUUAAUAUUGCCGUGUAUCUAUGGGAUAGAACUAAAUAAUUAAACGAUGGAGUUUCGUCAAUAUGCAAUACGUUGCAUAAUGAACUUCACUUAAUGUGUAGUGUUUGAUUGGGUGAAUUGUCAUGCCGUGACUUGCAUGUAUUCAGCUGCUCAUGCAUCAUAUGUGUUGUGCAUCGCGUGGUGAAUUCCGUGUGUUGAUUUGUGUUUCCGGUUUGCUUCGUCCCGAUAGAGUCCCGCAGCAUGCCGGAUUGUGAGGACCCGUUCGACUACGUCGGUUCGUCUGCUUCAUGGAGGCAUUCUUCUUCCAAGCGGGAUCUCAGGCAAGAUGAACAUUUCCCCGGAUACCAUUACUAUCAUUGCCAUGCUAGUUUUAUCGCUUCUAUCGAUUAUGUCCCGUUACCUACCACAUGUUAAAUAUCAGCCUCUCAACAAUGCCAUGAUUACCUUCAACCUGUUCGACCUAGCAAACCACUGAUUGGCUAUGUUACCGCUUGCUUAUCCAUGUUGUUAGCGUUGCUAGUUGCAGGUGUAGUUGCUUCCAUGUGAUAACAUGGGUUCCUUGUUAUAUCAUCAUAUUAAAAUGAUAUUUAAUUUCAUGCACCUAUAUACUUGGUAAAAGGUGGAAGGCUCGGCCUUUCUAGCCUGAUGUUUUGUUCCACCUUUGCCCCUUAGUUUCGGCUACCGGUGUUAUGUUCCAUAAUUGAGCGCUCCUAACACGAUCGGGGUUGUUAUGGGGACCCCCUUGAUAAUUCGUUUUAGAUUAAAGCUGGUCUGGCAAGGCCCAACAUUGGUUUUACAUUUGCCCAACAUAAUAAUUCUGUUAAACUGAAAUGCAUAGGGAGUUAGCGCUACCCGAGGAGUAAUUCUACAUAAUACAGGAGGGGCCAGUGCUGAUGGUGUUGGUCCCAAACGGUCUGCCUGCGGGGUCACCGCGAGGAAACUCGAGGUUUGGCACUCAUAGCAAGUUCCAUCCGUCGUGUCCUGAGAACGAGAUACGCGCCUCCUAUCGGGUACGUCGACACGUCAGGCGGCCUUGCUGGAUUAGUUUUACCUUUGACGAGAUAUCUUGUGCAUCGGGAUUCCGGUGAUGCUUUGGGCAAUCUCAGAGUUGAGGUUUUCCACUAGGGAAUCCGACGAGAUCGCGAGCUUCGUGAUUGAGGAUUUCUAUGCGGCUUGUGGUAAUUUGUGAUGGACUAGUUGGAGCACCCCUGCAGGGUUAAAUCUUUUCGAAAAGCCGUGCCCGCGGUUAUGUGGCAACGUGGAAACUUUGUUUAACACUGGUUCUAGAUAACUUGAAGUUAACUUAAUUAAAAUAUGCCAAUUGUGUGCGUAACCGUGACUGUCUCUUUCGUGAGUUCUUACUCCGAUCGAGGACACGGUGGGGUUAUGUCUGAUGUAGGUAGGUGUUCAGGAUCAUUCAUUUGAUCAUCAGUAGUCACGUCCGCUAUGCGUAGAUCAUCCCCCUCUUAAUUCUUGUACUCAUAAGUUUAGCCACCAAAUAUAUGCUUAGCCGCUGCUGCAACCUCACCACUUAACCAUACCUCACCCAUUAAGCUUUGCUAGUCUUGAUACCUUUGGAAAUGAGAUUGCUGAGUCCCCUGUGGCUCAUAGAUUACUACAACACCAGUUGCAGGUACAGGUAAAGGUUAUUUGACGCGAGCGCGUUGAUUGAUCAUUUGGAGUUGCUUCUUCUUCUUCUUCUUCAUCGAUCUAGGAUGGGUUCCAGGCCGGCAGCCUGGGAUAGCAAGGAUGGACGUCGUUCUUCUUUUGUCAUUUGUUUUCGUCCUUAGUCGGACCCUGCUCUUCUUCAUGAUGAUUAUGUAUUGUACUGCUGUGACUCUGAUGUAGCUUGUGGCGAGUGUAAGCCAACUCUAUUUAUAUAUCUCUUCUUUUCAGUACAUGUACUUGUAACGAUAUCCAUUCUUGCGACACGACGAGAUGCGCUUCUAUCCCUGACGAGGCCUUCGUGCCAAAUUGAGGAUAGGGUCGCAUCUUGGGCGUGACAAGUUGGUAUCGGAGCAGUACCGACCUAGGAGCCCCCUUGAUUGAUCGAACAUGGCCGAGUCGAGUCUAGUGAAAAACUGCUUUGAGUCUAGUUAUAUAUCGGAGAGUAGGAUUCUUUUUUUUCUCCUCUUCUAUGCUAUGGUGAGGAAUCUUGACGUAAUAAUUUAUUCUACUCCUCUUCUCACUCAAAUUUGUUUUAGGAUCACGCAGAUAUUUUUGGAAUCUAUAUGAUGCCGAUGUGACGGAGUUCUGUCUUGGUGCCUCCUAUCUGCUUUGAGUUUCAGGGGAGUUGAGCUCCAGGGGAUUCUUGAGCACAUCGUUAUCAUUCAGAUUUCUUAGUAUCUCAGAACGAAGGAUGUUCGUAAUUGCUUCAAUACUAGUAAUGGCGAGAUAACCCCGAUGUCCCUAGUACUGGUGCGGAUUGUUCGGGAGUACUGCCAUACUUUGUAUCGUUGUGAUCACGAGGGUCUGUAGUAGAUGAAGGCCGAGAUUCUGGUUGUGUGUUGACGGAUGUGAUACAGGUGACGGGUUAGUAUAGGAGUUGUGUGAUUAUUACUCCUUGUAUCCGUGUACCAGAUUGCAUGACCAGAUAUUUCGGGAAUUCAUAGGUGGGAAUUCAAGUAGUUGCUUAUAGGACAAUCUUCCAACAAAUCCUCACCCUUUGUUUUGUUGAACUAUGGUAAUUCAAGUUGCUUCGAUGUCAAGUGGUGAUUUCAGAUCUUUCCUAAGAGGUGUUCUCAUAUUUUUAUGUGAGAAUGCAAAUUCUAUUGUUCAAUCAGGUUGUCAUAUCAAUUCUUGUCAACCGGAGUCGUCAUGUUAAUUCUUUUCCAACCGGUGUGUUUCUCUUCAAGUGGAUUCAAUCCUCUCCAUUUUUUUGCAAGAUCAUUCUCUCAUUUUAUUCCGGAGUUCAUCUCAUCUAUUCCAAGUCGUCUUUGUUUUUCCCCGCCCUCCCACCCUUUUUUUUGUUGGAAAUAUGCCCUAGAGGCAAUAAUAAAUUAGUUAUUAUUAUAUUUCUUAGUUCAUGAUAAUCGUUUAUUAUCCAUGCUAUAAUUGUAUUGAUUGGAAACACAAUACUUGUGUGGAUACAUAGACAAAACACUGUCCCUAGUAAGCCUCUAGUUGACUAGCUCGUUGAUCAAAGAUGGUCAAGGUUUCCUGGCCAUAGGCAAGUGUUGUCACUUGAUAACGGGAUCACAUCAUUAGGAGAAUCAUGUGAUGGACUAGACCCAAACUAAUAGACGUAGCAUGUUGAUCGUGUCAUUUUGUUGCUACUGUUUUCUACGUGUCAAGUAUUUGUUCCUAUGACCAUGAGAUCAUAUAACUCACGGACACCGGAGGAAUGCUUUGUGUGUAUCAAACGUCGCAACGUAACUGGGUGACUAUAAAGAUGCUCUACAGGUAUCUCCGAAGGUGUUCGUUGAGUUAGUAUAGAUCGAGACUGGGAUUUGUCACUCCGUGUGACAGAGAGGUAUCUCGGGGCCCACUCGGUAAUACAACAUCACACACAAGCCUUGCAAGCAAUGUAACUUAAUGUAAGUUGCGGGAUCUUGUAUUACGGAACGAGUAAAGAGACUUGCCGGUAAACGAGAUUGAAAUAGGUAUGCGGAUACUAACGAUCGAAUCUCGGGCAAGUAAAAUACCGAAGGACAAAGGGAAUGACAUACGGGAUUAUAUGAAUCCUUGGCACUGAGGUUCAAACGAUAAGAUCUUCGUAGAAUAUGUAGGAUCCAAUAUGGGCAUCCAGGUCCCGCUAUUGGAUAUUGACCGAGGAGUCUCUCGGGUCAUGUCUACAUAGUUCUCGAACCCGCAGGGUCUGCACACUUAAGGUUCGACGUUGUUUUAUGCGUAUUUGAGUUAUAUGGUUGGUUACCGAAUGUUGUUCGGAGUCCCGGAUGAGAUCACGGACGUCACGAGGGUUUCCAGAAUGGUCCGGAAACGAAGAUUGAUAUAUAGGAUGACCUCAUUUGGUUACCGGAAGGUUUUCGUGCAUUACCGGAAAAGUUUCGGGCUCAUCGGUAGUGUACCGGGAGUGCCGGGAGGGGUGCCGGGGACCAUCGGGAGGGGUGUCACGCCCCAAGGGGUCUCAUGGGCUGUGGGAAGAGAUAAACCAGGCCCUAGUGGGCUGGAAUAAGUUCCCACUAAGGCCCAUAAGGUUUGAGAAGGAAAAAACACAAGGUGGAAAGAGUUUCCAAGUGGGAAGGUGGAAUCCUACUCCAACUAGGAUUGGAGUAGGACUCCUCCACCUCCAAUUUCGGCCAAACCUUUAGGUUUUGAGGCUGCCUCCUCCCCUCCCUCCCACCUAUAUAUACGGAGGUUUUAGGGCUGAUUUGAGAUGACUUUUCCACGGCAGCCCGACCACAUACCUCCACAGUUUUUCCUCUAGAUCGCGUUUCUGCGGAGCUCGGGCGGAGCCGUGCUGAGACAAGGUCAUCACCAACCUCCGGAGCGCCGUCACGCUGCCGGAGAACUCUUCUACCUCUCCGUCUCUCUUGCUGGAUCAAGAAGGCCGAGAUCAUCGUCGAGCUGUACGUGUGCUGAACGCGGAGGUGCCAACCGUUCGGUACUAGAUCGUGGGACUGAUCGCGGGAUUGUUCGCGGGGCGGAUCGAGGGACGUGAGGACGUUCCACUACAUCAACCGCGUUCUCUAAUGCUUCUGCUGUACGGUCUAGAAGGGUACGUAGAUCACUCAUCCCCUCUCGUAGAUGGACAUCACCAUGAUAGGUCUUCGUGCGCGUAGGAAAAUUUUUGUUUCCCAUGCGUCGUUCCCCAACAUUUUUCAGUGAUUGGAUUUUCAUCCAAGAGUUUUCUUUUGAUGGUGCUUCCGUUGUCUGUUCUUUUCUCUCUUACCCGGUGAUUCAUUGUGAAGAUUCUCACGAGUCGAGUUCAUCAUUUCUUCAUUUUGUUCCUUUCCGGUGAAUUUAAUUCAGUUGUCCAUGGUCAUCAUAUCCUUUUCAACCAUUAAAUUCUUUCCGACGUUGGAAAUUCUUUCAGCCUAUCUGAUUUAUUAAUUCCUCUCUCUUUCUAUCCGGAGUGUUAAAGAUAUUUCAGAAAUUCUGCUUUUCAAUCCUUCAGUUAUUUCGAGGUGCUAACCUCAUCUAGUUCUCUUCGUACCGGUGUAAUAUCUCUCUUCUAAGCAAUCUUUUCUAACGGUGAUUUCUUUGAGUGGGACCAUAACCCACAGGUUUUACCAGGAUCUUUCCUGACGCUUUUAAUAUUUUCUCGGAGAUCAUGAAUUCCUUUCAACUAUGACGUAAGUAUGAAUUUCAUCAGUCAUAUUCCUUCUUCAAGAUCUAUUUGAAUUAAUUCUCAUAUUGGCUCAACAUUUCAUUCUUCUUUAUUCCGGAGUGUCUCAUUAAUUCUUGGUGGUGUUCUUCUCAUCAUUCUCUUCUUUCAAGACCGAAGGAGUGUUUCUCUCGAAUCUUGGUCCAUUCUCUUGCAGAUUCUUCAUUUCAGCCUUGUGGCAUUAUCUUAUUUGUUCCAAUCAUGAGUAAUCCCUUUCGUGCUAUCCGGUGCUUCUCUGAGUUGUUUUUAUUUCUCGUUCCUCCGAAGGCCAUCAUUUCAGAAGAAUCUUCGUUCUCAUCUUUCAGCUUUCAUCCUCAAUUCUUCUCCAUUGUUGUCUCUUCGUUCGUCUCUCGUUUAUCCAGUGCCUUGUUCUAGUUUUCUCUCAGGUGGCUUAUGAUCUCUUCAUUCUCAUGUAUCUCCAUUCAUUCAUGGUUGCCUCAUUCAUUUCAAUUCUCACCGGUGUCUCCUUCAUUACUUCUUCAGUUUGUGCUCAUGUAUCUCCUCUAUCAUUUCUAGAAUAAUAAGUUGUAUUCUAAAUCCGUUGCUUGUCAUCAAUUUAAUUUGAUGAAGGAUGAGCAUAACAUAAUUCUUAUUCUUGUUCAUAGUAAUCUGAAUUCUUCUUCCGGAGUGGCUCAUGAUAUCAAUUCUUUUCUCAAGCGCUUAUCUUUCUUUUCCGGAAUGUCAAGUUCUUUUAAGUAUCUCUUUGUGUAGCUUCAUCUAAAUCUUGGUAAGGUCAUAAUCUUAUUCUUUCUACCUUCAUGUCUUUGCAUCAUUCUUUUGUAUACGGUGGUCUUUCAUGGUGGUUCAUCAAGGUUUCAAUUCAUUCUCAAGUCUUCUUCAAGAUUCUUGUUGGAGAACCUCAAGUAUCCUUUCUCUUGCAUGUCCAAGUGCAAUUGUUCUCAUUUAUCCUUUGAGGUGGUAUUAUAGCAUUCUUGUUAGUGUAGGAGUUUCAAAGAGUUUUCCUUUCAAGUAUGAGAUAAUUAAACCCACCAAUUCUUUGAUCAUGAGAUAUUUCAACCCAUGAUUUCUUCAUUGAGCUAUCUUGGGUUGGAUUUCACCUAAAGCUUUUCCUAUGGAUUGUUGCUAUCAUGGUGCUUGUCUUUAAUCCAAGUUCUCAAUGCACCCUCGGUGUAAGAAGUUUUGAUAUCUUUGCUUUCAACUAUCCUUGUUUCUUUUAGUGGUUGGUUGUCACCUCAUAUAUGUUGAGAUGAUCUUCAUAAGCCCACUAUUAUCUUGUUCUUUUCGUUGUUGUUUGUCCAAAUCCGUCCAAUUCUUCUUGCAAGGAUGCUUGCCUAGUUCAUUGGAGUUAGUAGUUGUCAUACUCUUCUUCCGUAUGAGUUAGUUCCUAUUCUAUUGUUCCGGAGGCAUUGUGAUGUUGCUCUUUUGGGGUCUAUCAUGUUGUUCUAUCAAGUUCAUGGUGUUCCCUUGUUCUAUUUAGUUGUUUGUUAUGAAUAUUGUCUAAUUCUCUCUUCUUAUCGAAUUUUUUGUCCCAUUUUCCUACCGAAGUGCUCCCAAAAUUUUCCAUGCAUUAUUGCUUCUUUCUCAUAUCAUUCCUCAUAGCUUUGCUACCUUCAAGGAUCGUUGGUUUCACUCGUUUGUCAAAAAAGCGGCUAAGUUUUUACCUCUUGUUCUUUCUCAUCCUCUCCCCCUUUCAUUCUUGGAUCUCGGGCGAGAUCCUCUUGUAGUGUAGGAGAGUUGUGACAGCCCGAGACCGACGCCCCAGAAGAUUCCCCUUCUAUUCCAUUUUCGUCGUGUGUCUAUUUACUUUUGUCGCAUCAUCAUCGCAUCAUGCGCAUCAUCUGCAUUGCAUCGACAUCUCCGUUGCCGCCAGUUUUCCAAGUUGCAUCCGUUGUUAGUUAUCGGUUCUCGUCGUUGUCCGUUCUGAGCCCGACCGCACUCGCACGCGCCCGCGGCAUCGUUUAAAUCUUGUUUUCAAAAGUGUGCAUUAAACUUUCUCUGAUCGGGGUGAAACUUCGCAUGCGGUCGUAAUUAGUUAUAGCCACGCCGCCUGUCGAAUUUCGUCGCGAUCGGAGUUUGUUUGGUACCCGAACGGUCGACCUUAGCGGCACCGUCUUUGGUCUACCGUCGGACGUUCGUCGGUGUUUUAAAACUCAUUGCCGCGCCGCCCGUUUUCCCUCUCGUCUCUGGUAAACCACUCUUCACAGCCACUCGUCCAUCCCGCAUUCGGUUUUAGUCGAAUCCGACCCCGCGGUUGGAUCCGGAACGCGAUUCCGGUUAACCUAGCCCCCCCCUUUGCCUAUAAAUAUACCCGCAUGUAUUUUUUUAGCUGCUCCUCUCCUCUGCCUCGAAAACCGUGCAGACACCAAACCCUAGCCGUAGCCUCCUCCCACCUCCUCCUCGCGCCGCCGGGCCCGUGAGCCCACGCGAGGCCCGCCGAGCCCAUCCGGUCGCCGCCCCCGUUCUCCUCCCUGCCCGAGCUCCUCCCGCUUGCGCCGCCGCCAAGCCAUCUGCGCCACCAGCCCCGCCGCCCGCGCCUCGCCAGAGAGCCCCGCCGGACCCAGGCCGGAGCUCCCUCCACUCUCCUCUCUUCUUCUCUCCCUUACCCGGAUCUCUCUCCCCCCGCAGGUCGCCGCGCCAUGGCCGGAGUUCGUCGAAGCUCCCCGAAGGCCGGCCGUCGCCGGGAAUGGAACCCCAACGGCCGGAUACGUCGAGCCCGCCGGGAUCCGGCCUCCCCUCGCCCCCAACCGCCGGGAUCUGGCCUCCCCUGCUCCGCUGUCAGACGUGCUACUGCGCCGCCAGAGGCGCGUGCCCCCGAGGAGGAGGACGCCCGUCGUAGCGUCCAACCGCCUCGGCAGCUCCUGGGCCGCGUAGGAGGAGCCAGGCCGAGCCGGCCCAGGCCAGGGUGCCCCUCCAAGCCCAGCUAGCUCCAUCCCCCCUCAGCCCACAGCACCAGGCCGGCCUCUGCCCCAAGGUGAGCCGAGCUCUAUUCCCCGCCCACGCAGAUGCUAUCUAAGCCUCGCCCAUGCCUCUGUAGCCCAUGAGAAAUAGAUUAGGCCCGGUUAGAUAAUUUAGGUAUUUUCGGAAUUUAAUAAAUUUCAGAAAAUAGACGAUUUUAAAACGUUCGUAAGUUUUUAACCGUAAGUCGGAUCACGACCUGUAGCAUAUGAAUUUCGUGUAGUUUUGCGCGUAGAUUACGUUGGUGCAACUUGCAUAAUUGUUUGACGUUGUUUGACGUGUCGAAUGCAUAGGUUAGCGUGCUAUUCCAACAGGAUAGUGCCCGUAUUUAUUUUUCGUGCGUGCCCGAAUUGCUCGGAUGCCUUAGGUAAAAUGCCCAUGUUUUAGGAACCACUUUUCCAUGUAUUUUAGAGCAGUCAUUUGUAUUUUUGCGUGUAGGGCUUUGCGCUAGUUUUUUUUUCCGUGUCUAGGUUAUUUUCUCGCAUUUUCGUGUGGUAUUAUUUUGUUGUGCAACCCCACAUAUUUUAUAUGUUUUCGGGGUAGAAAAAUCGCAAAUAUUUUACCAUGUUGCCCUUUUGUUUAAUUCGUAUGAUUUAUUGCGUGCUUCGUUUGACGUAGUUGUGAACUAGAGAGUUGAUCUUUGAUGUUUAGUCUAGCCCCUCGUAUUUUGGUUGCAAUAGAAAUGCAUGUUUAGGUGUGGUUUGCUUGCUCUAAAGUUGCUAGAAAUAGUGCUGAUUUGGAGGUGCUGAAAUAUUUCUAAGUCUGGAACCUGUUAUUUUUUGUUGCUGUUUUGUUUUGCUUCUAUCUUGUGAUCUGUAGGUCUUUUGAGGUUGGUACAAUGGAGUUAGUUGUAGCCCUUGUGUUUCUCUAGCACGUUGUGAAUUUUCAUGCCAUUUGGAGUCCUGUAGCUUAUGGUUUUGCUGCUGUCAAUAUGCCUUCAGAUCGAAAACUGCAGCUUCAAAAACUGCUAUUUUCACUAAGUCUGAAAUAGUGUGUGGGAAGCCAUUUUGUGACUUCUUUUCCUAGUGUUCCUUGAUGCCAUGCUAGUUGUUGUUAGUUGUUUGUAGUAGUGCUUCUUGCCCUCUUUUGUGUCAUGCCUUGCUUGAGUUUAUUUGAGUUGAGUAGCUCGUAGUUAUGGGGUGUAGAAGAUGCUAUUUGGCUGAUUUUGGCAGAUUGUAGUGAUAUCUUGUUUUGCUCGUAGUUGUUGAACCGUAGCUUCGAUUUGAUCGUGUCCUACAUGAAACUUGCUUAGAAUCUCGUGUAGUUUCAUUUUCUCUUGAUGGUUGUAUGUUUUGAAGUGCUCGUGACCGUCGUUGCACACAUAUUGCAUUCAUGCCAUCAUAUCUUGCGAUGCUUGUAUCUUUUGAACAGUAGCUCCGUUCGAGAUGUUCUCUAUGUGUAGAUUGCUUGAAAUGACGCAUAGAAUCACGUGAACCUAUUUGUUUUGCUGUUUAACAACUAAUUAAAUGUGUUAGUUCAGAUCUGGGCAGAAUUGUAAAUUAACAUGUGAGGUCGUUUCGGAGGUGCUAUAUGUCAUUUCCGACCUCAUUUAAAAUGCCUAGAUAGGUAGUUUAAUCACGCUUCACCUCUUGCCAUGUUUAAUCACAUUUAAUAUUGCCGUGUACCUAAUCGGGAUAGAACUAAAUAAUUAAACGAUGGAGUUUCAUCAAUAUGCAAGACGUUGCAUAUUGAACUUCACUUAAUGUGUAGUGUUUGAUUGUGUGAAUUGUCAUGCCGUGACUUGCAUGUAUUCAGCUGCUCAUGCAUCAUAUGUGUUGUGCAUCGCGUGGUGGAUUCCAUGUGUUGAUUUGUGUUUCCAGUUUGCUUCAUCCCGAUAGAGUCCCACAGCGUGCCGGAUUGUGAGGACCCGUUCGACUACGUCGGUUCGUCUGCUUCACGAAGGCAUUCUUCUUCCAAGCGGGAUCUCAGGCAAGAUGACCAUUUCCCCGGAUACCAUUACUAUCAUUGCCAUGCUAGUUUUAUCGCUUCUAUCGGUUAUGCCUCGUUACCUACCACAUGUUAAAUAUCAGCCUCUCAACAAUGCCAUGAUUACCUUCAACCUGUUUGACCUAGCAAACCACUGAUUGGCUAUGUUACCGCUUGCUUAUCCAUGUUGUUAGCGUUGCUAGUUGCAGGUGUAGUUGCUUCCAUGUGAUAACAUGGGUUCCUUGUUAUAUCACCAUAUUUAAAUGCUAUUUAAUUUAAUGCACCUACAUACUUGGUAAAAGGUGGAAGGCUCGGCCUUUCGAGCCUGGUGUUUUGUUCCACCUUUGCCCCUUAGUUUCGGCUACUGGUGUUAUGUUCCAUAAUUGAGCGCUCCUAACACGAUCGGGGUUGUUAUGGGGACCCCCUUGAUAAUUGGUUUUAGAUUAAAGCUGGUCUGGCAAGGCCCAACAUUGGUUUUACAUUUGCCCAACAUAAUAAUUCUGUUAAACUGAAAUGCAUAGGGAGUUAGCGCUACUCGAGGAGUAAUUCUACAUAAUACAGGAGGGGCCAGUGUUGAUGGUGUUGGUCCCAAACGGUCUUCCUGCGGGGCCACCGCGAGGAAACUCGAGGUUUGGCACUCGUAGCAAGUUCCAUAUGUCGUGUCCUGAGAACGAGAUACGCGCCUCCUAUCGGGUACGUCGACACGUCAGGCGGCCUUGCUGGAUUAGUUUUACCUUUGACGAGAUAUCUUGUGCAUCGGGAUUCCGGUGAUGCUUUGGGCAAUCUCAGAGUUGAGGUUUUCCACUAGGGAAUCCGACGAGAUCGCGAGCUUCGUGAUUGAGGAUUUCUAUGUGGCUUGUGGUAAUUUGUGAUGGACUAGUUGGAGCACCCCUGCAGGGUUAAAUCUUUUCGGAAAGUCGUGCCCGCGGUUAUGUGGCAACGUGGAAACUUUGUUUAACACUGGUUCUAGAUAACUUGAAGUUAACUUAAUUAAAAUAUGCCAAUUAUGUGCGUAACCGUGACUGUCUCUUUCGUGAGUUCUUACUCCGAUCGAGGACACGGUGGGGUUAUGUCUGACGUAGGUAGGUGUUCAGGAUCAUUCGUUUGAUCAUCAGUAGUCACGUCCGCUAUGCGUAGAUCAUCCCCCUCUUAAUUCUUGUACUCGUAAGUUUAGCCACCAAAUAUAUGCUUAGCCAUUGCUGCAACCUCACCACUUAACCAUACCUCACCCAUUAAGCUUUGCUAGUCUUGAUACCUUUGGAAAUGAGAUUGCUGAGUCCCAUGUGGCUCACAGAUUACUACAAGACCAGUUGCAGGUACAUGUAAAGGUUAUUUGACGCGAGCGCGUUGAUUGAUCAUUUGGAGUUGCUUCUUCUUGUUCAUCAUCAUCGAUCUAGGAUGGGUUCCAGGCCGGCAGCCUGGGAUAGCAAGGAUGGACGUCAUUCUUCUUUUGUCGUUUGUUUUCGCCCUUAGUCGGACCCUGCUCUUUUUGAUGAUGAUUAUGUAUUGUACUGCUGUGACUCUGAUGUAGUUUGUGGCGAGUGCAAGCCAACUCUAUUUAUAUAUCUCUUCUUUUCAGUACAUGUACUUGUAACGAUAUCCAUUCUUGCGACACGACGAGAUGCGCUUCUAUCCCCGACGAGGCCUUCGUGCCAAAUUGAGGAUAGGGUCGCAUCUUGGGUGUGACAUUGGGAUUCUUGGGACCCCCUGAUGGCGGCUUGGAGGAGGGUUGUGUCUGAUGUGGCGGGUCAUUUCCAUGGCUAUCAAGUUGAUCAUAUCGACCGGCGCCUUAACGAAGCAGCUGAUGCCCUUUCGCGUCUCGGCUCACAACGUAAGCCGGUUCCUUCCAAUGUCUUUCUGGAUACUUUGCAUAAUCCUUCCAUGAGGUUACCCUCAGAAGAGGAGUUGGCAAUACCAGACCCUGAGUCCCAUUUCGGGGCGGCUCUCCGUGUUACGCCGGAUUGGGUUGUUCCGUAUCUCGCCCGAGGCGAGUUACCUUCGGAUGAAGUGUUGGCUCGCCAAAUCGUUCGUCGGAGCAAAUCCAUGGUCAUCAUCAAUGGUGAAUUAUAUAAGCGUAGCACUUCUGGGUAUUCCAACGAUGCAUUUCUUCCGAAGAAGGAUGUGUGAUUCUAAACGACAUCCAUGUCGGAGAUUGUGCGCAUCAUGCCGGGUCACGCUCCUUGGUUUCAAAGGCGUUCCGUCAUGGUUUCUUUUGGUUGACGGCUCAUGCAGAUGCAGAAGAGAUAGUUCGUCGAUGUGAUGGUUGCCAGUGUUACGGACGACAGGCUCAUGUGCCGGCUCAAGAACUAAGGAUGAUACCUAUUACUUGGCCUUUCGCGGUCUGGGGGUUAGACAUGGUUGGCCCCUUUAAGAUGUCGUCCAACAAAAAAACUGAUGUGCUGGUGGCGGUUGAUAAAUUUACCAAGUGGGUCGAAGCAGAACCUGUUGGUGCUUGUGAUGCGGAGACAUCGGUCAAAUUCUUGAAAAAGUUGAUCUUCCGGUUCGGAUAUCCACACAGCAUAAUUACUGGUAAUGGUACUAAUCUAUCACAAGGUGCGAUGCAGGAGUUUUGCCAUCGUGAGCACAUCCGGCUUGAUGUCUCUGCAGUGGCUCAUCCACAAUCUAAUGGGCAGGCCGAACGGGCAAAUCAGGAAGUAUUGCGAGGAAUCAAACCCCGACUUAUGGUUCCCCUGGAACGCACCCCAGGGUGUUGGGUUGAGGAGUUGCCUUCAGUACUAUGGAGCAUCCGGACCACCCCAAACCGUUCUACGGGUUUUACUCCCUUUUUCCUGGUAUAUGGAGCAGAAGCUGUUCUUCCCACUUACAUUAGGCAUGACUCGCCUAGAGUUGCUGCUUAUGUGGAACAGGACAACGAGUUGGCGCGUCAAGAUUCUUUGGACGCUUUGGAGGAAGCACGCGAUUUGGCUGCCGCCCGAUCGACAAUUUAUCAGCAGGACUUGCAGCGUUACCACAACCACCGGGUCAAGAGUCGAACCUUUCAGGAGGGCGACUUAGUGCUUCCAUUGAUCCAAGAUCGCACUGGCAUGCAUAAGUUAUCACCACCAUGGGAAGGACCGUUCGUCGUCAGCAAAAGCCUUCGCAAUGGGUCAUACUAUCUGGUGGAUCUUCGGCCUGAUCGGCCAACCACGGAAGCUGAGUCAACUCGCCCCUGGAACAUGGCCCACUUACGGCCUUAUUACACUUGAGCUAUUAGCUCUGCUUUUUGUAAGUUUUUCAUUUUUUAUGAAGCAAUAAAAUUGAUGCCUCCAAGCUCGGGGGCUUUCCUGCUAUUUCAUCUUAUUGAAAGUAUGGAUUUUUUAUUUUGCUCUUCAACAAGUCGCCCAAGCAUGGACACUAUCCAUACCAAAUAGCAUAAGUCGCCAUGAUGCACUUAUUACAAAACUGGGUAUGGAUAAGCCAAAGAGGAUCAAAGUCGCUACAAGCGCACGAUUGAAACAUAGGCGCCUUAUAUGAUUCUGUGGAUUAGGCCGGCUUACUUGGGGGCAAUUUGUUCUCAAGUCGUUCUGUGGUAAUAGCGUAUACGCUUCUACAAUCCUAUGACCGGUCUUUCCCCUAAUCAUAGGUCACUUGGGGGCUUCCUCUCACUGAGAUCAGCCUUACUACCCAUUUGGCCUGCGAAAAAUUACCGCAUUACAAAUGGUUAUACCGGACUGUGUGUUGGCCGAAUCGCCAUAUGGACCCAUGAACUCUUGGCGAGUUACUCCGCUUUAUGAACCCUGAACUCGCCUUGGUUAAAACAUGUCUGGUACCGGCUAGCGCCCCACAUGGAAAAUAGAGAAACCAUUGGCUCACUGAACCUGCUUCACUGAAGCUUGACUCGUGCCUGAUCGUCCGGUCUAAAUACUUGAGCUUUUUUAUAGAAAAGUCACCCUCGGGUAGCACUUGAGUUCAUAUAACUCGUCCUAUCCUGUCGCGACCUGAUGAGCCGACAAAAUUCUUAUUUUUUACCUUCCUGGCACUGCCACAAGGUUUUUCAAAUUUUUCCGACUCACCUUAACAUCUUGAGUCGGUUAUUGUUUAUUAUCAUCCAUUACUCACUGAGAUGGUUUGAUGUAUGUUUUUAAGCCUAACAGGUUGAUGAUUAAAAUCAUUAUUGCCAUGGCGGUUCAAGCAUCAUAAAACGCCCUGAGGGCAGGUCAAGCAUUAUACGGCGCCUUAAGGGCAACACAAGGGUUUUAAAGACAUAACAAAAGCGGGUUGUUUUCUAUGAAAGACUUAUUACAUGGCUCUGAUGGCCAAAUCCAUGAAGGAUUAUUCUGCUGAUGUCCCCGGGUCAGCCUGCUUUGAGCUCUCACCAACUUCAAUUUGCAAGUCGCCCAAUACCCAGUUACACUUGGAUAAAGCGGCAAAUUCAUCUUCAUCGUUCAAUACUGAUGAGAAAUCCACCUCCAAAUCAAAAGGGUUCUUGGGUCGACGCGGAGUCAAGCUGGUUGUCACAAAGGUUGCCGGGUUAACUUUCUUGUUCUUGUCAUCAUAGGCGGCUUGAUACUUUGAUAAAUCCAAGCUUGCUGCAAGCUGAGUCGCCGCCAAGCGGGAUUAUUUGACAACGCGCUGGUAGUCCUCUUGAGCAAAUUCUGACCCGUCGUCCUUGAGAUGGGGAAAGCCUGUCGCUACUUCUUCGGGUUUUAAUUCUGGAGCAUACGCUAGACACCGACUCAACGCAGUCAGUACCCCUUUUCGGGCAGCUCACCGGGUUAGCUCACCGAUCUGAGGUAGAAGAGUAGAUAAGCAGCCAAGCAUCUUCUUUAUUGAUGUUAUGGGUUCCUUGGCACCCAUCACUGCUUUCACGGUCAGCACGCUUCCGGUAUAUAGCUGCUCCGUUAACGUGUAAAUCACCUUCAGCAUCAGGACGCAGUCGUUCUGAAGAUUGGCGGCUCUCGGACCUAUAUAAGGGAUAAUGAUGGUCAGUCAUUUCUUCAUACUAAGUUAUUUAUUUACAAAGUGCAAGGUCAGGGUCUUGUUUUCUUACCAAAGACAGCUUGUGCCAUGUUGGAGAUAUGUUGCUUUAAGCCGGCCAGCUCUUGUUGCACAGUAUCCAAUUUAGCUUCAGCUUUUUCUGCUCGCUUUACCAUGGCGUCUUGAUCAGCUUGAGCCUUUUUUAAGGCGGCCUUCAGCUUCUCCAUCUCAGAUAAGAUCAUUUGACAUUUUUCUUCCGAUUUUGCCCGUGCAUCUUGCUGAUCGACUAAAUUUUUCUUUAAGUCGCCAAAUGCUGACUCAGCUUGGGUAAGUGAUUCAUGUCAAGAUAUAUUAUCAAGGGGCAAGUCUCAGAAUUAUUGCAAGCAACAUCCCUGACACUUGGGGGCUAAUGUAUAAUUUUUUAGACGAAAUUAUACAGUACCAAGACCCGGCUCAUCUUUUCACAGAUGACCCGGCCCUUGGGGUUACAGGUCGAAAGCUUUCUUCAAUUAUCAAGACCCGGUUCAUCUUUUUACACAUGACCCGGCCCUUGGGGGUUACAUGUCGAAAGUUUUUCUUCAAUUAUCAAGACCCGGUUCAUCUUUUUUACAGAUGACUCGGCCCUUGGGGGUUACAGGUCGAAAGAUUUAUUCUACUAUCAAGACCCGGCUCAUCUUUUCACACAUGACCCGGCCCUUGGGGGUUAAUGAGGAUAAUAUAGUAGGCAAUAAGACGUACCUCAUGUCUGUUCUUCAUCAUAAGGAGCAGACUUUUUUCCAUCUCAUAACUUGCCUCCAGGCGACUUGCAAAACCAGAGCAGAGUUCUUUAAAUUCAAGAUUCUCAUAUUGGGAUAGAUUUGCCUUGGAAAUUUCAUGUUCAAUGGAAGGUUGAGCUGAUGAUGAUACGUGCUUCGACAAGACUGCUGAAGCCGGCUUAGAAAAGCGAGUGCCAGUGAUGAUCACAACAUCUGGAUCUUCUGCCGUUUUUAACGGACUUGGCAGAUUAGGCGUUUCCAUACUUUCCUUGGGCGAAUUUGGGAGAUCCACUUGAUCUUCAGGUUUAUCCUUGGCCGGGUUAUCCUGAAUCGGCGCCGGUUUUUCAAUAGGCUCCGAAGCUGCAGUGGGAGUUGACCCGCCAGUUUUCCUCUUCUUCGCUUGUGCCCUAAAAGAAAAGGGGCGCGCUUAAAAACAGACAUUAUCAUCAUCAGGACAAUGUAAGUAUUAUAAGAACUUACCCUGGAACGCGGAUCAUCGGCGGAAGCGCUGACAUCACUGAGUCGCCGGACGAAGGAGGAGAAUUCUGCAAAAAUAACACCUCAAGAUGUGAGCGAGUUACGAAUAUGAUCCAAAAGGAAACAAAAGGAGAUGCUAUUAAAAUGAUACCUCAUUCUGCCUCUUCUUAGUUCUCGUUGGUAACCCGAACACCAAGUCUCCAGAAUGACUCUGAGUUUUCCGAUUGGAAGCAUAUUGCGCUUUCUUCAAAAGGAAAUUAGGAUCCAAACAAGCAUUUGGGUGAGACAUGAGAACUUUCCCACAAAUCCGCUUGGCCGGCUUAGGUGGAGGAGAAGAUGAGUUGUAGGAAACAGAAAUUACCUCUAUAGAGUCGUCUUGGCUUUUGUUGUCCUCAUUCUACACAAGAGAUAAGGAGGUGUAAACACAAAAUUAUAACAAUAAAUGGCGAGUCAAAGAAGAUAGAAUUUUACCUCUGAAAGUACGUCGCCGACUUGGGAUUCGUCGGCGUCAGACGGCUCAAUAACAGCGGCUUUGCCUUUGCCCUUGGAUUUCUUCUUUGGGGGCGGCUUGGCUUGCUUCAGGGCCAUCUUUUUCGGCCUCUUGGACCAGAAUUUUUCGCCCUUCUGAAAUGGCAUUUUUUAUGAGAAUCAUAGCUCAAGUAAGUCGGAAGGAAUAAAGUAAAGACGGGUUAAGUUAUUUACCUUUGGCGCCGGGUUGAUCUUGCAGAACGGCUUAAGACCUAUUUGGCCACACUUGGCCAAGGGCUCGCCAGUCAACUUCUUGAUGAUGGAUACGAUGUCAUUGUCUGUCAGUGCUGCAUGGAAGUAGCACUGGGGAUGGUCCAAGGUGCCAUCAAACUCACACAUUAAGCCAUCCCGGCGACUUAAGGGGAGGAUGCGCCAUUCAACCCAGCAGCGGAUCAAAUCGACCCUAGUAAGGCCGUUGUUUGUCAGAGAUCUUAACUCGGAUAGCACUGGGAUCAAAUCUGACUCCUCCUCUUCAGUAAGCUUCUCUGGGAGUUUGAAGUUUGUUGGAAGACGUUCCUCCCUAUAGCCAAGGAGUUUCUUCUCACCCUCAGGAGAAGUUUCCUGGCAGUAAAACCAAGACUUGCCCCAACCUUUGGGAUGGAUUGGCAUGGCGAGUGACGGGAACGGACUAUCCCUGCGGCAUUGAACAUUGACGCCUCCAAGUUCCAAGCUUGGGCCAUUGGAAAAUUCUGUCUGGCGAUUCAAAUGAAAGAAAUACCAGAACAAAGGAACCGAAGGUUCCAUCCGCAAGUAGGCUUCACAGAACACUUGGAACUGACAUAAAUUGCUCAUCGAGUUAGGCCCUAAGUCUUGGAGGCGGACAUUCAUGAAGGUCAUGGCGUCUCUGAGGAAUUUUGAUCCUGGCGGCUUAAAUCCCCGUUCGAGGUGCUCAACAAAAACAAAUAUUUCCCCUUCCUUCGGGUUGGGAAUCUCUUCUCCGAACCCGGAACGCCAACCGAUAACCUCUUUUGGGUCAAGAUUCCUUGUCUUCACACAGUUGUUGAGAAGAACUUCAUCAACUUUGGUCGGGAGCCAAUCGGCUUUGAAAAUAGUACCCAUGCUACAAAGGGAGAAAUUAUGGGUAAAUUAACUCGCCAAGCGCCUAUUAAAUGGUUAAAAGAUCCAUUGACUCGCCAAACAUUUGUCAGGUGACCAAGGAAGUUUGUUGACUCGCCAACAAAAGGCCGGGUCAGAGUACUAGGGCGAUUUAUGAAUUUCCUACUACUUAAGAGAGAUGGCUCAGAGCUUCAGAGGUGUUCGCUAAAAUGGUGAAGUAUGGAUCUACAAGCAGGUUUCAUACUACAGACAGUAACAUAUAGAUCUACGGAGCAGGCAAAAAUGAAUGAGAAAAAGCCUGGAUAAAGAAAAACAACCUAUGGCUAGGUUGAAGACAGUGGAACUGAUAUGACGAAGACCUUUCUAGAUCUUCGAACCAAAGCUGGUCAACUAAGGGUGUGGUUGAUGCUACCAUGCUCACUGUCAUCAUCAUAAUCUAACCAGCAACUAUGGAGGCGUUCAAGGUGUUCUAAGAAACCAGCGGACAUGAACUUCUAGGAACUAAGAUUUGCCUCUAAUGGCGGAAGACUGACCUGGUGAUGGCGACUGGAGGCGACCGAGGAAGAUCCGUGGCGAGUGUUGCGCGUUCAGCGGGCGUCAGGAUGCGGCGGAUGCGGCGGCCGGAGAUGGAGGUCUUCGGGCAGCGACGAAGCUCUCGGUGCGGUGGCAAGGAAGAAGGGGACGACAAGAUGGGUAGGUGGAAAUGUGCCCUGUCCCUUCCCCCCGCCUAUUUAUUAGGUCAGGCACUGGAAUCAAGGCGCCAUGAGCAGGAACUGCCAAAUGGGAUAAAGAUUCGCUAUGAUGGCGCCCAAAAUUUUCGGGAUAUAUGUGCCGAAGGAUCCGUUGGGGAUUGCGUCAUUAUCUCUUCCGAGAUUAAAGGGAUAAGAAGAUGCCAACAAGGAGUGGUUCGGCGACUUAGGUAUCUCCGCAACAGAUGGCGGUUUAAAUGCAUGGUGCAUAAAAGGAGUGGGAUGAGUCGCCCCUAACUGGGUGAGAAUAUUGGCGUGAACAAGUUCAAGUCAAUCUGGGGCCUAAUGUUGGGGAUAUUAUCUGUUGGGUAACCCGCCCUAGUUGGGCCGGGUCACCAAGUUGGCGGACUCAUCCUCAAGCGAUUCAGGCUUUGGCCCGGUGAGGCCGGGAGCCAGAUGGCGGUUCAAGAUCUUUGGGAAGAAUCCAUCGGUGGGAAGAUCUCCAUGUCUUGGAAAGAUGGCAACUUAGAGAUAGAAAGAAUCACGAUUUGUGUAAAGGCAAGGACUCUUGUAAACCCUAAGGGCUCGGCCUGUAUAUAAAGGCGAGUCCCAGGAAAGAAGAGGACAGGUUAGAAAUCAUCGAGUGCUAGGUCAGGCAAGUAACGCCUUCCUUGUAAUCGAGACACCAUGAAUACAAACACCAAGCAUGACGUAGGCCUUUACCUCCUCACGAGGGGCCGAACCUGGGUAAAUCUCUGUCUUGCUUCCAAUCAACCCCUUUGAGUCGCCACCAAGGUACGAUGGCUCCAACACUAAGUCCUUUCACGAGGACAUCUGCCGUGGCAAAACCACGACACCCAUUGUUGAUGCACAUGGAGAAUGCGUAAGUGAAAAGUAGAAGGUCAUGGCGCAUGUUAGAGGAAAACGAAAAAAUGUUGUACCCAAAUUGCAGAGAUGGCAACACAAAGCUCGGUACCACACUGGAGUUGUUGCAAUGGAAGGCAGCGAAUGGUUUAUCUAACAAGGGAUUUGAGAAGCCACUCAAAAUAAUGAAGAAGAAGCUUCCAAAGGAUAAUGAAUUGCGUGACAUUACGUAUGAAGCAAAGAAGGUUCUCUGCCCUCUAGGAUUAGAGGUGUAGAAGAUACACGCAUGCAUUAAUGACUGCAUCCUCUACCAUGGUGAGGAGUACAUGAAUUUAAAUGCAUGCACAGUAUGCGGUGCACUACGCUAUAAGAUCACCCGUGAUGACCUUGGUGAUGUUGAGGGUGAGCGCCCCAGGAAGAGGGUUCCUGCCAAGGUCAUGUGGUAUGCUCUUAUAAUAUCACGGUUGAAUGUUUGUUCCAAAACAAAGAGCAUGUCAAGUUGUUGUGGUGGCACAAAGAAGACCUUAAGAAAUACACGAUGUUGAGAGUACCCGCUGAUGGGUCGCAGUGCAGAAAAAUCAAGAGGGAGUUCCCACACUUUGCAAUUUACGCAAGGAACUUAUGGUUUUAUCUAAGUACAAAUAACAUGAAUCCUUUUGGGGAGUGGAGCUGGAGUCAUAGCACCUGGCUUGUGACUCUAUGUAUCUAUAACCUUCCUCCUUGGUUGUGCAUGAAGCGAAAGUUCAUUAUGGUGUCAGUGCUCAUCCAAGGCCCUAAGCAACCCCGCAACGAUAUUGAUGUGUACCUAAGGCCAUUAGUUGAAGAACUUUUACACUUGUGUGAUGAAAAGGGUGUACAUGUAUGGGAUGAGCACAAACAGGAGGAAUUUGACCUACGAGAGUUGCUUUUCAUAACCAUCAAUGAUGGGCCUACUCUUAGUAACAUUUCAGGACAGACAAACAAGGGAUACAACACACGCACGCACUGUUUAGAUGAGAGUGAAGGUGCAUAUUUGGAUAAAUGUAUGAAGGUUGUGUACCUCGGGCAUCGUCAAUUUCUUCAGACCAAGCAUCUCGUAAGAAAGAAAGGCAAGCAUUUCAAAGGUGAGGCGGGUCACAGGGAUACGCCUGGCCACCGUACUGGUGAUGAUAUAUUUUUAUAUCGUUAAAGAUUUAAAGUAAUCUUUGGAAAAGGUCUUGACGGUCAAUUUGUUCCGACUGAUGGCGCCACCGGACACGCGCCAACGUGGAAGAAGAAAUCCAUAUCUUGGGACCUAUCCUAUUGGAAAGUCUUAGAGGUUUGCUAUGCAAUCAACGUGAUUCACGUGACGAAGAAUCUUCGCGUCAACCUGCUAGGCUUCCCGGGCUUGUAUGGGCAGACAAAAGAUACACCGGAAGCAUGACGGGACCAGCAACGUAUGAAAGAACCAGACAGCAUGCAUCGAGACAACGAGAAGGAUAAAUGCGCGUCAUUACUUAAGUGUUGCCAGCUACGCUCUUACCAAAGCAGAGAAGGAAAAAAAAUUGAAUGAGUGAGCAGUAUCAAAGUCCCGUCUGGCUUCUUGUCAAAUAUAAAGGGAAUAAUAAAUAUUGUAGAAAAAAAUUCCAAAACCUAAAGUCUCAUGAUUGUCAUGUGAUUAUGACGCAAUUGCUUUCGGUUGCAUUAAGGGGGCUUCUACCAAAAAAUGUUCGAUUAGCCGGUGUGAAACUAUGUGCAUUCCUCAAUGCAAUUUCUCAGAAGGUAAUUGAUCGAGAAAUCCUACCAAGGUUACAAAAUGAUUUGGUCCAAUGUCUUCUCAAUUCCGAAUUGGUGUUCCUAUCAUCCUUCUUCAAUAUUAUGACACACGUAGUAGUUCACCUAGUUGAAGAGAUUACCAUUAUGUGUCAUGUAUUUUUAUACAAUAUGUUCCCCUUUAAGAGGUUCACGAGAGCCUUAAAGAGAUCGGUCAUGUAAUUUAAUUAUACACAUGAGUUAAUCAAUACAUAAUUGGGUUGAAAGCCAUAGUUAUGGGAGACAACUAUUUCUAUUGUAGCAAUCAAGAUUGGCAUCUAUUUUAAUUUUUGGUAAGUGUAUGUUUAUUUCCUUGUACAAAUAUGCAGGUAAGACAAAUACGUGGAUCCAUUGGUAUAGGCCACCUGAAAAGCUUGUUCUCUUAUCGCAAAUUCGGGAAAGGGUUAAAAGGGGAAGUUGAUGUAUAUGUUGAGGGUUGAGAAAUUAGAGAAUCCUAUGAGAAUAGUGUAGAAUUAUAAAAAAUAACGUUUCUCGAGGCUGAGUAACAAUGGUGGGGGUUCCUGUUGGGGGUUCCCGUAGAUUUCAUUGUGCUUGAUAUUGAUUGCAAUCCGACAUGUCCUAUCAUUCUUGGUAGACCUUUCCUAAGGACUAUUGGUGCUAUCAUCGAUAUGAAGGAAGGGAAUAUUAGAUUUCAAUUUCCAUUGAAGAAGGGCAUGGAACAUUUUCCUAGAAAGAAAAUAAGAUUGCCUUAUGAAUCCAUGAUGAGGGCUACUUAUGGUUUGAGUACCAAAGACGACGAUACUUGAUUCUAUCGCCUUAUGCCUAGCUAAGGGGCGUUAAACAAUAGCGCUUGUUGGGAGGCAACCCAAUAAAUUUAUCUUUGCUUUUGGCUUUCUGUUUUGUUGUGUCCAUACCAUCAUAAUUCUUUUAUGAUUGUGUUCUUUGUGUUUAUUUUUGUGUUUGUGCCAAGCAAAACCUUUAUGAUCAGUUUUGGUGAUGGUUGUUUGAUCUUGCUGAAAAAGACAGAAACUUUGCGCUCACGAAAUUAUUUUUAAUUCCUAUCCAGAAAGAGCUUUUAAGUUGAUUCUUUUUGCUUCUGGUUGAUAUGUCAAUUGCCCUAAUUUUCAUAGUUUUUCAGAAUUUUUGAGAUAACAGAAGUAUAUGAAGUAUACAGAUUGCUACAAACUGGUCUGUUUUUGACAGAUUCCGUUUUUGUUGUGUUGAUUGAUUAUUUUGAUGAAACUAUGGAUAGUAUCGGGGGGUACUAGCCAUGGAAAAGUGAGAAUACAGUAAUCUAACACCAAUAUAAAUAGAAAUCAAGUUUGCUACAGUACCUAAAGAGAUGAUAGUUUGUUUUCUUAUGCUAAUGAUAUCAUGAGUUUCUGUUUAAGUUUUGUGUUGUGAAGUUUUCAAGUUUUUGUUGAUGUUCUCAUGGACAAUGGGAUAAAGAGUGGAAAGAGCUCAAGCUUGGGGAUGACCAAGGCAUCCCAAGCCAAAUUCAGGGACACCAAAAAGCCUAAGCUUGGGGAUGCCCCGGGAAGGCAUCCCCUCUUCGUCUUCAAUCCAUCGGUAACGUUAUUUGGAGCUAUAUUUUUAUUCACCACAUGAUAUGUGUUUUGGUUGGAGCGUCGUGUAUUAUAGGAGUCUUUUAUUUUUGUUGUGUCACAAUCAUCCUUGCUGCAUACCUUCUUGAGAGAGAGACAUGCACUCAUCGUGAUUUUGCUAGAAUACUCUUUGAGCUUCGCUUAUAUCUUUUGAGUUAGGCAAUUUAGCUUGCAUGUACUUCACUUAUAUCUUUUUGAGCUAUAUAACUUUGCUCUAGUGCUUCACUUAGAUCUUUUUAGAGCACGACGGUGUCAUAUUUUGUAGAAAUAAGAACUCUCGAUCUUCACUUAUAUCUUUUUGAGAGUGCUCUCUGUGUGCAACUUGGUAAUUGGCUUGUGCUAUGAAAGUAGUCCAAAAGAUGAUAGGCAUCCAAAGAGGAUAUAAUAAAGACAUCCAUAUUCAUGUGCAUUGAUUAUAAAGUGAAGUUUGAUUCCUCUCAAUUAGUUUUGAGACAUGGAUUUGGUAAUAUUAGAGUUAUGUUAGUAUGGUGUUGUGAAUCUGUAAAUACUUGUGUUGAAGUUAGUGAUUCCCGCAGCAUGCACGUAUGGUGAACUGCUAUGUUAGAAAGUCGGAGCAUAAUUGAUUUAUUGAUUGUCAUCCUUUGUGUGGUGGUCGGGAUCGCGCGAUGGUUAACACCUACCAACCCUUCCCCUAGGAGUAUGCGUUUAGCACUUUGUUUUUUUACUAAUAAAACUUUUGCAAUAAGUAUAUGAGUUCUUCAUGACUAAUGUGAGUCCAUGGUAUAGAUGCACUUUCACCUGCCACCAUUGGUACCUUCUCUAGUGCCGCGCAACUUUCUCCGGUGCACAAACCCACCAUAUACCUUCCUCAAAACAGCCACCAUACCUACCUAUUAUGUCAUUUUCAUAGCCAUUCUGAGAUACAUUGCCAUGCAACUCCCACCGUUCUGUCUCAUGACUUGUGCCGUCACUUUCAUAUUGCCAUUGCAUGAUCGUAAGAUAGCUAGCGAGAUGUUUCAACGUCAUACGCUAAGCUAGAUCGUUGCACAACUCGGUACACUGUCGGAGGCAUUUCCUAUAGAGUCAUCAUUGCUCUAAGUGUUGAGUUGUGAGUAAAUAAAAGUGUGAUGAUCAUCAUUAUUAGACCAUUGUUCCAUGUGAGGAAAAAAAGAGACCAAAGUUUCCCACCAAAAAAAUGAAAAAAAAGAGGCCGAAGAGCCCAAACAAAAAAGGAGAAAAAAAGAAAGAGAGAAAAAGAGAGAGAAGGGACAAUGAUACUAUCUUUUUCCACACUUGUGCUUCAAAAUAGCACUAUGUUCUUCAUGAUAGAGAGUGUCUUGUUUUGACACUUCCAUAUACUAGUGGGAAUCUUCAUUAUAUAACUUGGCUUGUAUAUUGCAAUGAUGGGCUUCCUCAAAAUCGCCCUAGGUCUUCGUGAGCAAGCAAGUUGGAUGCACACCCACUAGUUCUUCUUUUGAGCUUUCACACACUUAUAGCUCUCGUGCAUCCGUUGCAUGGUAAUCCCUACUCAUUCACAUGGAUAUCUAUUGAUGGGCAUAUCCAUAGCCCUUUGAUACACCGAAUCAAUGUGACCAUCUCCUCCUUUUUGCCUCACAACCUCCACCACACUCUAUUCCACCUAUAAGUGUUAUAUCCAUGGCUCACGCUCAUGUAUUGCGUGAGAGUUGAAAAAGUUUGAGAAAGUAAGAGUGCGAAAACAAUUACUUGGCCAAUACCGGGGUUGUGCAUGAUUUAAAUUCGUUGUGUGGGGAUGAUGGAGCAUAGGCAGACUAUAUUAUUUUGUAGGGAUAACUUUCUUUGGCCUUGUUAUUUCAAAAGUUCAUGAUUACUUUGCUAGUUUGCUUGAAGUAUUAUUGUUUUCGUGUCAAUAGCAAACUAUUGUUUUGAAUCUUACGGAUCUGAACAUUCAUGUCACAUGAAAGAAGUUACAAAGGACAAGUAUGUUAGGUAGCAUUCCACAUUAAAAAUUCGGUCUUUAUCACUUCCCUACUCGAGGACGAGCAUGAGUUGAGCUUGGGGAUGCUUGAUACGUCUCCAACGUAUCAAUAAUUUUUUAUGGUUCCAUGCUAUUAUCUUGUCAACUUUGGAUGUUUUGUAUGCAUGAAUAUGCUAUUUUAUAUCUUUUUUGGGACUAACCUAUUAACUCAGUGCCAAGUGCUAGUUCCUGUUUUUUCCGUGUUUUUGACCUUUUUCAGAGGAGAAUAUUGAACGGAGUCCAAACGAAAUAAAACCUGUGGAAUGAUUUUUUCCAUAACAGAAGACACGUAGGAAACUUAAGAACCAAGGCAGGGGGACCUCGGAGGAGGUCACAAGCCACCCAGGCCCGACCUAGGGGUGGCCGGGCCUAGCAGGCUUGCGGGCCCCCUGUGGCUCCCCUGCCCUAGUUCUUCCGCCUAUAAAUUCCCUAAAAAUCUGAAACCACGGGAGAGAUUGCUGAACUAUCUAUUGCACUAGAAAAGGAGUGCACUCUUCGUUUGGCUCUUGAGGAGUCAUACAACGAUGACUGCGCUAAAUUGCAAAAGGAACUAGAUCAUGCUAUUGUUCUUACUCGUAUGCUUAAGUCUGAAAAGGAUGCUCUUGGGGUUGGCCAUGACAGACUCAAAGUGGAGUUUGACACACUUGACAAGGCUCACAAGGUCUUGAAAGGUGCUCAUUUCUCCCUGAAAGAGUCUCAUGAUCAACUCCAAGCAAAGCUUACCAAGGAAAUCUCUACUUGUCCUCCUUUCGUUUUAAUUGAUAAUUCUUGUACAACUAACCCUUGUUGUGAGCAUGUACAUUUUGUGGAGGAAAAUGCCAAGUUGAAGGAUAAACUUGAGAAGGGCCUUGUGUCAUGCAUCCAAGGCGAGAACAACCCGAACGACCUUUUGAGCAAUCAAAAGGGUGUGGUAGGAAAGGAGGGACUUGGACUUACAUCCAAGUCAAAAAGAAAAAGGAAGAACAGGAACAAACGAUCCCCUACCCUCAUGGACAUCUUUGUCAAAGAGGGCGAGGGGACUCAAGAGGUGAACAGGAACAAGGUGGAGAAUGGUAGCGUCAGGAAGGGCAAAACCAUUCCUACCAACACAACCGACAAACUCAAUCCUUCCUAUGUUUUAUGUCGUGCUGGUGAUGGGCAUGUUUAUGCCAGAUUUGUUGGUUCUUACUAUGAGUCCAUUGAAUGGGCUAUUUGGGUUCCUAAGACCCUUGUCUCUAACAUUAAAGGACCCAUUCAAAAAUGGGUACCUAAACCAAGCCUUGAUCUAUUGCAGGAGUUUGCUUCCGGUGGGUGUCAUGGUUGCUCGAUAGUGGAGCAACAAAUCAUAUGACCGGAAGCAAGGACUUAGUGGUGGAUGUGCAUCAUUCCCCAUCUAUGCCCACCCAUGCCCAAUUCGCCGAUGCAUCAUCGUCAAAGGUAUUGCGAUUUGGUAAGGUGGUCAUCUCUCAAGAGUUAUCUAUUGAGAAGGUCAUGCUUGUUGAGUCCCUUGCUUACAAUUUACUUCCGGUUCGUCAACUUGCAAUUAUGGGCUUUUCCACAUUCUUUAAUCUUGAUACUGUGGUCCUUUUGUGGAGCAAGACUCUUAAAGUAGCCUAUGUUGGAUAUGUCGAAAAUGGUCUCUAUGUGGUGAACUUUUCAAAGAGACCCACCAAUAAUGCGACUUGUCUAAUGGCUAAAGUUGAUGUGGGCUGGCUUUGGCAUCACCGACUAGCUCAUGUCAAUAUGAGAUCUUUGCAAAGUCUCCUCAAAGGGGACCAUAUUCGUGGACUAACGAAUGUGAGUUUUGCCAGAGAUCGUGCUUGCAGUGCCUGCAUUGAAGGAAAGAUUCAUGAAACUGCUCAUCGUCCAACGACUCUCAUUUACACUAAGAGGCCGUUGGAGCUCCUUCAUAUGUAUCUCUUCGGUCCUCCAUCAUUUGAUAGUCUUGGGGGCAGAAAGUACUGCUUGGUGAUUGUUGAUGACUACUCAAGAUACACCUGGGUAUAUUUCUUCAAGAGGAAGAGUGAGACUCAACAAACUGUCAUCAACUUUGCUAAUGAAGCUCAACGUCAACAUGAAGCAAAGAUUUUGAUGAUUAGAAGUGACAACGGCACUGAGUUCAAGAACUAUACCUUGGAUGAGUUUCUAGGUGAUGAGGGAAUAAAACAUCAAUAUUCUGCACCAUAUAGCAUUCAACAAAAUGGUGUGGCGGAAAGGAAGAACCGGGCGUUGAUGGACGCUGCAAGAACAAUGAUGGCGGAAUUCAAAUCUCCAUAUAACUUUUGGGCCGAAGCCAUCAACACAGCAUGUCAUGCGUCCAAUCGCCUCUAUAUCCGCAAAGGCUUGAACAAGACCCCAUAUGAGAUUCCAACCGGAAACAAACCCAAUCUCAAGUACUUUCGAGUAUUCGGGUGUAAGUGUUUCAUUCUUAAGAAAGGUGCACGUUUAGCUAAAUUUGAUUCUAGAGCACAAGAGGGCAUCUUUGUUGGUUAUGCUACAAACUCUCAUGCUUACCGUGUCCUCAACAAGUCCACCGGGAUCAUUGAGGAGACGUGUAACGUGGAGUUUGAUGAAAAUAAUGGCUCCCAAGUGGAGCAAAGUGGUCUAUGUGAUGUAAGUGAUGAAAUUCCUCCCCAAGCCAUAAGAAGAAUGGGGAUUGGUCAAAUACUCCCCAUUGAGGAACCCCUUGUGGCCGAAGGAGAAGGACAAUGCUCUACUCAAGUGGAGCCAUCAUCCUCACAAGCCCCACACGCUUCCGAUGAACAAAGAGAAGACCCUCAGCCAGGUUAACAAGCUCAAGGACAAGAUCAAUUGCUCAAAGAUGGUGAUGUGUCCCAUGAUGUACAAGCGCUUACAUAAGGUUCCAAAUCUGCUCAAGAUCAAGAUCAAGUGCAACUACAAGAUCCAGACAAAAUAGAAGCACAAGACCGAGAUCAAGAGCAACCACAAGAACAAGGACAAACCAGUGAACCUGCUCAAGUCGACAACCAAGUUGAUCAGGAUGCUGUCUCUCAAUUCCCUUCUGCAGCGCCUAAGAGGGCUACUCGUGCCAAGGGAGGAUCAAAACGCUAGGGCAAGCAAAGUUAUCAAGUCGAUGCUCCCCAGUUAUCCAAUGCAGAACUCUUGGAGCGUCGCGCAGCCAAGAUUGCGAACAAGCUGAGAGUCAAGUCACAUCUUAUAAAGAAUGUGCUUGGCAGUUUGAAAAGGGGGUAUCCACUCGUCAACAAAUUUGGAAUUAUUGUGAGCAUCACGCGUUUGUUUCGUAUUGUGAACCUCAACAGGUACAGGAAGCGCUCGAUGAUGAGGAUUGGCUUAUGGCCAUGCAUGAAGAACUCAACAACUUCGAGCGUAAUCAAGUCUGGAAUUUAAUGGCAAGACCAAAGGAGGAACAUAAUGUCAUCGGGACCAAAUGGAUCUUCAAAAACAAGCAAGAUGCCAAUGGGAUUGUGAUUCGAAACAAGGCAAGAUUGGUGGCUCAAGGCUACUCCCUGCUACGUCAACAAAAGCACUUCCCUCGCAAUGGUGCCAGAGAUCCUUCUGUCGCCUCUUGAGCUUGCGUUGUUUUUCCCUUGAAGAGGAAAGGGUGAUGCAGCACAUGAGCAGUAAGUAUUUCCCUCAGUUUGAGAACCAAGGUAUCAAUCUAGUAGGAGAAUCUCGUCAAGUCCAGAGUACCUGCACAAACACAAAAGAGCUUGCGCCCAACACUGUAAAUGGGUUGUCAAUCCCUUUUAGAUUGUUUGCAAACUGAGAUCUGAAGGCGGAAAGUGCAACGAAGUAAAAAGUGUAAGGCCGAAAAUUUGGUGUGGAGUAGACCCGGGGGCCAUAGUGUUCACUAGAGGCUUCUCUCAAAAUAGCAAAUAUCAUGGUGGGUGAACAAAUUACUGUCGAGCAAUUGAUAGAACCGCGCAAAGUCAUGACGAUAUCUAAGGCAAUGAUCAUACAUAUAGGCAUCACGUCCGAGACAAGUAGACCGAUACUUUCUAUAUCUACUACUAUUACUCCACACAUCGACCGCUAUCCAGCAUGCAUCUAGUGUAUUGAGUUCAUGACGAACAGAGUAACGCCUUAAGCAAGAUGACAUGAUGUAGAGGGAUAAUCUCAAACCAAUGAUGAAAAUCCCAUCUUUUUACCCUUGAUGGCAACAACACGAUGCGUGCCUCGCUACCCCUUGUGUCACUGGGUGAGGUCACCGCAUGGUAUGAACCCAAAACCAAGCACUUCUCCCAUUGCAAGAAUCAUAGAUCUAGUUGGCCAAACAAAACCCACAACUCGAAGAGAAUUACAAGGAUAUGAAAUCAUGCAUAAGAGAGAUCGGAAGAAACUCAAAUAAGAUUCAUAGAUAAUCUGAUCAUAAAUCCACAAUUCAUCGGAUCUCGACAAACACACCGCAAAAGAAGAUUACAUCGGAUAGAUCUCCAUGAAGAUCAUGGAGAACUUUGUAUUCAAGAUCCAAGAGAGAGAAGAAGCCAUCUACCUACUAGCUAUGGACCCGUAGGUCUAUGGUGAACUACUCACGCAUCAUCAGAGAGGUCAUGGUGUUGAUGAAGAAGCCCUCUGUAUCCGAAUCCCCCCUCCGGCAGGGCACCGGAACGUGCCCCAGAUGGGACCUUGCGGAGACACAAGCUUGCGGCGGCGGAAAAGUUCCUGAUUUUUUCUGGGAUUUUAGGGAAUAUAUAGGCGAAAAACCUAGGGCAGAGGUGACCCAGGGAGCCCACAAGCCUGGACGGCGCGGGCUCCCCCCUGACCGCGCCAUGAGGGCUUGUGGGGUCCCCGAGGACCCCCUGCCUUGGCUCUCAAGUCUCCCGAUCUUCUUCCGUUCUGGAAAAAAUCUUUUCGAAAGUUUUAUUCCGUUUGGACUCCGUUCAAAAUCCUCCUUUGAAAGGGGUCAAAAACAUGGAAAAACAGGAACUGGCACUUGGCACCGAGUUAAUAAGUUAGUCCCAAAAAAUAUAUAAAAGGUAUACAAAACAUCCAAAGUUUGACAAGAUAAUAGCAUGAAACCAUAAAAAAUUAUAGAUACGUUGGAGACGUAUCAUCUACCAAACUCGCAACUCAGAUAUUCAUCUCUAUGAUCAUAUCGUGGACAUUUCAUCCUCUUGACAGGACGAUCUUCAACUUCACAAUGAAAUUGCUUGAACCUUUCGACAAUUCAGACCCGUGAUUCAUCAAGUAAAUACACCUGUAUCUACUCAAAUCAUUUGUGAAGUAAGAACAAAACAAUACUAGUGUGUGCUUUAACACUCAUUGGACUGCAUACAUCAAAAUGUAUUAUUUCCAAUAAGUCACUUGCUCGUUCCAUCUCACUGGAAAACGAGGCAUUCAGUCAUCUUGCCCAUGUGGCAUGAUUUGCACGUCUCAAGUGAUUCAAAAUCAAGUGAGUCCAAAAGAUCCAUGUGCAUGGAGUUUCUUCAUGCGUUUACACCAAUUGGCAUGGUUCACAUGUCUCAAACGCUUCAAAAACGAGUGAGUCCAAAUAUCCAUCAACAUGGAGCUUUUUCAUGCAUUUUAUACCAAUAUGACUUAAGCGACAUUGCCACAAAUAAGUGGUACUAUUAUUACUACUUUGUAUCUUUUCGCAUCAAUAUUAUGAACAUGCGUACCACUACGAUCGAGAUUCAAUAAACCAUUCAUAUUAGGUGCAUGACCAUUAAAGGUAUUAUUCAAGUAAACAGAGUAACUAUUAUUCACCUUAAAUGAGUGACCGUGUCACAAUAAACACAAUCCAAUCAUUUUCAUGUUUAAUGCAAACACCAAACAACAUUUAGGUCCAACACUAAUCCCGAAAGUAGGGGAGCGUGCGAUGGUGAUCACAUCAACCUUGGAAACACUUCCAACACACAUCGUCACCUCGCUUUUAGCUAGUCUCCGUCUAUUCCGUAGCUUUUAUUUCGAGUUACUAACAUUUAGCAACUGAACCGGUAUCUAAUACCCAUGUGUUGGGGAACGUCGCCUGGGAAACAAAAAUUUUCCUACGCGCACGAAGACCUAUCAUGGUGAUGUCCAUCUACGAGAGGGGAUAUUCGAUCUACGUACCUUGUAGACCGCAUAGCAGAAGCGUUAGUGAACGCGGUUGAUGUAGUGGAACGUCCUCACGUCCCUCGAUCCACCCCGAGAACCGUCCCACGAUCAGUCCCAUGAUCUAGUGCCGAACGGACGGCACCUCCGCGUUCAGCACACGUACAGCUCGACGAUGAUCUCGGCCUUCUUGAUACAGCAAGAGAGACAGAGAGGUAGAUGAGUUCUCUGGCAGCGUGACGGCGCUCCGGAGGUUGGUGAUGAUCUUAUCUCAGCAGGGCUCCGCCCGAGCUCCGCAGAAACGCGAUCUAGAGGUAAAACCGUGGAGAUAUGUGGUCGGGCUGCCGUGGCAAAGUUGUCUCAAAUCAGCCCUAAAACCUCCGUAUAUAUAGGGGGAAGAGGGGGAGCCUUCCCUUGGGGUCCAAGGACCCCCAAGGGGUUCGGCUGAGCCAAGGGGGGCAACCCUCCCCUUCCAAACCGAGUCCAACUAGGUUUGGAAGGAGGAGUCCUUCCCCCUUUUCCCACCUCCUCUUUUUUUUUCUCUUUGAUUUUCUUCCUAUGGCGCAUAGGGCCUUCUUGGACUGUCCCACCAGCCCACUAAGGGAUGGUGCGCCACCCCCAAGGCCUAUGGGCUUCCCCGGGGUGGGUUCCCCCCCCCCGGUGAACACCCGGAACCCAUUCGUCAUUCCCGGUAACUCCGAAAACCUUCCGGUAAUCAAAUGAGGUCAUCCUAUAUAUCAAUCUUCGUUUCCGGACCAUUCCGGAAAUCCUCGUGACGUCUGUGAUCUCAUCCGGGACUCCGAACAACAUUCGGUAACCAACCAUAUAACUCAAAUACGCAUAAAACAACGUCGAACCUUAAGUGUGCAGACCCUGCGGGUUCGAGAACUAUGUAGACAUGACCCGAGAGACUCCUCGGUCAAUAUCCAAUAGUGGGACCUGGAUGCCCAUAUUGGAUCCUACAUAUUCUACGAAGAUCUUAUCGUUUGAACCUCAGUGCCAAGGAUUCAUAUAAUCCCGUAUGUCAUUCCCUUUGUCCUUCGGUAUGUUACUUGCCCGAGAUUCGAUCGUCAGUAUCCGCAUACCUAUUUCAAUCUCGUUUACCGGCAAGUCUCUUUACUCGUUCCGUAAUACAAGAUCCCGCAACUUACACUAAGUCACAUUGCUUGCAAGGCUUGUGUGUGAUGUUGUAUUACCGAGUGGGCCCCGAGAUACCUCUCCGUCACACGGAGUGACAAAUCCCAGUCUCGAUCCAUACUAACUCAACGAACACCAUCGGAGAUACCUGUAGAGCAUCUUUAUAGUCACCCAGUUACGUUGCGAUGUUUGAUACACACAAAGCAUUCCUCCGGUGUCAGUGAGUUAUAUGAUCUCAUGGUCAUAGGAAAAAUACUUGACACGCAGAAAACAGUAGCAACAAAAUGACACGACCAAUAUGCUACGUCUAUUAGUUUGGGUCUAGUCCAUCACGUGAUUCUCCUAAUGACGUGAUCCAGUUAUCAAGCAACAACACCUUGUUCAUAAUCAGAAGACCCUGACUAUCUUUGAUCAACUAGCUAGCCAAGUAGAGGCUUGCUAGGGACAGUGUUUUGUCUAUGUAUCCACACAUGUAUAUAAGUCUUCAUUCAAUACAAUUAUAGCAUGGAUAAUAAACGAUUAUCUUGAUACAGGAAUUAUAAUAAUAACUAUAUUUAUUAUUGCCUCUAGGGCAUAAUUCCAACAGUCUCCCACUUGCACUAGAGUCAAUAAUCUACCCUCACAUCAUCAUGUGAAUUACAUUGUAAUAAAUCUAACACCCAUACAGUUCUAGUGUUGAUCAUGCUUUGCCCGUGGAAUGUUGGGUAACGUAGCAUAAAUUCAAAAAAUUUCCUACGCAUGUUCAGAUCUUCCUAUGGAGAGACCAGCAACGAGAGAGGGGUAAGAGCAUCUUCGUACCUUUGAAGAUCGCUAAGCGGAAGCGUUGCUAGAACGCGGUUGAUGGAGUCGUACUCGCAGCGAUUCCGAUCUAGUGCCGAACAACGGCACCUCCGCGUUCAACACACGUGCAGCCCGGUGACGUCUCCCGCACCUUGAUCCAGCAAGGAGGAGGGAGAGGUUGGGGAAGAAGACCAGAAACACGACGGCGUGGUGUUGGUGGAGAGACGAGGUCUCCCGGCAGGGCUUCGCCAAGCGCCGGCAGAGAGGAGGAGGAAGAAGUGCAGGGCUGCGCCGAGGGAGAGGGAAAACCGUGUCCUCCAAAGGCCAAAAGUGCCCACUAUAUAUAGGGGAAGGGGAGAGGGGGUGCCACCCCUAGGGUUCCCACCCUAGGGGGUGCGGCAGCCCUCCCAGAUGGGGUUUGUGGCGGCCAGAUGGGGAGGAGGGGGUGGCGCACCCCUCUGGUGGGCCUAAGGCCCACCUAAGUUAGGGUUCCCCCCCUCUUUUUCUUUCCCCUGCGCCAUGGGCUGAGUGGGGAGGCAUACCAGCCCAACUAGGGGCUGGUUCCCACCACCACUUAGCCCAUCUUACCUCUUGGGGUCGCAGCCCCCCUUCGGUGGUCCCCCGGGACCACCUCCGGUGGCCCCGGUGGUCCCGGUACGUUACCGGUGAUGCCCGAAACACUUCCGGUGUCCGAAACCAUCCGUCCUAUAUAUCAAUCUUUACCUCCGGACCAUUCCGGAGCUCCUCGUGACGUCCGGGAUCUCAUCCGGGACUCCGAACAACUUUAGGUAAUCUCGUAUAACAAUUCCCUAUAACCCUAGCGUCAUCGAACCUUAAGUGUGUAGACCCUACGGGUUCGGGAGACAGGCAGACAUGACCGAGACACCUCUCUGGCCAAUAACCAUCAGCGGGGUCUGGAUACCCAUGGUGGCUCCCACUAGCUCCACGAUGAUCUCAUCGGAUGAACCACGAUGUCAAGGAUUCAAUCAAUCCCGUAUACGAUUCCCUUUGUCUGUCGGUAUAGAACUUGCCCGAGAUUCGAUCGUCGGUAUGCCUAUACCUUGUUCAAUCUCGUUACCGGUAAGUCUCUUUACUCGUUCCGUAGCACGUCAUCGUGUGACUAACUCGUUAGUCACAUUGAGCUCAUGAUGAUGUUCUACCGAGUGGGCCCAGAGAUACCUCUCCGUCACACGGAGUGACAAAUCCCGAUCUCGAUUCGUGCCAACCCAACAGACACUUUCGGAGGUACCCGUAGUGAACCUUUAUAGUCACCCAAUUACGUUGUGACGUUUGAUACACCCAAAGCACUCCUACGGUAUCCGGGAGUUGCACAAUCUCACGGUCGAAGGAAAAGAUACUUGACAUUAGAAAAACAUUAGCAUACGAACAACACGAUCUAGUGCUAGGCUUAGGAUUGGGUCUUGUCCACCACAUCAUUCUCCCAAUGAUGUGAUCCCGUUAUCAAUGACAUCCAGUGUCCAUGAUCAGGAAACCAUGAUCAUCUAUUGACUAACGAGCUAGCUAACUAGAGGCUUGCUAGGGACACAUUGUGAUCUAUUCAUUCACACAUGUAUUAGUGUUUCCUGUUAAUACAAUUAUAGCAUGAACGAUAGACUAUUAUCAUGAACAAGAAAAUAUGAUAAUAACCAUUUUAUUAUUGCCUCUAGGGCAUAUUUCCAACAUGGAAGAGGUUUAGUCAGCGGGUCUGCUACAUUCAGAUCCGUGUGCGCUUUGCAUAUAUUUACGUCCUCCCCUUCGACGUAGUCGCGGAUGAGGUUGAAGCGUCGUUUGAUGUGUCUGGACUUCUUGUGAAACCGUGGUUUCCUUUGCUAGGGCAAUGGCACCCGUGUUGUCACAGAACAAGGUUAUUGGAUUCAGUGCGCUUGGCACUACUCCAAGAUCCGUCAUGAACUGCUUCAUCCAGACACCCUCCUUAGCCGCCUCCGAGGCAGCCAUGUACUCCGCUUCACAUGUGGAAUCUGCUAUGACGCUUUGCUUGGAACUGCACCAGCUUACCGCACCCCCAUUAAGAAUAAAUACGUAUCCGGUCUGUGACUUAGAGUCGUCCGGAUGUGUGUCAAAGCUUGCGUCGACGUAACCCUUUACGGCGAGCUCUUCGUCACCUCCAUACACGAGAAACAUAUCCUUAGUCCUUCUCAGGUACUUCAGGAUAUUCUUGACCGUCGUCCACUGAUCCACUCCUGGAUUACUCUGGAACCUGCCUGCCAUACUUAUGGCCAAGCUAACGUCCGGUCUAGUGCACACCAUUGCAUACAUGAUAGAACCUAUGGCUGAAGCAUAGGGGACGGUGCUCAUAUGCUCUCUAUCUUCAUAAGUUGCUGGGCACUGAGUCUUACUCAAUCUCGUACCUUGUAAAAUUGGCAAGAACCCUUUCUUGGACUGUUCCAUUUUGAACCUCUUCAAAACUUUAUCAAGGUAUGUGCUUUGUAAAAGUCCUAUCAGGCGUUUCGAUCUAUCCCUGUAGAUCUUAAUGCCUAGAAUGUAAGCAUCUUCUCCUAGGUCCUUCAUAGAGAAACUUUUAUUCAAGUAAUCCUUUAUGCUCUCCAAAAACUCUACGUUGUUUCCAAUCAGCAAUAUGUCAUCCACAUAUAAUAUUAGAAACGCCACAGAGCUCCCACUCACUUUCUUGUAAAUACAAGAUUCUCCAACCACUUGUAUAAACCCAAAUGCUUUGAUCACCUCAUCAAAACGCUUGUUCCAACUCCGAGAUGGUUGCACCAGCCCAUAAAUGGAUCGCUGGAGCUUGCACACCUUGUUAGCAUUCUUAGGAUCGACAAAACCUUCGGGUUGCAUCAUAUACAACUAUUCCUUAAGGAAACCGUUAAGGAACGCCGUUUUGACAUCCAUCUGCCAGAUUUCAUAAUCGAAAAAUGCAGCUAUUGCUAACAUGAUUCUGACGGACUUAAGCAUCGCUACGGGUGACAAUGUCUCAUCGUAGUCAACUCCUUGAACUUGUGAAAAACCCUUUGCCACAAGUCGAGCUUUAUAAACGGUCACAUUGCCGUCAGCAUCCGUCUUCUUCUUAAAGAUCCAUUUGUUCUGAAUAGCCUUGCGGCCCUCAGGUAGUACUUCCAAAGUCCAUACUUUGUUCUCAUACAUGGAUCCUAUCUCGGACUUCAUGGCCUCUAGCCAUUUGUUGGAAUCUGGGCCCACCAUUGCUUCUUCAUAAUUUGCAGGUUCAUUAUUGUCUAACAACAUGAUUGACAUGACGGGAUUACCGUACCACUCUGGAGCAGCACGUGGUCUCGUCGACCUGCGUGGUUCGACAGGAACUUGAACCGGAGUUUCAUGAUCAUCAUCAUUAACUUCCUCCUCAACCGGCGUCGCAAUGACAGAGGAUUCCCCUUGCCCUGCGCCACUAUCUAGAGGGAUGAGAGGUUCGACAACCUCAUCAAGUUCUAUCUUCCUCCCACUCAAUUCUCUCGAGAGAAACUCCUUCUCGAGAAAAGCUCCGUUUUUAGCAACAAAUACUUUGCCCUCGGAUUUGAGAUAGAAGGUGUAUCCAACUGUCUCUUUUGGGUAACCUAUGAAGAUGCACUUUUCCGCUUUGGGUUCCAGCUUUUCAAGCUGAAGCUUUUUGACAUAAGCAUCACAUCCCCAAACUUUAAGAAAUGACAACUUUGGCAUUUUGCCAUACCACAGUUCGUAUGGUGUCGUCUCAACGGAUUUUGAUGGUGCCCUAUUUAAAGUGAAUGCAGCUGUUUCUAAUGCAUAACCCCAAAACGAUAACGACAAAUCGGUAAGAGACAUCAUAGAUCGCACCAUCUCUAAUAAAGUACGAUUACGACGUUCGAACACACCAUUACGCUGUGGUGUUCCAGGCGGUGUCAACCGUGAAACAAUUCCACAUUGUCUUAAGUGAGCACCAAACUCGAAACUCAGAUAUUCACCCCCACGAUCAGACCGUAGGAACUUGAUCUUCUUGUUACGAUGAUUUUCAACUUCACUCUGAAAUUGCUUGAACUUUUCAAAUGUUUCAUACUUGUGCUUCAUUAAGUAGACAUAACCAUAUCUACUCAAAUCGUCAGUGAAGGUGAGAAAAUAACGAUAUCCGCCGCGUGCCUCUACGCUCAUGGGACCGCACACAUCGGUAUGUAUGAUUUCCAACAAGUCACUUGCACGCUCCAUUGUUCCGGAGAACGGAGUUUUAGUCAUCUUGCCCAUGAGGCAUGGUUCGCACGUGUCAAGUGAAUCAAAGUCAAGUGACUCCAAAAGUCCAUCGGCAUGGAGUUUCUUCAUGCGCUUUACACCAAUAUGACCUAAGCGGCAGUGCCACAAAAAUAUGGCGCUAUCAUUGUUAACUCUAAUUCUUUUGGUCUCAAUGUUAUGUAUGUGUGUAUCACUAUCAAGAUUCAAUAUGAACAAUCCUCUCACAUUGGGUGCAUGACCAUAAAAGAUGUUACUCAUAGAAAUAGAACAACCAUUAUUCUCUAACUUAAAAGAGUAAUUGUCUCGCAAUAAACAAGAUCCAGAUAUAAUGUUCAUGCUCAACGCAGGCACUAAACAACAAUGAUUCAAGUUCAUAACUAAUCCUGAUGGUAACUGAAGUGAAACUGUGCCGACGGCGAUUGCAUCAACCUUGGAACCAUUUCCUACGCGCAUCGUCACUUCAUCUUUCGCCAGCCUUCGUCUAUUCCGCAGUUCCUGUUUCGAGUUGCAAAUAUGAGCAACAGAACCGGUAUCGAAUACCCAGGCACUACUAUGAGAGCCGGUUAAGUACACAUCAAUAACAUGUAUAUCAAAUAUACCUGAUUUUUCUUUGGCUGCCUUCUUAUCAGCCAGAUACUUGGGGCAGUUGUGCUUCCAGUGACCCAUACCCUUGCAAUAGUAACACUUUGUUUCAGGCUUAGGUCCAGCUUUGGGUUUCUUCGUCGGAUUGGCAACAGGCUUGCCGCUCUUCUUUGAAUUACCCUUCUUGCCUUUGCCGUUUCUCUUGAAACUGGUGGUCUUAUUCACCAUCAACACUUGAUGCUCUUUACGGAGUUCAGACUCUGCGACUUUCAGCAUCGCAAACAACUCGCCGGGUGACUUGUUCAUCCCUUGCAUGUUGUAGUUCAACACAAAGCCUUUAUAGCUUGGCGGCAGUGAUUGAAGGAUUCAGUCAGUGAUAGCCUCUUGCGGGAGUUCAAUCCCCAGCUCAGCUAGACGGUUUGAGUACCCAGACAUUUUGAGCACAUGUUCACUGACAGACGAGUUCUCCUCCAUCUUGCAAGCAUAGAAUUUAUCGGAGGUCUCAUACCUCUCGAUCCGGGCGUUCUUCUGAAAGAUGAACUUCAACUCCUGGAACAUCUCAAAUGCUCCAUGAUGCUCAAAGUGACGUUGAAGUCCCGGUUCUAAGCCAUACAAGACUGCACAUUGAACUACUGAGUAGUCCUCCUUACGUGUUAACCAAGCGUUCUUAACAUCCUGGUCAGCCGUAGCGGGUGGUUCAUCUCCUAGCGCAAAAUUAAGGACAUAAUCCUUCUUCCCAGCUUGUAAGAUUAGCUUAAGAUUACGAGCCCAGUCUACAAAGUUGCUUCCAUCAUCUUUCAACUUAGCUUUCUCUAGGAACAUAUUAAAAUUAAGGGUGACUGUCGCGUGAGCCAUGAUCUACAACACAAAUAUAUUCAAAGUGGACUUAGACUAUGUUCAAGAUAAUUAGAGUUUAACUUAAUCAAAUUACUCGCUAAACUCCCACUCAAAAAGUACAUCUCUCUAGUCAUUUGAGUGGUUCAUGAUCCACUUACACUAGCUCAAGUCCGAUCAUCACGUGAGUUGAGUAUAGUUUCAGUGGUAAGCAUCCCUAUGCUAAUCAUAUCAUCUAUAUGAUUCAUGAUAGACCUUUCGGUCUCAUGUGUUCCGAGGCCAUGUCUGCACAUGCUAGGCUCGUCAAGCUUAACCCGAGUGUUCCGCGUGUGCAACUGUUUUGCACCCGUUGUAUGUGAACGUUGAGUCUAUCACACCCGAUCAUCACGUGGUGUCUCGAAACGACGAACUGUAGCAACGGUGCACAGUCGGGGAGAACACAAUUUCGUCUUGAAAUUUUAGUGAGAGAUCACCUUAUAAUGCUACCGUCGUUCUAAGCAAAAUAAGGUGCAUAAAAGGAUUAACAUCACAUGCAAUUCAUAAGUGACAUGAUAUGGCCAUCAUCACGUGCUCCUUGAUCUCCAUCACCAAAGCACCGCCACGAUCUUCUUGGCACCGGCGCCACACCAUGAUCUCCAUCAACGUGUCGCCAUCGGGGUUGUCGUGCUACUCAUGCUAUUACUACUAAAGCUACAUCCUAGCAAAAUAGUAAACGUAUCUGCAAGCACAAACGUUAGUUUAAAGACAACCCUAUGGAUCCUUCCGGUUGCCGUACCAUCGACAUGCAAGUCGAUAUUAUCUAUUACAACAUGAUCAUCUCAUACAUCCAAUAUAUCACAUCACAUCGUUGGCCAUAUCACAUCACAAGCAUACCCUGCAAAAACAAGUUAGACGUCCUCUAAUUUUGUUGUUGCAUGUUUUACGUGGUGACCAUGGGUAUCUAGUAGGAUCGCAUCUUACUUACGCAAACACCACAACGGAGAUAUAUGAAUUGCUAUUUAACCUUAUACAAGGACCUCCUCGGUCAAAUCCGAUUCAACUAAAGUUGGAGAAACUGACACUUGCCAAUCAUCUUUGAGCAACGAGGUUACUCGUAGCGAUGAAACCAGUCUCUCGUAAGCGUACGAGUAAUGUCGGUCCAAGCCGCUUCAAUCCAAUAAUACCGUUGAAUCAAGAAAAGACUAAGGAGGGCAGCAAAACGCACAUCACCGCCCACAAAAACUAUUGUGUUCUACUCGAGAAGACAUCUACGCAUGAACCUAGCUCAUGAUGCCACUGUCGGGGAACGUCGCAUGGGAAACAAAAAUUUCCUACGCGCACGAAGACCUAUCUGUUGGAAUUAUGCCCUAGAGGCAAUAAUAAACGUAUAGUUAUUGUUAUAAUUCCUGUAUCAAGAUAAUAGUUUAUUAUCCAUGCUAUAAUUGUAUUGAAUGAAGACUCAUUUACAUGUGUGGAUACAUAGACAAAACACCGUCCCUAGCAUGCCUCUAGUUGGCUAGCCAGUUGAUCGAUGAUAGUCAGUGUCUUCUGAUUAUGAACAAGGUGUUGUUGCUUGAUGACUGGAUCACGUCAUUGGGAGAAUCACGUGAUGGACUAGACCCAAACUAAUAGACGUAGCAUGUUGAUCGUGUCAUUUUGUUGCUACUGUUUUCUGCGUGUCAAGUAUUUAUUCCUAUGACCAUGAGAUCAUAUAACUCACUGACACCGGAGGAAUGCUUUGUGUGUAUCAAACGUCGCAACGUAACUGGGUGACUAUAAAGAUGCUCUACAGGUAUCUCCGAAAGUGUUAGUUGAGUUAGUAUGGAUCAAGACUGGGAUUUGUCACUCCGUGUGACGGAGAGGUAUCUCGGGGCCCACUCGGUAAUACAACAUCACACAUAAGCCUUGCAAGCAAUGUAACUUAGUGUAAGUUGCGGGAUCUUGUAUUACGGAACGAGUAAAGAGACUUGCUGGUAAACGAGAUUGAAAUAGGUAUGCGGAUACUGACGAUCGAAUCUCGGGCAAGUAACAUACCGAAGGACAAAGGGAAUGACAUACGGGAUUAUACGAAUCCUUGGCACUAAGGUUCAAACGAUAAGAUCUUCGUAGAAUAUGUAGGAUCCAAUAUGGGCAUCCAGGUCCCGCUAUUGGAUAUUGACCGAGGAGUCUCUCGGGUCAUGUCUACAUAGUUCUCGAACCCGCAGGGUCUGCACACUUAAGGUUCGACGUUGUUUUAUGCGUAUUUGAGUUAUAUGGUUGGUUACCGAAUGUUGUUCGGAGUCCCGGAUGAGAUCACGGACGUCACGAGGGUUUCCGAAAUGGUCCGGAAACGAAAAUUGAUAUAUAGGAUGACCUCAUUUGAUUAUCGGAAGGUUUUCGGAGUUACCGGGAAUGUACCGGGAAUGACGAAUGGGUUCCGGGAGUUCACCGGAGGGGGGCAACCCACUCCGGGGAAGCCCAUAGGCAUUUGGGGGGGUCACACCAGCCCUUAGUGGGCUGGUGGGACAGCCCACCAAUCCCCUAUGCGCCAAGAUAGAAAAUCAAAGGGAAGAAGAAAAAAAAGGAGGAAGUGGGAAGGGGGAAGGACUCCCUCCCACCAAACCAAGUAGGACUCGGUUUGGGGGGGGAGAGUCCUCCCCCCUGGCUCGGCCGACCCCUUGGGGAUCCCUUGGACCCCAAGGCAAGGUCCCCCUCCCUCCUCCUAUAUAUAUGGGGCUUUUAGGGCAGAUUUGAGACGACUUUCUCACGGCUGCCCGACCACAUACCUCCAUAGUUUUUCCUCUAGAUCGCGUUUCUGCGGAGCUCGGGCGGAGCCCUGCUGAGACGAGAUCAUCACCAACCUCCGGAGCGCCUUCACGCUACCGGAGAACUCUUCUACCUCUCCGUCUCUCUUGCUGGAUCAAGAAGGCCGAGAUCAUCGUCGAGCUGUACGUGUGCUGAACGCGGAGGUGCCGUCCGUUCGGUACUAGAUCGUGGGACUGAUCGCGGGAUUGUUCGCGGGGCGGAUCGAGGGACGUGAGGACGUUCCACUACAUCAACCGCGAUCUCUAAUCGCUUCUACUGUACGAUCUACAAGGGUACGUAGAUCACUCAUCCCCUCUCGUAGAUGGACAUCACCAUGAUAGGUCUUCGUGCGCGUAGGAAAAUUUUUGUUUCCCAUGCGACGUUCCCCAACACUAUCAUGGUGAUGUCCAUCUACUAGAGGGGAUAUUCGAUCUACGUACCCUUGUAGACCGCACAGCAGAAGCGUUAGUGAACGCGGUUGAUGUAGUGGAACGUCCUCACAUCCCUCGAUCCGCCCCGCGAACCGUCCCGCGAUCAGUCCCACGAUCUAGUGCCGAACGGACGGCACCUCCGCGUUCAGCACACGUACAGCUCGACGAUGAUCUCGGCCUUCUUGAUCCAGCAAGAGAGACGGAGAGGUAGAUGAGUUCUCCGGCAGCGUGACGGCGCUCCGGAGGUUGGUGGUGAUCUUAUCUCAGCAGGGCUCCGCCCGAGCUCCGCAGAAACGCGAUCUAGAGGUAAAACUGUGGAGAUAUGUUGUCGGGCUGCCGUGGCAAAGUUGUCUCAAAUCAGCCCUAAAACCUCCGUAUAUAUAGGGGGAAGAGGGGGAGCCUUGCCUUGGGGUCCAAGGACCCCCAAGGGGUUCGGCCGAGCCAAGGGGGGCAACCCUCCCCUUCCAAACCGAGUCCAACUAGGUUUGGAAGGAGGAGUCCUUCCCCCUUUUCCCACCUCCUCUUUUUUUUCUCUUUGAUUUUCUUCCUAUGGCGCAUAGGGCCUUCUUGGGCUGUCCCACCAGCCCACUAAGGGCUGGUGCGCCACCCCCAAGGCCUAUGGGCUUCCCCGGGGUGGGUUGCCCCCCCCCCCCCCCCGUGAACACCCGGAACCCAUUCGACAUUCCCGGUACAUUCCCGGUAACUCCGAAAACCUUUCGGUAAUCAAAUGAGGUCAUCCUAUAUAUCAAUCUUCGUUUCCGGACCAUUCCGGAAACCCUCGUGACGUCCGUGAUCUCAUCCGGGACUCCGAACAACAUUCGGUAACCAACCAUAUAACUCAAAUACGCAUAAAACAAUGUCAAACCUUAAGUGUGCAGACCCUGCGGGUUCGAGAACUAUGCAGACAUGACCCGAGUGACUCCUCGGUCAAUAUUCAAUAGCGGGACCUGGAUGCCCAUAUUGGAUCCCACAUAUUCUACGAAGAUCUUAUCUUUUGAACCUCAGUGCCAAGGAUUCAUAUAAUCCCGUAUGUCAUUCCCUUUGUCCUUCAGUAUGUAACUUGCCCGAGAUUCGAUCGUCAGUAUCCGCAUACCUAUUUCAAUCUCGUUUACCGGCAAGUCUCUUUACUCGUUCCGUAAUACAAGAUCCCGCAACUUACACUAAGUCAUAUUGCUUGCAAGGCUUGUGUGUGAUGUUGUAUUACCGAGUGGGCCCCGAGAUACCUCUCCGUCACACGGAGUGACAAAUCCCAGUCUCGAUCCAUACUAACUCAACGAACACCUUCGGAGAUACCUGUAGAGCAUCUUUAUAGUCACCCAGUUACGUUGCGACGUUUGAUACACACAAAGCAUUCCUCCGGUGUCAGUGAGUUAUAUGAUCUCAUGGUCAUAGGAACAAAUACUUGACACGCAGAAAACAAUAGCAACAAAAUGACACGAUCAAUAUGCUACGUCUAUUAGUUUGGGUCUAGUCCAUCACGUGAUUCUCCUAAUGACGUGAUCCAGUUAUCAAGCAACAACACCUUGUUCAUAAUCAGAAGACCCUGACUAUCUUUGAUCAACUGGCUAGCCAACUAGAGGCUUGCUAGGGAUAGUGUUUUGUCUAUGUAUCCACACAUGUAUAUAAGUCUUCAUUCAAUACAAUUAUAGCAUGGAUAAUAAAUGAUUAUCUUGAUACAGGAAUUAUAAUAAUAACUAUAUUUAUUAUUGCCUCUAGGGCAUAAUUCCAACACCAUGUGCUACUAGGAGUACUAGUAAAGUACACAUCAAUAACACGUAUAUCUAAUACACUUCUCUUGACAUGCCAGCCUUCUUAUCUACCAAGUGUUUAGCGCAGUUCCGCCUCACUAAUCAUUCCCCUCAUCAUAGAAGCACAAAGUCUCGGGUCUGGGUUCAACCUUGGGCUUUUUAUUUGGAGUGGCAACUGAUUUAUCAUUCUCAAAGUUUCCCUUCUCUCCAUUGCCCUUCUUGAAACUAGUGAUUUUACUAACCAUCAACACUUGAUGCUCCUUCUUGAUUUCUACCUUCAUGGUGUCGAACAUCGUGAAUAGAUCAGGGAUCAUCUUCUCUAUCCCUGGUAUGCUAUUGUUCAUCACGAAGCUCAAUAGCUUAGUGGCAGUGGCUUUGGAGAACUAUGUCAAUCACCAUCUCAUCUGGAAGAUCAACUUCCACCCGAUUCAAGUAAUCGUAGCACCCAGACAAUCUCGAUUAAGAAGGAACAAUUAAGAAGGGGGAUGAACUCGACGAACGUGAGAUUUUAUAAAGUUCAAUGUUGAUGGAGAUUUUCAUGUUGACUCACUCCAAGGAUUGAUAGUUUCAGAGGAGGAGAUGGCCAACUUAUCAAUUGAGAAAAUAAGCAGAUUGAUAGUUGUGUUGAUGCUCUCUCGACUGAAGGAGGAACCUUGUGAUUUGGCUUGUUGCUAGCACAAGCCGUUGGGUGUAAUAGGGUGAUCAUCAACUCAGAUAACAUUGUGGUAAUUAAUACAAUGAAUGGUGGAGGUCGAUUUGCGGGUUAGUUGUUGCCAUCUUUGAUGAUUGUUUCCAUUUGUCAUGUGAGUUUAUUAUAUACAACUAAUUUUGACACUGCUAUCGUGAGGCAAACGAAGUUGCACAUGAAUUGGCGAGGAUGGUAGAAGGAAUGUUUGUAGUGAAUGGACGGAGGAAGCACAUGCGAAGCUUCUCCAAUUUUUGAUUAAUGAUAGGGAGUGUCUAUUUGACAUUUGACUGAAAAUAAAUUGGGCAUCAGUCAAGUUUUCUAAACAAUAAUAGAAUAACUUAGGUCAAAACAGUGGAACAUAUAAAGUUACAGUGUAUUUACUGAUGAAGUUACACUGUAAACACCCACAAAUUACAGUCAUAGAUCCCACGAAUUACACUCCAAAUCCCCUAGAAUUACAGUUGCAAAAACUGAUGAACUUACAGUGUAAAAACUGAUGAAUUUACACUGUAAAUACCAAAUAAGUACAGUGUAAAUCACCAAGAAGUACAAUGUAAAUACUAAAAAGUAUAGUUAUUGAAGUCCAAAAAUACAUACUACAUACACAACGCCUAAAAACCAGAGUUCUCAACGCGAAUCUUAGCGCCUGAUCGGACGAACAAAAAAUUGAAUGACAGCGAAUUGAAAAACACUCGACUGUAAAAUAGCAAAACCGUAAUGAUAUGACCAUUACUACAAGUUUAUAAAGCAUGUGGUUUAAUGUAAAAAAACAUCUCAUUCCUAAAUCACAAAUAUAUCUUCAGUAUUUGGUACCCACAUUAGUUGUUUUGCAAAACCAACGUAUCAUUCAUAAAUAACAAAGAUUAUAAAUUAUGUCCUUUAUGAAUCACCAUCACGUAACCUAUUUUUUCCCGUAAGUCAUACGUUUGCUCCCACAUUGCGAAUUUACCGGCAUCAUGUUACAGUGUUAUUUUCUUCAAAAAGAAGAACAAUAAAUAAUGUAUCACCACCCGUCGCAAGAGAGAAGGCUAUUGACAACCCCCCCCCCUCCCGGGCCCCAAACCCUUAAUAAAGCCCCCUACCAUCGAAUUUCCGAUGCGAGGCUACAGUCAAAGUACAUUGCUGCUGUCAUUUGAUCAAGUUUAAGACUCCCUCAAUUUUCAUUGCUUGCUUGGUUGUUGUAAUAGAGGAAAUUCGUGGAAGAUGUCGGUGUUUCUCGCGAAGUGUUUGACGUCACACGAGAGCAAGUCAUGCUCAACAAGCAUGGUUCCAAAAUAUCUAUACCUAAUAAUAAAGCGGCUAUUGCUUUCGUCGGAAAACCCACCGUGGUAUUUUUAUAAAAAAGUCCCUCUAAUUUUUGUUAUUCAACCCGCGCUCCAUCAUUUAUCUGCAACGCAAAAGAAAAAACGAUUCGCUGCAAAAAUUAUACCCGUAUGCAUCGCCUCCUCCCGUUGACCCUGGGCCACCCUGGCCUGUGCCCAGGCCGCUGCUACACCACUCGCCGCCGCGGUCGACCUCAACCGCCACCGCUGCCGAUCUCAACUCACCCGCCUCCGCGGCCGUACCUCUCCCCGCUCACUGCCCCUGUUGCGGCGCUCGAGCGCAUCGCGUCGACCCUGGUCCACCCUGGCCUGUGCCCAAGCCGCUACCACACCACUCACCGCCGCGGCCGACCUCAACCACCAUUGUUGUCGAUCUCAACCCACCUGCCUCCGCGGCCGUACCUCUGCCCGCUUGCUGCCCCCGUUUCGGCGCUCGAGCACAGCUUCUGGAUCAAAUCAACGCGACAACUGCAGUGACUGGGGAUGAUCCGUCUGCUUGAUGCAGAACGACGGCGGCGCGCGGAUAAGGCGCGGCGGAGCGAAGUACUUGCAGGUGGAGGCGGCCCUCCAUGGCUCACAGGGGGAACUCCGAGGUUAUGGCGCGGCAACGGCGACUCCUUAUGGCCAGAUAGAGGCGCCUAACCCUUGCUCCCCUCAUCGUAUCCCCUCCUCCGACAGGAACUCAUCAUCUGGUGAGAUCCCCUCCCCAUGCCUCCAACCGUGUGCCAAUCACCAGCAAGAAAUUUUAUUUUAUGGCAAUUUGUUUGCUGAUGAAUAAAUGUAUUGAAUGUAAGAUUAUAUUGUUGUAGAGAUAGAGAAUGGAACACCACCUUCAGUUUGUCUUCUGAUCCCACAUUCUCUACACCAUGAGUGAAAUAAGAUAAUAGUCCACUGAUCAAUUCACGUAGCCUCUUUGUUUUGCUUUGCUUGUCCCGCUCAAUUUCUCAUCAUGGUGGAAUUAACAAUGAACGAGUUGAUUUCUCAACAAAAUAGGAUAGGACUGACUACAUUAGUUAGUUAGCUUAUUAUUUUAAUAAAUCAAAAUGAUUAUAAAAAGAUUAAAAACGUGUGGUCUUUUUUUCUGUCGUUACAACGCAUGAGCCCUUUUACUAGUAAUAAUAACUCUUUUUUCGUUGUGAAAUUUUAAAUUAGACUAUAUUUAUUGUUCCGUUAGAACGCACAGGUAUUUACCUACAUACGAGGACGACAGCAGAGCCGACGUCACACCCUUUCUUGUCGCAUACGAGCGCUGAUGCCGUAGUAGGGACACAUGCUUAACAUGUAUUUGCACGUAUUAUAACUAAUCGCUGAGUCACCAGAGAUAACAAAACCAUCAAAGCAAGACAAAAAGGAGCUUUCAUAAAAGUACAAUGGACAAAGCAUUUAGGUGCUUGACAGUGCGGCCCUAUCUUCUCCUCUUGACAGUGCUGCUGCCUGGGUGGACAGCGCGCUAGCAGCAACCCAGGACAGGUCCUCCACGGAUGGACGCCCCUGUCGGGCCAUCACAGGAUGAAUGCCGCAGCGGCCCCAACUAACAAUCAUCCAAAACGCCCAUGAUUCGUCGAACGCAACCGCCGAAUCCAACCACACAAGUAUAAACACGCACAACCGACAUUCGACACUCAGGAAACUGGCACCGGCAGCAAAUCUGAAUAAAAAGGCUCAGUCCAACACAUGCUCUCUCACUCGGGGUGAUUCAGAGUUCACAUAGUUCUGCAGGUACAUACAUACAAACGUGGUGUGCUCUUUGCAACUGCAACCAAGGGCGUGUUUGGUCCGCGGCACAUAUUUGGUUCAGAUAGUGGCGACAGGCGCGAUGAACCCGAUGUUGAAGCCGAAGGAGAUGCAGGUCAGUUCCUCUUUCUUGUCCCCCAGCAGCUUCAUCUGGAGACUGUAAGAGCCCUGAAGCACAUCACAACAGCACAAAACGUCAGGAUGUCUGGAUGUGAUAUUACUUACAUCAACCUACUUAGUCCGUCUCAGCACUACAAGAGAAUAUAUUGACAGGUUCAGCACCAAAACUGAAUGUACACUGCGAGUAUGCUUACUGGUGGGGUGAAAGAUGGCAGAGUCUGUUCGCUGGUUAGCACGAAUUCGCCGGUUGCGGGACAGGGAGUCCCAGCACAGAAGUCAUGAGUUUCUGAAUCGACGUGGAAGAAGAAGUACCACACAUCUACCACCAGCUUCCCUUUGGUGAUGGUUUUAUCUGUCAGGUGUAAACAGUAGUAACAAUGUAUUAGGGGGAUUCUGAGGAAGGAAUCAGCUAGAAAAAGCAUUCUAGUUAUAGAAAAAUACUCAUAAGAAGUGAAAUAUUGUAGACUGCGUGUGCCCAUGCUUGAUGCUUGUGUGUGUGUGCAGAUACUAGUAGCAGAUUCAAAAUGUACUACUACUAAGAAGAUCCAGCAGACAAACAGAAUCCACAGUUCAGCAGAAAUCCUAAUAAUUUCAAUAUUUAAGCCAUAGCGAGCAUGGUACUAACUAUGAAGUGGAAUCUGUAAAGUGUUUUGCAGGAACUACAUGUUAGAACUCACAUUUCUUUCAUCUCUUGGCUAUCAAAUACAAGCAUAGACAAACUCAAAUACAAGCAUAGACAAACAGAGGGAAGUGAUGGAAGUAAGGCCGAUAAGCAUGCACACAUUACUGGAAUUUGCGGCCAACAAAUAUUGGACGCUCCACAAUCCAAACAUCCAGGUGCAAAUAGAAUGACAGUACCAGCUGCCUUGUCCAAACUCCAAAGCAGUCUUGCAGAAACACCUAAAGACAGUUUCUAACACUGUCACACGCCACAGUAGGUCCUUCACAAACUCCAGUUCAUGGUUGAAAAAUUGAAAUGUGACGGCGCACAUGACUAAUUCACAUAUAACAGUACAUGGAUAGCGCCUGCGAAACCUUCAGCAGGGCAGUAAUUUGAUUCCUCUAAAAAGUUGAUACCUCAAAAGCAAAGCAAAAGUGCAUCGAUUUGAUAGGAGUUGACUACUGCAUACACACGGAGCCACCGAUCUAACUUCUGGAGUAGGCUGCUACCAGCAACAAGUCAAUAACAAGGAGUACUCUACUAACAAGCUAGAUUCAAGUUACUCGACAGCAGUCAUGAGCACACGGCGUCGCAAUUCAGCAGCCCAAUCGCAAGGAGUUCAGGCUAUUCGACGAAAUCUUACCCGUGGAGGCGGAGAUCUUGAAGGUGGCGGGCUUGCCGCGCACGACGGGGUCGGGGGAGAUCUCCACGCCGCUCACCUUCACCGGAUAGUGGCGGCCCUUAUCUGCGGAACCAAACACCAACAGAAGCUCGCAUCGCACACACAAUCCGCGGAAUCUCAAAAGUCAAAACGGGGAUGGUUUGGCGGCGGUAGGAGAGUUCGGAGCGCUCACUGCAGUACUCGAAGUCGGCGGCGGCGGCGCAGGAGGCGGAGAUCAGGAGCGCCGCGGCGAGGAGGAGCAGGUCGCGGAGGCGGCGGUUGGUCGCCAUCGCUGCGGAGGCAAAGCUCUGUGGUGUGGCGUGACUAGACCGGCAGGCAGGCAGGCAGGCAGAGAGGCAGGUGGACGCGAGUCGUGUCGCUGAGGAAGUGGGCCCGGUCAAUUCAAGGAGAGAGUUGUUGGCAGCAGUGUGCGUGGGGACUCCUAUUCGGCGCCUUCAACGCCGCUCCGGGGAACCGGCGCUUGCAGCGCUCCUUCUCAUGAACCGAUCAAUGUAAAAAUGCGUUGAUCAUUAAAAAAUUGAAAAAGUACAGAUUUCCAAAAAGUUCCAAUGAUCAUGAUUUUUUUUUUCAACUACUUUUGAAAUAUGUUCAUGAAUUUUCAAAAAAUUCACAGAAUUCGAAAAAAAAUCACCGAUUUAAAAAAAAAAUUCAUCAUUUUUCAAAAACAGCUCACUGAUUUUGAAAAAAGUUCAUAAAUUUUAAAUUAGGUUCAUCGAUUUUCAGAAAAAAUUACCAUUUUUUAAAACAUCAAUUUUUUUAAAAAGUUCUCCUAUUUCAAAAAAGUUCACGUGCUAAAACAGUUCACAGGCUAAAAAAAGUUCAUUAAGGAUCUUUAUACGGACCGACCCACAGCAGGCACUCGUUAGCAAUUUUACCUGUAACCGACGUCUGUGGUGUUAAAUAUGGUUUGCCGUGUGUGUGUAGGCCUGAUUGGGCCUUGACAUUGUUCUUGCGUGCAAAUUGGUUGGGAUUCGGUUUGACCGGGUGGAGGCCUUCAGUUGACUUUUACAAGCCUGUCUUUUUUUUUGACAUGCUCAAAACAGAAAAAAAAAUGUAUGUUUUACCCGACAAAAAUCUGUGGUUUAGAAGUUCGAUGCACUGAGGUAAAAAUAAUAUCAUUUUUUUACCAUCUCUUAAAAGAUCCAUAGCCUUAUGGUAGUUUCGAGUUCAUACUUUUUAGAAAGAUUAUCACUUUUUAAAUAUCUUUUUUACAAGCCUGUCAGUUUUUCGACAUGCUCAAAAGAGACAAAAAUAUGUGUGUUUUACCCGACAAAAAUACGUGGUUUCAAAGUUUGCUGCAGUGAGGUAAAAAUAGAAUCAUGUUUUUACCAUCUCUUAAAAGAUUCAUAGUCUUAUGGUAGUUUCAAAUUCAUACUUUUUAGAAAGAUUUUCACCUUUUAAAGAUUUUUUUACAAUCCCGUCUGUUUGUUCACAUGCUCAAAACGGACAAAAAUUUGUGGAUAAAAAGUUCGAUGUAACGAGGUAAAAAUAAAAUCAUGUUUAUACCAUCUCUUAAAAGAUCCAUGGCUAUAUGGUAGUUUCAAAUUCAUACUUUGUAGAAAGAUUGCCACUUUUUAAAGAUUAUUUUACAAGCCUGUCUGUUUUUUGACAUGCUCAAAAUGGACAAAAAUCUGUGGUUUAAAAGUUCGAUGCAAUGAGGUAAAAAUAAAAUCAUGUUUUUACCAUCUCUUAAAAGAGCCAUGGCCUUAUGGUAGUUUCGAAUUCAUACUUUUCAGAAAGAUUGACACUUUUUAAAGAUUUUUUUACAAGCUUGUUGUUUUUCAACAUGCUCAAAGAGUCAAAACAGACAAAAAUCUGUGUUUCUACACCCUACAAAAAUAUGUGGUUUAAAAGUUCAAUGCAAUGAGGUAAAAAUAAAAUCAUAUUUUUACCAUCUCUUAAAAUGUCCAUAGCCUUAUGGUAGUUUCAAAUUAAUACUUUUUAGAAAGGUUGUCACUUUUUAAAGAUUUUUUCUCAAUCAGAUUCAACUUGAGUUGUGGAGUUAUGAUGUAUACGAGAUUGUGGUUAACACCAUUUUGUAUAUCCCAUGAUUCUUAUGUAGCUAUCUGAAGUUUAAUUUGAAGCCAUGCGUUGGGUGUAGAAUAAUAUUACAAUAGUUAGAACAUAUGUUAACCAUACUAGUUUUGUCUUGACUUGUGCUGGGAGAUGCAAGUGCAUUCCACGUUAGUCACCUUCAAAUUGUAAUAAGCCCAUGAUUUGAUCUUGAUUUGUUUUUCUAUAUUACAUAGUUGUAUUUUGGUUCCUUUUAUCCAUAAUAUUAGUAGAUUGAUCCUGAAAUAUAUAUUUUAUUGUGAUUAUUUAAACAAUAUGUAUUUUUGAAAAAUUAUGGUUAAAGUGCUAUGUCGAAGACCAUAACAAUAUCCUAAACUACUUUUAUUGUCAAAUAGAGGGAAUAGUUGCUAUGUUGAAUAAAUUCAUCAAGAUUGUGUUGCUUGUUUUUUGUGAUAGAUGUCAUGUGGAUAAAAAUAAAUACUUAAAUGAAUAUCAUUGUGUUAUUUAAAUUAUAAUGGAGUUAGAAACAGACCCAGAUUAGGUGAUCGGGGGGCACACAAACACAUGGCGCGGCACCACCUGUCCAUGUGACUCCUUGGUGGCCCACCUUCAAUAUUUUUUGGUUUCCAUAUUUUUAUAUUCCAAGUAUAUUUUCAAAAAUACUCAUUCAAUUCCAAGAUUUUUUAUUUCGGCACAACAACAAAACUAUGGAAAUUCUGCUCAAAGCAACUUUAGUACGGAUUAGUUUCAUUCAAAUCAUGCAAAUUAGACCUCAAAAUAAGAGCAAAAGUGUUUGGAAAAGUGUAGGUAAAAAGGCAUUACAGCUCAUCCGAAGAAUACACGACAAUAAAAUCAAGUUGUUUGUUACUACAAAUUGAGAUUCCACGUGUAUCUUGCGAGGGAAUCAUGGUUGUAUAACGAAUUGGUUUUAACACCUUUCAUGAAUUAUGACAAGCCAACUUUGUUCUGUGUUAAUUUAGUCACAUGUGCAUACAAAUGAUCUCUUUUUUUUGUCAAUGCUGCCGUAUAGGAUUUUUCUUGGCCUGAUCAAACCAUACCCGUUGCACUCUCAACUAGUUAAAUUUGACAUUUACAAAAUCUUGUCAAACAGAAUAACAACGAUGUGCUAUCUUACGAGAUUCGAGUCUUAAGUCGACAACUGCAAGAAGUUCCUCUACGACGAUGAUGCAAGUGACUCGCCCUCGCAAAGCCGCUUUGGUCCAUAUUCAAAUGACAUUAGUCAUGCUGCAACUAUUGUUGGUCCAUAUUCAAAUGACAUUAGUCAUGCUGCAACUAUUGAUAGUACGGCAAUCGAUCCCAUAACCUGGUCUCCCAACUAACACCGUGAGACCGGUAAAAUAGGAAAUCUAUCAAGGGCAAACAUUUACCUUGCGCAUAGUCCACUUGGGCUAGAUGAUGACGAUCUUGUCCUCCUCAAGAUGGACCACCUUUUUUUAUUGCGCCGACUCGAUGAAGACUAGUAAAUUUUUCCCGAUACUCCACUAUGGAUGAGCCUCUCCUCGACACAUCUUGACAUGUCCAUUAUCACCUAAUGGAUGACAAGCUACAAGCAAGUGGUAUCUUUGUGAUGCUUCACUUUAACUUGCACACCCCAACCUUGAUGACUAUCACCACUUGAUGUCAUCCACCAUGGCUUGUACGUGAUCUUUCUUUUGAUGCAUGCCCAUUGAAACAUACCUAAUCCCACAAGUAACACUCACAAAGAUCAUGGUUAGUAUACAAAGUGUAAUGGACAAUACUUACCAUACCAUGAGAUCACUUGAUACCACUUGGUACAUCUUCUACGCUGUGUGUGUUGAUCAACUUGAAUCGCUCUUUGCCAUAGUCUUUAUCAACCUUGCAUGUUAUCUUCUCUCUUUACAUAGGUGAUGUCUUGAAGGUAAGCAUGAAUGUUCACACAAUCUUCUUCUUUAAGACAUGCUUGCAAUAAGCUAAACUCUCACAUGAUCAAUCUUUGGAUAAAUCCUUGAAUACCACCUUGAUCAUCAUAUAAACUUCUUGAAAACAACAAAUGAAAUUCAAGAAAUGCAUAUGGACAAAUCCUUCGCAUAUAACUCAAGGAAAACAUUAGUCCAUAGAGAUUUUUUAUCAGUUAACAAAACCAAACAUGAGGGCACAAUGUUCUAACAACAUCUCCUAUCGAGAUUGAGGCCAACCCCUCAUCCUCGGUUGAAACCUUGCCUUGCAUCGAAGUUCUUUCAAUAUGUGGUGUCUACCACUACAAGAACCUCAAAAUAAGAUGGCUCAAACAUCCUAUUUAAAACAUCCAUCCCACCUAAUGAGAAAUAUAUCAUUGAUGUCACCAAAAGUUGUGAUGAAUGAUGAAAGAUUGACACACGGUCUUGGUUUAGACCCGGUUGUGUGUGAUUUUUCAAGUACAAAAAACUCACAGCAAAAUACAAAUUUUCAAAUAAGAGAUAUUUAUAAAAUGAACAUGAUAUACACAUAAAAAUAUGAUAUUGACAAACAUCAAUUCAUUGGAUGUGAAACCAAAAUAAUAUAUUUGUCGGGAAAACUAUUCUCAAGAAUUGCAACACGUUGAUCAGGGCCGGGCCCAUAGUUGUAUAGAUUGUGCGGCCCGCACAGGGCCCAUAAAAUUUAGGGCCCCAAUAUUUUUUAUAGGCCUAGUUAAGCCAACAGCCGAAAGGCCCGGAUAGCGAAGCACGCCUAGCUCUAUUACUUGUUCGUUUAUCGCUCGAUGAGAUAAUACCGAUCGUCCUCACGAUCUACAGGCGUGAGCGCAAGAGUAGGGCCCCGAUCUACAAUACUAACCCUAACUGCACAGCAACCAGCCCGUAGCUACACUCUGACUAUGCAGCAGAGGACCGACGACACGACGCGCAACACUAGGAGGCACGGCAACAACUACAGCAGGUGAGUAGGACAGGCACACGGCUGUGUUCGGGCGACGAAAUCAACUUAACCAAAUCAAUCUUUAAAUUAACUAAUCUGGAGUGACUACAUCCUUCAGGACAGAUGCUAAAUUGCUCGUUGCUACUUGCUUUCUUCUUUUUUCAAUCAUAGAAAUACUAAUCAAGGUGCGUCGUCUUUGUCAAAUCAAUCUGGGCAUGAUUGCGUCUCGCCUCCAGGCUACUCGACACUCCUUUAGUCCAUCUUGCCUCGUCCCGGAACAAUUCAGCCAGGCAAGUUUCAGGUCCAUGAAUUCUGCAUCUCAGUUUUAAAAAAUAGUUUGUUGUUAACUGUUUAAUGUGUAUUCCUUUAAAAAUCAGUCAUUUGGGUACUUUUCUAUUAAUUGGACUAGACGACUUGUGUUUCAAAAUCUAAGUUGUGUCCUCUAAAAUCUACCUAAAGUAGAAACAUAACAAAAGAGUAAAAAAAUUAGAGGAUUUAAUUCAAUAUGGUGAAGGGGUUGUAGAUAAAUUGAUUAUAAUUUUAAUUUCUUUAAAAAAAUAAAUCAUAUUUUAGAGUUUGGCACAGGGCCCUGUAUUUUGCCGGCCCGGCUUCGACGUUCAUCUUCACUAAAACCUACUUAUCCAAAUUAUUACCUUUUUCUUUAUUUUUCCGUGGGCAAUCAAAGUUAAUUUGGCUAUGGUACAAGCUUACUAUCACAACCUUGAACGAAAAUGGUUAAUAAUAAGUUGUAGAUGUGUUUGCACGUCGGUGUAAUAAAUAAAUGACAUAUGCCAUAUUUAUUCUAUGACCACAAUUUCUUAGAUAUCUACCUUGAAACAAAAUUUAGGAUAUAUUUUAUAAAUUUACAUGGGCUUGAAUAUUGUUACUUGACUUCUAUUAAUAUAAUUCCAUCUUAAAGUAUCUGUGCAUCGAUACACAUGAAUGUAAAUGAGUAAUUAAUCUUAUUAUAUUGAUGGUAUACUAUAUAAUAUAUUCAAAAUUAUUUACAACCUGUAACAUUAUAUAUUCAAACCAAGUGCAAAUCAAUAGAUAAUUGUUGAUCAUAUUAUACUAGUUUACUCACUACACUUAGUUCAUAUCUCUCCUUAAUUAAUUAAUAAUAAAGUAAAUACAGUUUUUCGUUGUCAGUCGUGGUAUGUUUUGAAAAAGUCCCUCUUUUUCAGUUAAUCAACCCGCGGUCCUUUCUUAAGCGAGGAAAACGUUUCGUCGUGCCACUUUUACAAAAACGUUCCCGACGUAUACUGAAAUCAACCCGCGGUCCGUAUUUAAGUCAGAAAACGAAUCGUUUUUUACAUUUUACACAAACCCCCCUAUAUUUAAUCCAAACUAACCCGCAGUUCAGGGGCCUCUUUCUCCAAUCUCCACCAACUCCCCCCGGCGAGGACGAGGAGAGGAGCUCCCAUGGCGGAGGCGGCACGGAAGCAGCGGAGCCCCGCCGCGCCGCGCCCCGUCCGCUGCAUCGUGAAGCUAGGUGCUCCCUCCAGCCGUAUUUUCCUUUCCUUUCAUUGAGUGCUUCUGUACCGGCGUACGCCUCUCCGGCCGGUGCUGAUUCGACGAACCCUGUGUCGUCGCAGGCGGAGCGGCCAUCACGAACAAGGAGGAGCUGGAGAGCAUCGACGAGGAGAGCCUGCGGUCGGCGUGCGCGCAGCUGCGACAGGCCAUGUCCGACGGCACCUCCUCGGAGAAGGUUAUGGGGAUGGACUGGAGCAGGAGGCCCGGCGAUCCGGCGGACCCGGGCAUGGACGCGGAGGGGUUCGCGGGCAUGGCAGGGCUGGGCCUCGACAGCAACUUCGUAGUCGUCCACGACGCCGGUAUAUAUAGCUCGGAACCUGUGUUGCCUCUGGGCACUGGUUCCCUGUCUCAGGCUUGCUGAUGUGCUGAACUGGGUGAUUUGGGGUGUAGAAUCCACAUGAACUGAUGAACAUGGUUUGGGAUGUUAUGUGAUGUCAGAAUCGAUGCUAACUACCAAGUACCCGUGAAAUGCCUCUCAGUAAACAAGUUCAGAUUAUAAAAUGCAAACAACCUGCUUGGAAGAUAGUAUUUAGCAUGCCAUGGGUCUGAAUGAUAGUCUCUACGGUCUGUUUGGAGGAUAGUGCUGAACAACCAGGGGAAUUGGUCAGUUUUAAUGCUCCAUGGCACCUGGAAUUCCUGUAACUAUAAUUGCGCUGUUAGAGAUUGAGUUGGUAAAUUAGUGUUCAUGGUAUCAAGAUUAUAAUAGUCCCCUAACCUGAAUUUACUACUUCAGGUUCUUUUGGUCACUUCCAAGCAUGUAGAUCUGGAGUACAUAAAGGAGGGUUGCAUUCAACACUGGUGAAAGCUGGCUUUAUGGCUACAAGAAUUUCAGUACGGUGCACUUUUAAAAUUUCACUGUCAUGUGGAUAUCGUAACUUCCACAUAAAUAUUUUUCAGGAUCUCGUCGAUGUACGCCAUGCUUCCUUGAUGCAAUGCUUAAACAAUCUUUUAAUAAUAUUUAUAUUGUAACAUAGGUGACUUCUCUCAACCAGGAAAUUGUUAGAACCUUGGCAAGAGGUACACUACAAAGAAACGAGGAUAUUGCGCUUUAUGCUAAUAAUACAUAUGCAUGCUUUUGUUAUGGUAACCUUUUAUGGUUAACUAGAGGAUUUGAUUCACACUUCAGUUAAUGCAGAUGAAAUGACAAGGUUGACUGCAUGAGUUUUUCUCAUUACAGUGAUGUGGUCCUUUGUUAAAGGAUUUAAUGCAUCUCGAUAAAUUCUAAACUAUACUGUAUUUUUUAUGUUCCUAGAUAUCCAAGCAAGGAAGACAAAGAUAACGGGUGGAGUAAGAAGAAGAAAAGUGAGUUAAACGUGAACAAAAAUCCGUAAUGCUAUCUGACCUGCAUAAAGAUCCUAAGGGUGCAUAUUUGACAUGUUUGAUAAUACUGCAUCAUUAGAAUAUCUAUGCCUUCGAGUCCGAUUCUCAGACCUUGCAUUCUCCCGUUGCAACGCACGGGCUCUUUUGCUAGUUAUGCCUAAGUUAGUUGGUUAUUUUCUUGUGCCUCCAAAUGAAAUAGAAUAUCGUAUAUUUAUAUAAAACGGCACCCUCUCUUGGCAUCUAUUUUGAUAAAGGAAUAAUCCUGACGGGAAAUCAUCUAGAAACGUGAUAUUGUAUAGUCAAGUGCAUCACUAUUGCAUAGUCAAGUGCAUCACAUAGUUGAUCCAAUGGCGAGUAACGCUUAGAUUUGCCAUAGAUGCAGCAAAUUGAAGGAUCAUAUUCAAAAUUUAUGUGUACAUUGUACAAUCUUUACCUAAUAAUAAGGAAAACAUUUAUUUUCGUACAAAUGACCUUUCUCUCGCUUAAACCGCGCGCUACGGCUGUCACGUGUCCUUGUGGACCGUCGACCUUCCCAUCCUUAUCUCUUCAUCUCGAACAAGAACGAGUCAAACUCCACUGAGCUAGAUCCCCUUCGCCAUGGCCUCCCGUUCAAGUCCCGUCCGUCAUGGCCCGCCCCCAAACUCCACCUGCUGCUGCUCAAGGUCUCUCGUCCAAGUCACGUCCGCCAUGGCCUACCCCUAAGCUCCACCACCUCCUGCUCAAGGUCCCCCCGUCCAAGUCCCAUUCGUCGUGGUCUGCGCCCAAGCUCCACCACCUGCUGCUCAAGGUCCACACGACGACGCUGUGAAACGGUGAUUUUGUCGAGCAAAGCUAGUGCUGCAACGCAACCUCGUCAUUAACUUGGAUGUUGCCGGUGUUGCGACCCGACAACUCGAUGGUCCUGCCAGCGUGUGGUGCUGCGACUCGACAACUCGACGAUGUUGCAGGCGUGGCGACAGGACGCUCGUUGUCAUCGGUGUUGCGAGACAUCACGCUGGAGAGGUCAGGCUACCCGCUUCUGGUGUUGCAACGCAGCACGAAGGCCAGAGUGUAGUCGAGCGCCGCUCGUUGCUGAUGAUGCACCGCAACACACGGGGAGGAGGUUGGGCUACUCGCGUCGAUGCUGCAUUGGAGCUUUUUCCACGCCGAUGGAGUUGCAAUGAAGUGCCGCCUGGGACUGGAAUGGAGUGCCGGGGAGCUGCACUAAAGCGUCGUCGGAGCUGUAGUGAAGCGUCGUCUGAGCUACACGAAAGUGUUGCCAGAGGCAUCGUUUGUGCUGUGUUUGAAGAUUUUUUGCGGUGCUCAGUGUUGCGAGGAAGUAUCUCCCCGGUGGCUCGUGGAGUCCUGGUGCUGCAUUGUAGCAGUCGUCGGCGGUCUUGGAGCUGCGCCAUAGCAAGGGAGGCUAUGGGGGACAUUGCCGAAUCACUCACUUGAGCUAGCCGCUCUUGGGGUCCGCCAUUUCCGCUUGGACGUGGUGGGAGUGAGCUGCAAGGGGAUUUCUUUGCGUUUUUGGUCGCGAGGCAAGGAGGGCGAAGCAUCCGUCUAGUGUGUUGGCAUAUCCAACGAUUGAACGCGCGGAGAUCAAAAUAGAACGAGCGAUCAGCAAGCCGACUAAUUUGAAGAAAUUAGGAGCCACCUAAUAAUAAAGCAUGAACUAUUUCUGAUCGUUCAUCAUUUAAAUUAUCCCUAAAGUUGUCGAUAAUUAUCAACCAUGCCACCGUUAAGUCACAAAAAAACGUUUCACACAAAAAAAUCUCAUGACCGAGUCGGCCCAUGAAGUAGUUGUCCUACACCGCACUCUACGCGCUCGGAGAAGAUGGAGUGCGCCGGUUUGGGCCGGUCCAUGUUUGGGCGUUAGGUUUUCUAAAUUUCAUUUUUCAUUUUCUAUUUUUGUUUUUUCUCCUUUAAAUAAUUUAGGAGUUAAAUUUUUUCGAAAACUUAGAAAAAAAAUGAGAAUUUUAAAAAUAAAAUGUUUAAUAAAUCAUAAAAGUUCAUGCAUUUAAACAAUAUUCAUGUUUUUGUAUUUUUUUGUCUAUUUAAAAUAUGUUCGAAAUUUUGAAAAUAAAUGUUAGGGAAUAGGGAAAUAAAAAGUGUUCAUUUUUUAAAGCUAGUGUAAUAAAAACGUUAAUGAAUUUGAAUAACAUUUUGCCAAUUCAAAACUGUUCAAGAAUUGAAAAAUAUCCAAAAAAUUGAAAAACUUUUCAUGACUUACAUAAUUGUUUAUUCAUUCAUAAAUGUUCACUAUUUCAAAAAAUGAUCAUGUAUUUCCAAAAUUCUUUGUUAAAUCAGAAAAAUGCUCAUCGAAUCAAAAAAAUGUUUGUGAAUUUAAAAAAUAUAUCAUUAAUAUUAAAAAAUGUUCGUCCAUUCUAGAAAUGUUCGCCAAUUCAGGAAAAAUGUUCACAAUUGUAAAAAAUGUUUGUAAAUAGCAUAAAAUGUUCAUGACUUCAAAAAAUGUUCUUGAUUAUAGAAAAUGCUUAAAUUUUUGUAAAAAGGUUCACAAAUUCGAAAAACGUUCACAAUUUCAAAUAUGUGCAUGAGUUUAGAAAACUGUUCAUGAUUUCGUGAAAUUUAGAGUGAUAGUGUAGCAACAUAAUGUGGUCAAGAUCAUUGAAGAUUAUGAUAUUUUUUUUCCGUUACAACGCACUGACCUCUUGCUAGUAACUAUAUAUGCACGAGCCCUCUUGUUAGUAACUAUAUAUGUUGUUUCAAUUGUUUAUUGGAAACUGAAUUUGGUUCCAUGCCAUGAACAAGUAUGGAACAAGCGCCCACUACCACCUCCGAGAGAUUGAAUCGGCACAUCAUCUUGAAAUUAACGAUGUCGUCGCACACGUCUUCGUAGUCGACGGAAACAUCUCCUCCCACUGGAUACACAAACCGAAAGACCUGAAAUAAAUCCAUAAAAUGUAAACACCAUUGUCAAGUCUAGGACUUGAACCUUGAUUGGCUAGGGAUACCACUAUUCUCCUAACCAUCCUAUAAUAAGUUGGUUUGCGAUCAUCUGUUAAUCAUGCUACUUUUACCAUGAAUUAAGUAGAGAGACGCGUGCAGGCUGCCCAAACAAACAAUAGAGUCUUUUCAUGAAUGCCAUGUUGGAAAUAUGAGCAAUUUAUCGAAUUAUUUAAAACAAAUAAAUAAUAGAUAGAACAUGAUAAUUGUAACAAAGACAAGACUAGUGAUGCAAUUUUGAGGAAAGUAGGCCACAAUAUAUAACAGAGGCAAGACUUGGCAUGCAAACUAAAGGAGAGUAGUCAAAUAUUAUUUGAACAUGUGUGUUAGAACAAUAUAAAAAUAGACCAAGAAACUCUAGUAGGAUCUCGAACAAAAAAGUCACGAUUACAUAGUAAAUAACGAUUGUAGCAUUGGCAUUGGCGUUGACAUUGUUGUCCUCCAUGUCGUUGAAGAGGUUGUCGACGUCAGGGAAGAAGUCGUCGUUGGGGAAGUGGUCGUCGCCGUUCACGACGCCCGUGAUAAACAGGUCAGUAGUCAUGCAGAACACUCCCCAAAAAACUUAUCACCCUUCUCCCGUACAUGACUCAUAGAGGUGUGGUUUCAGAGGCCUACUAUCUUGAGUUGCGGUGCAUGCCGCAAGCCUAGCAGUAGCUCAGAGCUUUGGAACUGUAUGGCAUGAGGAAGGUGGUGGUCUGUGUUGGGGAACGUUGUAUCGGAAACAAAAGAAAUUCCUACCCACACGAAGACCUCUCAUGACGAUGCCCAUCUACGAGUGGAUAUUUGGAUCUACGCACCCUUGUAGAUCGCACAACAGGAAGCGUUAAGAAACGCGGUUGAUGUAGUGGAACAUCUUCAUGUCCCUCGAACCGUCCCGCGAUCCGUCCCACGAUCCGUUCCGAUCUAGCGCCGAACGGACGACACCUCCGCGUUCAGCACACAUACAACUCCACGAUGAUCUCGGCCUUCUUGAUCCAGCAAUUAAGACAGAGAAGUAGAUAAGUUCUCUGGCAGCAUGACGACGCUCCGGUGGUGGUAAUGAUCUACUCAUGCAGGGCUCCGCCCGAGCUCUGCAGAAAUCCGAUCUAGAGGUAAAACUACGUGGUAUAGGUUUGAGUUGCACGUGGCAAAGUUGUGUCUCAAAUCAACCCUAAACCACCAAAAUAUAUAGGAGGGAGGGGGAGGGCUAGCCUUGAGGCACAAGGCCUCAAGGGUGCGCCGGCCAAGGGAGGAGGACUCCUCCUCCUCCAAUUCGGUUUGGGAAGGAGGAGUCCUCCUCUUCCCUCCCACCUCCCUCUUUUCCUUUUUCUUUUAUUUUCUUUUGGUAUUUUCUUAUGUGGCGUCAUGGGCCCCUUGGGCUGACUCCACCAACCCACUAAGGACUUGGGGCGCCACCUUAGUGCUCUGGGCUCAGUCUAGGGUGGGUUGGCCCCUCCUGGUGAACUCCCGGAACCCAUUCGUCACUCCGGGUAAACUGCCGAAAUUGCCCGAAACUUUUCGGUGACCAAAUGAAACCAUCCUAUAUAUCAGUCUUCAUUUCCGGACCAUUCCGGAUACCCUCUGAUGUCCGUGAUCUCAUCCGGGACUCCGAGCAACAUUCGGUAACCACAUAUAUAACUCAAAUAUACUAAAACAUCAUCGAACCUUAAGUGUGCAGACCCCGCGGGUUCGAUAACUAUGCAGACAUGACCAGAGACACUUCUCGGUCAAUAUCCAAUAGUGGGACCUGGAUGCCCAUAUUGGAUCCUACAUAUUCUACGAAGAUCAUGUCGGUUGAACCUCUGUGACAAGGAUUCAUGUAAUCCCGUAUAGCAUUCCCUUUGUCCUUCGGUAUGUUACUUGCCCGAGAUUUGAUCGUCAGCAUCCCUAUACCUAUUUCAACCUCGUUACCGGCAAGUCUCUUUACUUGUUCCGUAAUACAAGAUCCCGUGACUUACACUUAGUCACAUUGCUUGCAAGGCUUGUUUAUGAUGUUGUAUUACCGAGUGGGCCCCGAGAUACCUCUUCGUCACACAGAGUGACAAAUCCCAGUCUUGAUCCAUACUAACUCAAAGGACACAUUCGGAGAUACCUGUAGAGCACCUUUAUAGUCACCCAGUUACGUUGUGACGUUUGAUACACACAAGGUAUUCCUCCGAUGACAGUGAGUUAUAGGAUCUCAUGGUCAUAGAAAUAAAUACUUGACACGCAGAAAACAAUAGCAACAAACUAACACGAUCACAUGCUAGUUCAUAAUUUGGAUCUUGUCCAUCACAUGAUUCUCCUAAUGAUGUGAUCGCGUUAUCAAGUGACAACACUUGCUAUGGCCAGGAAACCUUGACCAUAUUUGAUCAACGAACUAGUCAACUAGAGGCUCACUAGGGACAGUGUGUUAUCUAUGUAACCACACAUGUAUUUGAGUUUCCAAUCAAUACAAUUCUAGCAUGGAUAAUAAACGAUUAUUACGAACGAGGAAAUGUAAUAAUACCUAAUUUAUUAUUGCCUCUAGGGCAUAUUUCCAACAGUCUGGUGUCUCUCUUUGGAGAGGAGCGACCUCUUUUUAUAGGCACCGAAGAAGGAAACGAAAGGACGGGAGAUGAAGCGAACAACCAGCAGCCAAAGAGUGCAGCGUUGAUAUUCUAUCUUCACUACAACAUAAAUGUUUCAGCUCCUGUGCAACCUUUCACAUAUCAAUCAUGCGUGACAAAAAUUCAGACAACGGAUCGGCUCAUUCCCGCAACCCGUGGCGCGUCAUGACGAGGCGGGCGGCGGAGAAGGAGCGCGCGUGAAUGAUUUUCUUGUUCUCAUGCUCGUACAUGUGAGAAAACGACCUUCCUUAUAAGAGGUCCAACUCCUACUAAGUGAGCAGUAUGAGACUAAACUUUAACCCCACCUUUUACCUUGCAUGUAUGGGCUGCGUGAGCUUUUAGGAUAUAUUAAAAAUUCUGAAAAUUCUAUUGAGUUAGCCAAUAUAUUGAUCAAAUUCUAGCACACCAUACCUAGGAAAACACCAAAUAACUAAAUAUAACCAUUUUUUUUUAUCGGAAAUAUAACCACCUUCACAUCCCAAGGCUUAAUGGGGUUCUGAAUAGAGCAAUAGGUUAUGGACCAAUUCUCUAUUUAUUCCGUUUAGUACAAGACCACUUGUUUUUCAUUAGAAUGAUCUUUGGCGCUAAUGCUGGUUUUCUGGCUAUUUUAUGGCUUACUACCAAAGUGUGCGUGCUUUUAGUAGAUCUAAAAGAGAUGAACACAUGUUCAUAAAAUCGAAAGAAAAUCCCUAAAAUUAUGUUAGGGUUUGUCCAAUUUUUAUUUUUCUUAUUUGCUUGGAUGAGAUGGGGGGAGGGCGAGCCUGGUCUGAAAAUACAAUAUUUUUUUUUUUUUGCAAAUGUGGCACAGAGUCACGGGGUUAUUUUGCAGAAAUACCACAUCUUGUCUCGCAUGCGUCAUAUUAGGUGUAGAUCGGAUAGUUGACUAGCAUACACAACAUAAUCACCAACAUACUCUUUUAUAGUAGCAGAUAAAUGAAUUUUAAUGGUAAUUAGAUUCCACAUGAAAUGUUGAUAAAAAAAAUGUUUUUAUCCAAUAGACUAGAGGAGAUCACAUUACAAAAUGUAGUUACAAGCAUGUAUUUGGUUACCAGGCGGAAAACUUGGUUAUUGCCCGGUAACGUGAAUCCCCUUACCCCACAAGAAAUUGCCUUGCCGAGCAAAAAAUCUCUAACUCAGGCAGGGAAUCAAAAACCUUGGUUGCAGGCAGGGAAGGAAAAUGACACCUUGUUCGAACUUCAAAGUGAUACAACUGUGGCAUUUGAUUUCCACGUUUCUUGAAAGGCUCAUAAAGAUAUAUCGACUGGUCUUUUUUGCGACAAAUUUACAGAAAAUGGUACCAGCUGAACCAAGUACUGAAACUUGCAAUAGACAGAGACAAAAAUGUAGACGUUCAAUUUCGAAUUCAGACGUGAGCUUACUUGGUCUUUUUUUUACCGUCUUUUAAUUCAGACGUGAGCUUAUCGGGUCUUUUUUUUACCGUCUUUUACCUGUAGGAGUAAACCGUCAGCUGGUGAAAUAAAAUCACUGGCUGCGAUAAACUGGACCACUGACAGUAAUAGUACCACAAGCCUACGAUGCCACUUAAGGCUGGCCAUAGUGGGGGUAUCAUAGCUAGUAACAUAGUCUUGGGACUAGCAAACAUGGUGAUGUGUCAAGUAAUUAAAGAAGAGAGAGAGGGUUAUAGUAACAUAGGUAGAUACCGUAUCAUGUUAAAUGCUAUGCUACUAUGUGUCAUGCAUGUCAAUAAAUGAGAACACCUAUGAUACUAGUUUAUGAUACUAUGCACUAUGAAGAUAGUAUCAUACAAUAGUAACAUAUGCAUGAUACUACUAUAUGUUACUCCCCACUAUGAGCAGCCUAACAGUACAGAGAGCAGAAAGUCGUCUCCAUGUAAAUCAUCAACCGUAAGCACCGUAUCCGGCUCUUGAACGCUGUACUAGCACAGACCAUAAAACCACAGAUGCCCAGCCCAAAUCCUGAUGCAGGAGUACCGCUACCAUUUUCUGCCGUGUUUCAUCCAUGCGUUUGAAAUGAAAUCAACUGACCUUUCUUCCCUCCAUCAGCCGAUAAAAACCGAGCAUAAUGCAGUAAUAAGGCCUUGUUUGGAACCACAAUAGAUUAUGAUAAUCUGGAUUAUAAAGAUAGAUUAUAUAAUCUGGUAUAUAAAAAUAAUUUAGGUGGACAUGUUUGGAGGCCAGAUUAUAUAAACUGUAAUCCAGGUUUUACAUUGCAUAAUGACAUGUCUGCCCUCUGUUUUAUUUUUUUGAAAAAAAAGAAGGAUGGCGGUGGUUAGAAUAUAAUUAUCUUCAACUUUAUAAGGGUAAUGGGUCAUUAGCAAUUCAUAAUCUGAUUUUAGUUGGUGUAGAGUAGAUUAUGAGUUUUUAAUAAUCUGUCCAUCUAGUUUUUAUAAUCUACACCAUGAUCUGUUCUGUUUGGAAACAAAAUACAUUAUAAAAACUAGAUUAUAUAAUCUGGUUGGUUCCAAACAGGGUUGUACCUACGAUUCAACGAGCUCCCAGUCCCCAGAUUCUCAGCUGAUCAGCGCACGAAAACAAGUUAAAAUUCACGUGGAUGGUCAUUGUUUUGUUCGGAUCAAGGCAGAAGUGGCGUGCCAUGGAAUCGAAGGGGCCUGUCAUUUUGCUAUAUAUCUUGUCUCGUAGAACAUGAAGCCGCAUCGGUGUCCGUGUUACUCCAAAGCACGAUGAAAACCACUACGGGUUUCGCAUGAUUGACCCUGCAAACCUGGGGGGAAGGGGGCUGCAUGUACCUUGCGUAGAGACCAUGCCUACAUUAAAGAUUCAGUUUGGGGGGUUGCCGGAAUUGUAAAUUGAUCAACUUGCAGGAAGAGUUUGAAAUUGAAUACCGAACUAUCGCUGUUCUAAUUAAGUUCUAACUGACGCUGGAAGUCAGGAAUAUCGAAUCAGCCAAAAGCGCUGAUUCUGAACUUGGCUGCUGCAUUUACGAAUCAGUGUAUGACGAUGAGAGAAUGCAUUUGCAUUUCGAGCUGGAAACCCACCUUUUGAUUCAGUAUAUUCGAAACAACCUACUCUACAUUGUAAUAUUAACGUUGAUCAUUUGCCAAACAGAGAUUUACAAUUCUACACCCAACUUGCUAAUAGUAUCAAGUAAUGAUCCCUCGUUGACCAUAUGUUCUGAACUUUUGAUCGGGGAAUUCUCAACCAUUUGUAUCAGGACAGAAUGCUAGGCUGACUUCGUGAAACUAAGCUGAAACCAAAUUUGUACCCAGACCAACAAAAGAAGGUUCUAAUUCCUAACCCGAUCAAUUUUUCUUCCUCCGAUAUCAGUUUUCCAAAUUAAGAAAAAAAAAGAGAAAGAAAAUUAAAACCGACCAAGAACCUCGGUGUGGUGUCAGGAGGAGAGCCUCGUCAUGGCCAGCGGCGUGACCUCGGCGAGCGGCGUGGGCAAGGGGCUGGGCAGCGGCGAGGUCCGGCAGACGGGGCAGGUCGGGUGCUUCCGGAGCCAGGGGUCGACGCACUCCCGGUGGAACAGGUGGCCGCAGUCCGGCAGCAUGCGGAGCACGUCGCCGUCGCCGUAGUUGUCGAGGCAUACGGAGCAGCAGGUGCACGUGGUGCCCAGCUUCCUGUUCUUGCUCUUCCGCGCCUCGCCGUACACCACCUCCGGGUACCCCUUGAGCGUGGCCUCGUCGAUGCCGAGCUCCACGUCGACGUCGUCGCCGGCUCCCCCGCCGCCAUCGCUGUCGNNNNNNNNNNNNNNNNNNNNNNNNNNNNNNNNNNNNNNNNNNNNNNNNNNNNNNNNNNNNNNNNNNNNNNNNNNNNNNNNNNNNNNNNNNNNNNNNNNNNCUCCCACCAAACCAAGUAGGACUCGGUUUGGGGGGGGAGAGUCCUCCCCCCUGGCUCGGCCGACCCCUUGGGGAUCCCUUGGACCCCAAGGCAAGGUCCCCCUCCCUCCUCCUAUAUAUAUGGGGCUUUUAGGGCAGAUUUGAGACGACUUUCUCACGGCUGCCCGACCACAUACCUCCAUAGUUUUUCCUCUAGAUCGCGUUUCUGCGGAGCUCGGGCGGAGCCCUGCUGAGACGAGAUCAUCACCAACCUCCGGAGCGCCGUCACGCUACCGGAGAACUCUUCUACCUCUCCGUCUCUCUUGCUGGAUCAAGAAGGCCGAGAUCAUCGUCGAGCUGUACGUGUGCUGAACGCGGAGGUGCCGUCCGUUCGGUACUAGAUCGUGGGACUGAUCGUGGGAUUGUUCGCGGGGCGGAUCGAGGGACGUGAGGACGUUCCACUACAUCAACCGCGAUCUCUAAUCGCUUCUGCUGUACGAUCUACAAGGGUACGUAGAUCACUCAUCCCCUCUCGUAGAUGGACAUCACCAUGAUAGGUCUUCGUGCGCGUAGGAAAAUUUUUGUUUCCCAUGCGACGUUCCCCAACAGUGGCAUCAUGAGCUAGGUUCAUGCGUAGAUGUCUUCUCGAGUAGAACACAAAAUGUUUUGUGGGCGGUGAUGUGCGUUUUGCUGCCCUCCUUAGUCCUUUCUUGAUUCCGCGGUAUUGUUGGAUUGAAGCGGCUUGGACCGACAUUACUCGUACGCUUACGAGAGACUGGUUUCAUCGUUACGAGUAACCCCCUUUGCUCAAAGAUGACUGGCAAGUGACGGUUUCUCCAACUUUAGUUGAAUCGGAUUUGACCGAGGAGGUCCUUGGAUGAGGUUAAAUAGCAACUCAUAUAUCUCCGUUGUGGUGUUUGCGUAAGUAAGAUGCGAUCCUACUAGAUACCCUUGGUCACCACGUAAAACACGCAACAACAAAAUUAGAGGACGUCUAACUUGUUUUUGCAGGGUAUGAUUGUGAUGUGAUAUGGCCAAUGAUGUGAUGUGAUAUAUUGGAUGUAUGAGAUGAUCAUGUUGUAAUAGAAAUAUCGACUUGCACGUCGAUGGUACGGCAACCGGCAGGAGCCAUAGGGUUGUCUUUAUACUAACAUAUGUGCUUGCAGAUGCGUUUACUAUUUUGCUAGGAUGUAGCUUUAGUAGUAAUAGCAUAAUUAGCACGACAACCCCGAUGGCAACACGUUGAUGGAUGAUCAUGGUGUGGCGCCGGUGACAAGAAGAUCGUGCCGGUGCUUUGGUGAUGGAGAUCAAGAAGCACGUGAUGAUGGCCAUAUCAUGUCACUUAUGAAUUGCAUGUGAUGUUAAUCCUUUUAUGCACCUUAUUUUGCUUAGAACGACGGUAGCAUUAUGAGGUGAUCUCUCACUAAAAUUUCAAGACGAAAUUGUGUUCUCCCCGACUGUGCACCGUUGCUACAGUUCGUCGUUUCGAGACACCACGUGAUGAUCGGGUGUGAUAGACUCAACGUUCACAUACAACGGGUGCAAAACAGUUGCGCACGCGGAACACUCGGGUUAAGCUUGACGAGCCUAGCAUGUGCAGACAUGGCCACGGAACACAUGAGACCGAAAGGUCGAUCAUGAAUCAUAUAGUUGAUAUGAUUAGCAUAGGGAUGCUUACCACUGAAACUACUCUCGACUCACGUGAUGAUCGGACUUGGGAUAGUGUAAGUGGAUCAUGAACCACUCAAAUGACUAGAGAGAUGUACUUUUUGAGUGGGAGUUUAGCAUAUAAUUUGAUUAAGUUGAACUCUAAUUAUCUUGAACAUAGUCUAAGUACACUUUGAAUAUAUUUGUGUUGUAGAUCAUGGCUCACGCAAGUGUCAUCCUCAAUUUUAAUACGUUCCUAGAGAAAGCUAAGUUGAAAGAUGAUGGAAGCAACUUUGUAGACUGGGCUCGUAAUCUUAAGCUAAUCUUACAAGCUGGAAAGAAGGAUUAUGUCCUUAAUGCUGCGCUAGGAGAUGAACCACCCGCUACGGCUGAUCAGGAUGUUAAGAACGCUUGGUUAGCGCGUAAGGAGGACUACUCAAUAGUUCAAUGUGCAGUCUUGUAUGGCUUAGAACCGGGACUUCAACGUCGCUUUGAGCGUCAUGGAGCAUUUGAGAUGUUCCAGGAGUUGAAGUUUAUCUUUCAGAAGAACGCCCGGAUCGAGAGGUAUGAGACCUCCGAUAAAUUCUAUGCUUGCAAGAUGGAGGAAAACUCGUCUGUCAGUGAACAUGUGCUCAAAAUGUCUGGGUACUCAAACCGUCUAGCUGAACUGGGGAUUGAACUCCCGCAAGAAGCUAUCACUGAAAGAAUCCUUCAAUCACUGCCGCCAAGCUAUAAAGGCUUUGUGUUGAACUACAACAUGCAAGGGAUGAACAAGUCUCCCGGCGAGUUGUUUGCGAUGCUGAAAGUCGCAGAGUCUGAACUCCGUAAAGAGCAUCAAGUGUUGAUGGUGAGCAAGACCACUAGUUUCAAGAGAAACGGCAAAGGCAAGAAGGGCAAUUCGAAGAAGAGCGGCAAGCCUGUUGCCAAUCCGCCGAAGAAACCCAAGGCUGGACCUAAGCCUGAAACAGAGUGCUUCUAUUGCAAGGGUAUGGGUCACUGGAAGCGCAAUUGCCCCAAGUAUCUGGCAGAUAAGAAGGCGGGCAAAGAAAAAUCAGGUAUAUUUGAUAUACAUGUUAUUGAUGUGUACUUAACCAGCUCUCGUAGUAGUGCCUGGGUAUUCGAUACCGGUUCUGUUGCUCACAUUUGCAACUCGAAGCAGGAACUGCGGAAUAGACGAAGGCUGGCGAAAGACGAAGUGACGAUGCGCGUAGGAAACGGUUCCAAGGUUGAUGCAAUCGCCGUCGGCACAGUGUCACUUCAACUACCAUCGGGAUUAGUGAUGAACUUAAAUCAUUGUUAUUUAGUGCCUGCGUUGAGCAUGAACAUUAUAUCUGGAUCUUGUUUAUUGCGAGACGGUUACUCUUUUAAGUCUGAGAAUAAUGGUUGUUCUAUUUCUAUGAGUAACAUCUUUUAUGGUCAUGCACCGAAUGUGAGAGGAUUGUUCAUAUUGAAUCUUGAUAGAGAUACGCAUAUACAUAACAUUGAGACCAAAAGAGUUAGAGUAAACAAUGAUAGCGCCAUAUUUUUGUGGCACUGCCGCUUGGGUCAUAUUGGUGUAAAGCGCAUGAAGAAACUCCAUGCUGAUGGACUUUUGGAGUCACUUGACUUUGAUUCACUUGACACGUGCGAACCGUGCCUCAUGGGCAAGAUGACUAAGACUCCGUUCUCCGGAACAAUGGUGCGUGCAAGUGACUUGUUGGAAAUCAUACAUACCGAUGCGUGUGGUCCAAUGAGCGUGGAGGCACGCGGCGGAUAUCGUUAUUUUCUCACCUUCACUGACGAUCUAAGUAGAUAUGGUUAUGUCUACUUGAUGAAGCACAAGUCUGAAACAUUUGAAAAGUUCAAGCAAUUUCAGAGUGAAGUGGAAAAUCAUCGUAACAAGAAGAUCAAGUUCCCACGGUCUGAUCGUGGGGGUGAAUAUCUGAGUUUCGAGUUUGGUACUCACUUAAGACAAUGUGGAAUUGUUUCGCAGUUAACACCGCCUGGAACACCACAGCGUAAUGGUGUGUCCGAACGUCGUAAUCAUACUUUAUUAGAAAUGGUGCGAUCUAUGAUGUCUCUUACUGAUUUGCCGUUAUCAUUUUGGGGUUAUGCAUUAGAAACAGCUGCAUUCACUUUAAAUAGGGCACCAUCAAAAUCCGUUGAGACGACACCAUACGAACUGUGGUAUGGCAAAAGGCCAAAGUUGUCGUUUCUUAAAGUUUGGGGAUGUGAUGCUUAUGUCAAAAAGCUUCAGCCUGAAAAGCUGGAACCCAAAGCGGAAAAGUGCGUCUUCAUAGGUUACCCAAAAGAGACAGUUGGGUACACCUUCUAUCUCAAAUCCGAGGGCAAAGUGUUUGUUGCUAAGAACGGAACUUUUCUCGAGAAGGAGUUUCUCUCAAGAGAAUUGAGUGGGAGGAAGAUAGAACUUGACGAGGUUGUCGAACCUCUCAUCCCUCUGGAUGGUGGCGCAGGGCAAGGGGAAACCUCUGUGAUUGCGACGCCGGUUGAGGAGGAAGUUAAUGAUGAUGAUCAUGAAACUCCAGUUCAAGUUUCUGUUGAACCACGCAGGUCGACGAGAUCACGCGCUGCUCCAGAGUGGUACGGUAAUCCCGUCUUAUCAAUCAUGUUGUUAGACAACAAUGAACCUGCAAAUUAUGAAGAAGCAAUGGUGGGCCCAGAUUCCAACAAAUGGCUAGAAGCCAUGAAAUCCGAGAUAGGAUCCAUGUAUGAGAACAAAGUGUGGACUUUGGAGAUGCUGCCUGAGGGCCGCAAGGCUAUUCAGAACAAAUGGAUCUUUAAGAAGAAGACGGACGCUGACGGUAAUGUGACCGUUUAUAAAGCUCGACUUGUGGCAAAGGGUUUUUCACAAGUUCCAGGAGUUGACUACGAUGAGACUUUCUCUCCCGUAGCGAUGCUUAAGUCCGUCAGAAUCAUGUUAGCAAUAGCUGCAUUUUUCGAUUAUGAAAUUUGGCAGAUGGAUGUCAAAAUGCGUUCCUUAACGGUUUCCUUAAGGAAGAGUUGUAUAUGAUGCAACCCGAAGGUUUUGUCGAUCCUAAAAAUGCUGACAAGGUGUGCAAGCUCCAGCGAUCCAUUUAUGGACUGGUGCAAGCAUCUCGGAGUUGGAACAAACGCUUUGAUGAGGUGAUCAAAGCAUUUGGGUUUAUACAAGUGGUUGGAGAAUCUUGUAUUUACAAGAAAGUGAGUGGGAGCUCUGUGGCGUUUCUAAUAUUAUAUGUGGAUGACAUAUUACUGAUUAGAAACAACGUAGAGCUUUUGGAGAGCUUAAAAGGUUACUUGAAUGAAAGUUUCUCUAUGAAGGACCUAGGAGAAGCUGCUUACAUUCUGGGCAUUAAGAUCUAUAGGGAUAGAUCAAAACGCCUGAUAGGACUUUCACAAAGCACAUACCUUGAUAAAGUUUUGAAGAGGUUCAAAAUGGAACAGUCCAAGAAAGGGUUCUUGCCAGUGUUACAAGGUACGAGAUUGAGUAAGACUCAGUGCCCAGCAACUGAUGAAGAUAGAGAGCAUAUGCGCUCCGUCCCCUAUGCUUCAGCCAUAGGCUCUAUCAUGUAUGCAAUGAUGUGCACUAGACCGGAUGUUAGCCUGGCCAUAAGUAUGGCAGGUAGGUUCCAGAGUAAUCCAGGAGUGGAUCACUGGACAGCGGUCAAGAAUAUCCUGAAGUACCUGAAAAGGACUAAGGAGAUGUUUCUCGUGUAUGGAGGUGACGAAGAGCUCGCCGUAAAAGGUUACGUCGAUGCAAGCUUUGACACAGAUCCGGACGACUCUAAGUCGCAAACCGGAUACGUAUUUAUUCUUAAUGGGGGUGCAGUAAGCUGGUGCAGUUCCAAGCAAAGCGUCGUAGCAGAUUCUACAUGUGAAGCGGAGUACAUGGCUGCCUCGGAGGCGGCUAAGGAGGGUGUCUGGAUGAAGCAGUUCAUGACGGAUCUUGGAGUGGUGCCGAGCGCACUGAAUCCAAUAACCUUGUUCUGUGACAACACUGGUGCCAUUGCCUUAGCAAAGGAACCAAGGUUUCACAAAAAGACCAGACACAUCAAACGACGCUUCAACCUCAUCCGCGACUACGUCGAGGAGGAGGACGUAAAUAUAUGCAAAGUGCACACGGAUCUGAAUGUAGCAGACCCGCUGACUAAACCUCUUCCACGGCCAAAACAUGAUCGACACCAGAACUGUAUGGGUGUUAGAUUUAUUACAAUGUAAUUCACAUGGUGAUGUGAGGGCUAGAUUAUUGACUCUAGUGCAAGUGGGAGACUGUUGGAAUUAUGCCCUAGAGGCAAUAAUAAAUGUAUAGUUAUUAUUAUAAUUCCUGUAUCAAGAUAAUAGUUUAUUAUCCAUGCUAUAGUUGUAUUGAAUGAAGACUCAUUUACAUGUGUGGAUACAUAGACAAAACACCGUCCCUAGCAUGCCUCUAGUUGGCUAGCCAGUUGAUCGAUGAUAGUCAGUGUCUUCUGAUUAUGAACAAGGUGUUGUUGCUUGAUAACUGGAUCACGUCAUUGGGAGAAUCACGUGAUGGACUAGACCCAAACUAAUAGACGUAGCAUGUUGAUCGUGUCAUUUUGUUGCUACUGUUUUCUGCGUGUCAAGUAUUUAUUCCUAUGACCAUGAGAUCAUAUAACUCACUGACACCGGAGGAAUGCUUUGUGUGUAUCAAACGUCGCAACGUAACUGGGUGACUAUAAAGAUGCUCUACAGGUAUCUCCGAAGGUGUUAGUUGAGUUAGUAUGGAUCAAGACUGGGAUUUGUCACUCCGUGUGACGGAGAGGUAUCUCGGGGCCCACUCGGUAAUACAACAUCACACAUAAGCCUUGCAAGCAAUGUAACUUAGUGUAAGUUGCAGGAUCUUGUAUUACGGAACGAGUAAAGAGACUUGCUGGUAAACGAGAUUGAAAUAGGUAUGCGGAUACUGACGAUCGAAUCUCGGGCAAGUAACAUACCGAAGGACAAAGGGAAUGACAUACGGGAUUAUACGAAUCCUUGGCACUGAGGUUCAAACGAUAAGAUCUUCGUAGAAUAUGUAGGAUCCAAUAUGGGCAUCCAGGUCCCGCUAUUGGAUAUUGACCGAGGAGUCUCUCGGGUCAUGUCUACAUAGUUCUCGAACCCGCAGGGUCUGCACACUUAAGGUUCGACGUUGUUUUAUGCGUAUUUGAGUUAUAUGGUUGGUUACCGAAUGUUGUUCGGAGUCCCGGAUGAGAUCACGGACGUCACGAGGGUUUCCGGAAUGGUCCGGAAACGAAAAUUGAUAUAUAGGAUGACCUCAUUUGAUUAUCGGAAGGUUUUCGGAGUUACCGGGAAUGUACCGGGAAUGACGAAUGGGUUCCGGGAGUUCACCGGAGGGGGGCAACCCACUCCGGGGAAGCCCAUAGGCAUUUGGGGGGGUCACACCAGCCCUUAGUGGGCUGGUGGGACAGCCCACCAAUCCCCUAUGCGCCWAGAUAGAAAAUCAAAGGGAAGAAAGAAAAAAAGGAGGAAGUGGGAAGGGGGAAGGACUCCCUCCCACCAAACCAAGUAGGANNNNNNNNNNNNNNNNNNNNNNNNNNNNNNNNNNNNNNNNNNNNNNNNNNNNNNNNNNNNNNNNNNNNNNNNNNNNNNNNNNNNNNNNNNNNNNNNNNNNCCAGGGCGGCGGCUGGGUGUCCCGCCUCGUCGACCCCGCCUCCCGCCUCAUCGCGGGCGGCGCCGCGCGGCUCUUCUCCUCGGUCUUCCGCAAGCGCUUCGCCGUCGCGCCUGCCCCGCCUGCGGCGGCCCAGCCCCCCGCGUCCCCGCCUCCCGGUGAGACUGAGCCUCCUCUACUUCCCGUUUCCCCCUCCUGAGAUUGGUGUUUGCUCCCGCGUCUUCUUGGUUUCGGGUCUGGGCUUGACCUAGGGUUUCGGCCUUCCCGGGCAUGUGCUAGGGUUUAGAUUAGAUUGCCGAGCUCCUGCCUCCGGUUUCGGUAAUUUUGACCCAACCCGUGCUAUUGCUGCUGCCCAGCACCAAUUUCACGACGAAAAAGGGUGUUGUUUACUGGAGACCACUAAAGCUUCAACCUGCUUUAUUAUGCUUAAAGUCGUAGUUUGUAUCGAUGUGGAUGUGACAUGUGCAUGGCUGUGCGCCCUCAAGAACAACACAGGGGCUUGGCUUGAAGCCAGUAAUACUGGACGCCUUUUAUUAUCCUGUGCGAUGAGUCACGUUGAUGUUUGUUUGCUACACUUAAAUUGUGACAAUUUUUGUGUAGGAGGGUAGUGUGGUCUCUCGGAACUACAUGUUUUGUUGGGUAGAAAUUAGGAUACAACAAAGGAGAUGUUCUUCAUGUUUCAAUCUUUUUUUGGUUGAAGCUCCAGUUGUAAUUGCAUCAUGCUGUUAUCGAGCUUAUAUCCUUGAGCUGCAUUUAUAAAUCUGGUGCCUGUUUCAUGUAUGCAGGUCGAGAUGCGGAACCUAAUCAAGAUUUGCCUGAGGCAACACAUACUGUAAGUAACAAUCACGGUACAGCCUGUUUAAGCUCGUCCCCUGUUGUUCUGACUAGGGGCUGUUUGGAAUUUUUACGCAGGGUUUCACUCCAGUGGGUGGAAUGGCCAAAGGGAAGGACCUCGCUGCUACAUCCAGUGACAAAUCAUUGUCUGAAGUAGAACAUCUGUUAAUGCGGAAAACGUUCACCAGGAAAGUAUCUGCAUAUUUUCUUCUUCUUGAACUUCCAGUUUUCUACUAGUUUCUUUUCUCUCGGUAAGUAUCAAAAUAUGUUGUAUGGCCUUUUGAUGUUCAACUUGCUUUCAGUCCACAGUAUAUAUUAAUCCAAGUUAUUAUUUUGUUUCUCAUUCCAUUACUUUUGACUGAGUAUUGUCUCCACCUGAUAUCUUCUGCAACAUUAUCUCUUUUCCCCCACUGCCUUUGUGCCUGUUCUUGACGAUUGGAUUCUUCUGUGCAGGGUUGAGUUUGAUCGUCUCACAGACUUGCUGCGUGCAAGAACUGUAGAGCCUGCUUUAUCUGCACAAGUGGACCACAAUGAGGAUAAGAAUGAAACAAGAACCAGAAUUCAUGGAAUAGGAGGCUCCACAUCUCAUGGGAUGGCUAUAGACCAUUCUCCGCCCGCUGAUGUAAGGAGUUACUUUGCCCGUGUAAUUUCCUUUUAUUUGAUGGAUAAAUUUAUAUCAAGGUGCUGGUAAGGAUCAUAUGAAUAUUUUUGAGGAAUGCCAUGAAGUGUAUGUUGUUAGUAGAUAUUUGUUUAGAAUGUUGUCCCAGUGAUUUCUGUGGUCAGGUUAGUGAUGAUGCUGACUUCACUUUGCUCGAUCAAACUUUAAUAUGUUAAGUAAGAUGGUAACAAAAUUAUCCUUAUGAUCUAGCAACUUUCAUUGGAGUAAUACAUCAAUUUGACAUCUGAUGUGGUUUCAGUUGUUUAGAUUGAUCCAAGUUUCUGUGUCUGUUAGGACCUCUUAUGCUUUACCUGUACAAUAUUAGGUGCACAAAUGUGCAGUUGAACGGUUCAUGGAUUUUACCUGCAAUUCAAAUAGGGUAGCAUGGAUUUUACCUUUAGUUUCCUUGCUUUGCCCGUCUAAUACAAUACACCUGGCAACUACUCCCUCUGUUCCUAAAUAUUUGUCUUUCUAGAGAUUUCACUAUGAACUACAUACGGAUGUAUAUAGACAUAAUUUAGAAUAUAGAUUCAUUCAUUUUGCUUUGUAUGUAGUCCAUAGUUGAAUCUUUAAAAAGACAAUUAGCUAGGAACGGAGGGAGUAAGUUAUUUAGUGUGUAAGUUGGAAAGAGACAGGCAAAUGUAGCUGUACUUCCAUUAAACUUGGUUAGAAUUUCAGUUGCCUGUUUUAAUUAUAAUUCAUAUUCAAUAUGCAGGUUCCUAUCCGGGAUGUUAAUUCCCCUGCGAACCUUGCCAAACAAUAUAUGAGCUCCCGUUAUUCUAGAGAACCCCAACAGAGUAAUUUAAGGAGCCAAGUACUCUUUGGUAACAAAGCGGAAGCAAGCAACACUGGCUAUUAUAUGACUUCUGGAGCACCACUUGUUCAGGAGCUGAAUCAAGUUAACAAUGAAAACCCUGGACUUCCUGUGAAUGGCUAUAUGGCUUCAGGAUUACGUGGGCGGUCAGCAAUAUGUAAAAUGUCACGCUCUCCAUUUUUUAAGGUAGCAUUGCACUUCUAUCUCCUGCACAUCAUUCUCUUUCCUUCUCAUAGUUCUACAUUCAUAUCCAUGCGGCAUACUCUUUUCCUUGUAUGGUGCUUGAAUUUUCUCUGUUCUGUUGAGUGAAUUACUCAACAGCAAAACUGUGAUAGUUGUUUUUACUAAAUGCCUAUUUAUGCCUAGCAGGGCCCAAGCUCUUCAAGUGAUAUGAAUGUUUCACCAUUUUCAUUAUCUCAUGCACGAACCCCAAGUUUGGCUGCUGGCGGCAGGCAGGUAAUUGGUGGAAGAUUUCUGAAUUUGAAAUAAGUUACAUACUGCACUGUAUAUUCUUGAUCAUGUUAAAUAUUCAGCUUGAAAAACAUGCUGUUUGUUGAGAAGCAGUUGAAACAUGGUGUGGAUUUAUGGUUGAUACCAGAUCGACCCUUUGAACAUCUUUAUUUAAGUAUAUGGACAAACUGUUGCAUAUCCCAACAUUAAUGAGACAGAAAGUAACAGGUCAUCCUGUUUGAUCGAAACUAGUGGCCUUGUGACAAUGACCCAUUUAGAUUUUAGUCUCGAUAUAAAUAAUAAAUUUAAUAUUAGUGAGGAACAUUCUCCUAUCAGAUUUUGCAUGAUCUGGACUAUAUCUGCCAGAGCUUUUCUUAACCAUCUGUCUUCCUAACAGGUGUUGAAACGAAGAGGAGCGGAGUUUGACAAUGAACUUGGAUCUGUUGGCCCCAUACGCAGGAUUCGUCAGAAGUCGAAUAUGAUGUCUCCUUUUAAAGAUGCUCGCGCUAGUCCUCGGGGAAACUUUCUUCCUACCCGUACAAUUGGUUCAGAUUUUGCCGAAGGCAGUUCAGCACUUCAGGAACCUUCUAGUUCAAAAAGACUAUUGCUUGAAUCUGGUCAAUCUCUGCGGACUGUAGAAAGACAGAGAUAUAGCGAAGAUGGUAAACUUUCUAAUGAUGAUGUUCCUCCUGUCCCAACUCAACCAAACAAGAUGGCUGAGAAGAUAUUUGAGCAGCUUAACAUAAUAGCUCCAUCACCAAAGGGCAAACAGUCUGGGCAACAAUCUGUUGCUGGGAAACCAAGGCAAUCCAUGUCCAAUGGGCCAAAGGGUGUAAGUGACCCCAGUAGUUCCCGACAAUUUCAAGAUUCGGAUGGAAUUAAUCAUCCCCAUGAUUCGGAUCUGAAUGGUUCUACAUUGAAUGAAGACAAGCUGAUGAAAGAUGGAUCAUCAAAAGUUCACUCCAACACGUUUCAUCAGGAUUUAGGCAACAAAGAGAUGAAGUCUGAUCAUGUUGCUAUUCUUAAUAAGCCUGCCAUUUCGGGGAAUUCAUUUUCUGCUACUCCAUCGCGGAAACCAGGUUUUAAAAUGGCUGUUUUUGAGGUAUGGUAGAAAUAUUAACACAAUGUAAACUAGUCAUAUAAGCACUUGUGAUCUGAAAGUUAUAUUUACCAUUUUUUGUUUUGUAUGUUUCAGGAUUUAACUGAGUUAGAUGAUGAUCUGGAAGCCCCUGUCCCAUCAAAGAAUUCGAAAUUUGAGACAGAUGUGAAGGCAACUGAGCAGAAGUUUGAUUCAAAGAUAAAGGAGCAGAAAGUUCAACAUGUUAAAUUUGAGAAGAAAGUUGAAUCAACCUCAUCGAAGGAGAAUGUUAUCAAUUCUUCAGUUACUGAACAGCCUAGAACAUCCACAUCAAAAGAUGUCUCUACACCAGGCUUGUUUUCGUUCAGUGAUCCUGAAAAGAAGGGCACCCCCAAUGUUUCCUCAAAUAACAACAGUGGUUUUACGUUUCCACAUGUACCUCCCGCGGACAGUCCUGAGGCUACUGUUUCAGCAGUUCCACUUGCUUCAAAUAAAGACGAUAAACAGACAAGUGCUUCACCUUUUAUGUUUGGUGCCAAGCCAUCCAGUACAUCAGAUUUGGAAACAUCAACAACUGCUGGUGUUAAAACCAAAGGAAGACCUGGGGAGAGGUGAUUCUCUUGGAACUCUUUUUUCCUCAUUUUUCCUUAAGCACCCUUGUUAAUUAUUUGAUUGCAUACCCAUCUUUUGAAAGAUUUUGGUAUUACCUGGAAGGGAUAGCAUAAAGGUAGGCUACAAAGAAAUUUCUCAGGAGAAGAGAUGCACAUUAGUUAUUCACUUGAGGAGCUUCUUUCAUAUCGUAUUUUGUUGCAAUAAUAUAAAGAUAGUUAAUGUUCGUAUACUUUUGGGUUGUAGUGAAAGUGCUUGUGUUGUUCAGACAUGUUCGUAUACUUUUGGGUUGUAGUGAAAGUGCUUGUGUUCUAUAUCAAUCUUCAGCCCGCCAAGGGUGUGCACCAUGUUCAGACAUGUUUGUAUACUUUUGGGUUGUAGUGAAAGUGCUUGUGUUGUUCUAUAUCAAUCUUCAGCCUGCCAUGUGCACAGACCAAGGAUGCCGUAAUUCUAAGAAGAAUUUGAUACAAGACAACGAACACCUUAAUCUAACAGUGCUACGAAUCAGCAAUACCCAAAUCAGUUAAAUAGGUGUAAAGCGCAAAUAUUGACUACACUAUUGAUUCCCUCAAUGGGCAAAUAUUGUUUAUUAGCGUCGUCCAUGUAUAUACAUCUCAUGUAUCAGUAGCUCAUCGCUGCCCUACUCUGAGAAAUUGUAGUGAGUUUCUCGAGGCCAAUAACAUAUAGUGAGACAGGGAGGAUUGUAGUUACAACUGUGAGAUUUAUAGGACUUAGUCAGGGUAUAGUUUCAAAGAUAAGGGCAUCUUAGUCAUGUUCAAUCAGUAUGGAUCAAAAAAUUGGAGACACAACCCAUCAGAAAUUCUUGUUUCUAUUGUUUAUAAACUCAAAUUUUGUUUUUGAUUUGUGAGGCAUUUAUUUUUCAUAGGCAGUUGCAUUCUACUAUUUGGAGUAUCUGCUAACAUAUUCUGCUACUUGUGUUUCCAGUGCCACCAAGCCUGCAUCAUUGGACACCCCUAAUUUGGAGAAAGGCAAUGGAAGGGGAGGAGCCGGAGACAUCCACAAGUCGUCUGACAAGGUGUUGCCUACAGCUGCACCAACAUUGACUCCACCUCUCCAUUUUGCUUCUGCUGCAUCUGCUUCACCGGGCCUGAGCAAUGGCCUGUCGCACACAUCACCACCAAAGUUGUCAGAUACCACGCCCACUCAUAUACCUGCUGUCAACGCCGCUUCAUUAACUACCAUUGCUGGCUUCUCUGUAUCCAGCAGCAGUCCACCCGUUUCGUCUUCACUUCCUGCAUUUCCUACUAUCAAUUUUGGCUCCAGCACUUCAACAGUAGCAGCACCAAAACCAGAGAGCACAUCCACUGAGACAAAGCCAGCUAGCACUUCACUCUUCGGUACUGUGGGUACUACAGCUGAAUCCAAGUCUAAAGCCCCAGAACCAGCCAGCAAGGCAUCAUCCAAUCUGAAUACUGCGUCUGUCUUCUCAUCAAACAUCACAACCUUUUCGAGUUCUCCAAUCACAUCCUCUUCUACUUCCUCGAGCACUGCAACAUUUUCGUCUUCUCCUGUUGCGUCCUUUAGUGUUGGAACUGCACCAGCUACUUCUACCCCAUCUACUACAUCUGGUGUCCAGCCUGCUUCAACGGCAGCGUUUGCAUUCUCAAGCUCAGGAAACAGCAUAUUUGGGUUCAGCUCUCCAGCUCAAUCUACUGGUCUGAGCACAACUGUUGGUGGCAGUACCUCUCAACCAUUUCCUGCUAGCACGAUCUUUAGUAGCAAGCUGCCACAGCCACAGGGCACAGUGUCACAGCCGCCUCAGAGUUCAGCCACACAGUUUAGCUCUUCAUUCCCGAUUGUUGCUAGUGGUGCGGCAGCUUCGUCAUCGGCACCUGGCACUGUCUCUUUCGGAGUGGGAGCUUCUCCCCCUGGGACCUUGUUGUUUGGAGCGGGAUCAUCUUCGUCUGGUCCUGGUACUGUGUCAUUUGGAGCGGGGGCUUCCUCAUCAGGAGGUCCAGGGAGUGUUCCUAUUGGAGUAGGAGCUUCCUCAUCUGGCACUGGUGUCUCGUCGUUUGGAGCAGGGGUUUCAUCAUCUGGACCUGGGACUGUAUCUUUUGGAGCGUCGCUUUCCUCAUCUGGACCUGGGACUAUGGCUUUUGGAGGCGCACCUUCCUCAUCUGGACCUGGAACAGUGUCUUUUGGCGUGACAACUUCCUCUUCCGGGCCUGUGUUUGGUAAUUCACCGUUUGGAUCUGGAGCUGCUGCCUUCUCUGGGUCUGGAAGUGGGUUUGCAUUUUCAUCACCUAGCUCUUCCACCGCCUCGUCCUUUACAGUGGCUAGUACAAGUAUGUUCAGCAGUAGCUCCACAGCCUCAUCGUCCGCUGCUUUGAGCAACCCUUUUGGUUCAGCUUCGUCCUCUCCCAGCAUGUUUACAUUUGGACAAUCAGCAGCAUCUUCAGGGGGUGCGUUUUCAUUUGGAGCACAGUCAGCUCCAGCUUUCUCAUCGCAAGCUCCUCCAGUUUAUUCGUUUACUUCGGCGAGUGCAAGCAUGAAUUUGUCUACACCACAGCCUGCAUUUGGGAUGACAAAUGCCAACACAGGCUUCGGAAUGGGAUCUCCUGGAAAUGAUCAGAUGAGCAUGGAGGACAGCAUGGCUGAUGACACCAACCAAGCAGCACCCCAGCAAGUGUCUGCACCAGUGUUUGGUUCUUCGGUAUUUGGGCAGCCAGGUGGUUCACCCGCGGCUCCAGUAUUCGGGCAACCAGCUGGUUCGGCCGCCGCUCCAGUAUUCGGGCAGCCGGCUAGUUCACCCGCCGCUCCGGUAUUUGGUGCUCCAGCUGCCCAGCCUGCCGGAGCUUUCCAGUUUGGCGGCCAACAAGGGUCGGUGCAGCAGAACCCGUCAUUUCCAACUGGCGGUAGCUUAGAGUUUCAGGGCGGAAACUUCUCGUUGGGCAGCAUGGGCGGCGACAAGUCCAACAGGCGGAUCAUCAAGGCCAAGAGGACACAGAAGAAAAGGUAGCCCCGCUGUUCAGUUUUGCAUUACAUGGUGGCUAUUUUCGAUGGUGGAAUGUCCGGGAACGUCAUCUGGAUGGGAACUCUGGAGACGGAUGAUUUCGUGCGGUAAUACACAUGUUCCAGCAUGGAGGCUGUUCCACCCACAGGACAUAUAUCUAUCUGGAGGCUGUCAUGCAAACCUCAAAGGUCAGUGUAGAGUAGCCACUCAAUUAUAUUUUCUUGCUUGCUUGGUCGGUCAGGUCAGUCGAAGGGUGAAAAAGCCCCCGGUGGGUGGCAUAUGUUGUUAGUAGUAUGCUUGUGCUCUUGGGGUGUAAAAUGGAACAAACAAGAGUGUAUCUGAAGGUGUAAUUUUUGUCUCAGUUUCUUAUUUGUGUCCGUUAUAGUUGUCUCGCGGCCGAGGUGUAUCUGAAGGUGUAUUAUUCAUUUUGUUCACAUCCAACUGGCUUAGAACUCUAGCCUAGUUUAUUAGAGUGUAAUUUUGCCUCCUUUUCCCUGCCAUGUGGCCUGGUUAUUUUCUUUUAUUGUUUGGGUCCGAUUUGUUUGUCUGGUAUGGAGAGGAAAUGCAGCGCUGUUGUACUAGGAGUAUUAAUUUCUUGUCUCGCACCCAGCACCAGCAGGCUGAGACAGACUUGUUUUGGAAGCACUAUAGCAUGCGUGCUUCCUGGAUGCUUCCCUUCUUUGUGUCAACGCGGCAAUGUGCCGUGUUUGUUAACUGUGCCCGUCCUUCCGUAUGAGCUGUUCCGUUUCAUGGCCAGUCUGUGUUAUCCAUCCCCACGGCGAAAGCGACCGGUUUUCUCCCAUCUGCUUGACCCGUUCUCGAGGAAAAAGGAGCCACAGGUUGAAUUUACAAUCACGUAGCAUGCCGAGGCCACGUCGGUCGCGAUCCGCGUCAGAAACAGAGGAUGUUACAGGGACGUUAGCAGCUAGGCCACCUGCCGCGAAAAGGAGGCCCUACGGUCAGUGCCCCCCUCCCUCCCUGUAAUAGUAGAGACGGCGACGCCCUUUUGACUUGUUCGACAGCGCCAAGCGGCGAGCGCGGCACGACCUGGUCGGCCAGCACACGUACAAGCAGCGGGCGGGCGGACGCGCUUUCUUUUCUUUUUUCUUUUUUCUUUUUCUUCCUCCGAGCUCGCGUAGCGGUUUAGGCACUCCGCCCAGGAAGAAGCCGCGAAGCAAAACGAAACGGCACCGGAAAUUGUAUAUCUAUAUAUGCGACGCGAUCCAUCUUCUUCCUUUCGCACCCCCACUUCGCCUCCCCUCCCUCUUCCCCCGUCCCCGUGCUGUGCGGUGCCAUGUCGAGGUCGCAGAUACUCUAAGUAGCAAGCAGGGGUAGACGCAGCUCGCUAAUCAUCAUUUGCCUCUAAAAGUCUUAACUAAGGGGCGGCAACCACCUCCUGCCCGUGGGUGGAUUUCUUUUCUCUUCAUACGCACAUACCUCCCGUCACGUACUGCUGCUGCUCCUCCAUACUUUUUUGUCUGUCUGUAGUCUUCUCCUUGGUCUUAGAUAUCACGGUUCCUCUCCUCGCGGGGCCUCCCUUGUCCCCUUCCUCUCCUCGCAACAGUAUAUCAUCAUCGCCGAGGCCGAGGGCCCGUGCGAGCUCUUCGUCCACAGUUUUGUUCUCUUUCUUGACGUAUAAGUACGCGUGGUUUCUUGCUAGUUGGUUGAGCAAUUUGGUUUCUUUCUUGCAUAAGCAUUCGCCUUUGACUGCUUCUUUUCUCUCCUUCUUCUCACUACCUGCCGGCUGCGCACCAAGGCCCACCAACCAUCUUCAAUGUGCUCAUUCAACAAUUCUGUCUCUUCAUCGGUGCAUACGUAACGUAACCCCUGUCCCAGAAGCGUCAGAUCAUGGCAUUCGGCGCUCCCGGUGGACGGAAGGCGUUGACUUCCUUGCUUCAUCGAUCCUGCUAGCACUUUCCUUCAAUCCACCCCAUCUCUUCCCGCUGCUUGGAAGGUAACAAUCCUUUCCUUUCCUUCCCUUUCCUCGGUGCGUCGUCUGCGCGUGAUCUGGUGCGGCGCAGAGCACCACGAGUGUCCCGUCCCGUGCUUGCUGCUGCUCCUUGCUUGGAUUUGGAUCCAUCCCAGGAGCAGGAGUGGUGGUGGUGGUGGGGUAGGUGCCGCAGGCCAUUGUCCUGUCCCCCGCGCCCGGCGGUCGAUAAAGAUUCGGCGACUCCGUCUUGGUCCGAUCGUCCCGCCCGUCCAUCGGCAGCGACGAUGGGCAACACGUGCGUCGGCCCCAGCAUCGGCAAGAACGGCUUCUUCCACUCCGUCUCCACCGUGCUCUGGACCAGGCGCCCCGACGGCGACGCCCUGCCCGCCGCCACCGCCAACGCCAAUGGUGGCGUCGCGGACCGCGCGCCGCCGCCGGAUGUGGCCGUGCACAUCGUAAGCAAGGCGCCCGAGCCCGUCAAGAUCGCCCCCGGCACCGCCAACACCAAGCCGGAUGAGGCCGCCAAGGCCAAGGCCAAGCCGCCGGCAGCAGCACCCAAGCCCGCUGCUGCAGCCGCCGCCAAAGAGCAGGACCCCAAGGGGUCCACGGACUCGUCCAGCAGCUCCGGCACCGGCGAGGCGGGCGCCCCCAAGCCGCCGCACCACCGGCCCAAGGUGCCCCCGGUCAAGCGCGUGUCGAGCGCGGGGCUCCUGGUCGGCUCCGUGCUCAAGCGCAAGACGGAGAGCGUCAAGGAGAAGUACAGCCUGGGGCGGCGGCUGGGACAGGGCCAGUUCGGCACCACCUACCUGUGCGUGGAGCGGAGCAGCGGCAAGGAGUACGCCUGCAAGUCCAUCCUCAAGCGCAAGCUCGUCACCGACGACGACGUGGAGGACGUGCGCCGGGAGAUCCAGAUAAUGUACCACCUCGCCGGCCACCCCAACGUCAUCUCCAUCCGGGGCGCCUACGAGGACGCCGUCGCCGUGCACCUCGUCAUGGAGCUCUGCGCCGGCGGCGAGCUCUUCGACAGGAUCGUGCAGAAGGGACACUACACCGAGCGCAAAGCCGCCGAGCUCGCCAGGGUCAUCGUCGGCGUCGUCGAGGUCUGCCACUCCAUGGGGGUCAUGCACCGGGACCUCAAGCCCGAGAACUUCCUCUUCGUCGACCAGACGGAGGAGGCCGCGCUCAAGACCAUCGACUUUGGUCUCUCCGUCUUCUUCCGGCCUGGUGAGUUGGUUGCUGGUCAAUUUGUUGGUGCAACCACCGCCAUUCUGUUACUAAUUCAUCAUGGAGUUCAUCGGGCUCCAUUUUUUCAGAAAAGGAAACACUUGCGUAUGUUUGUUUUUAUUUUCCAGAAAAUUAAAACUGUGAAAACAAUAAUCAUACAAUAAUCAUACAUUGCACUGCAUCUAGAUGGGAAAGAAGAUAUAUAUGAUUUGGCAUUUUGCCACCAUGGUUCUGAAUUUCUGUUCCUUGAUUUGAUCCAUAAUUCGGUCAAGGGCUCACAUCCCAUCGAAACUGAUUGAUGUGACCAUGUUUUGGGCUUCAUAAAGCGUGACAGCAUACUGAAUUUUUACAAUGCAUUGUGCUUUCAGCAACAUGUUUUUUCUUCUUCUGAGAAAUCAUGCCGUUCAACUGCAACCAUAAACAGCUUGGUCGCACAUCCUUAUCAUCCUGCAGUCCGAAUCUUAUCCAUCAGAUUUCAGACAUUCUCCACUGUAAUCUCUGCUAAUCUAAUGUGGAUCUUAAUUAUUCCAGGUCAAAUAUUCACCGACGUUGUCGGAAGCCCUUACUAUGUCGCGCCGGAAGUCUUGAAGAAGAAAUAUGGCCCCGAGGCAGAUGUCUGGAGCGCCGGUGUGAUCAUCUACAUUCUGUUGUGCGGUGUGCCGCCAUUUUGGGCAGGUGUGAAUUUUCUUCAGUUUUGAGUUCUUUGACACAAAAAAAUGCAGGAUUACUCCUCUGCAAAAAUGUAUCCUAUUACCUUCUGGACUAAUUAUGGCCUUGGCCUUUUGUUGAUUAGAGAACGAGCAGGGCAUAUUCGAAGAGGUUCUACACGGGAAGCUCGACUUCGAGUCAGAUCCAUGGCCCAGCAUCUCCGAAGGGGCCAAGGAUCUCGUGAGGAGAAUGCUCCUUAGGGACCCCAAGAAAAGACUGACAGCCCAUGAAGUUCUACGUGAGUCAUUGAAUUUCCCAUCACAGUAGUUAUCUCAGUGGUCCUUAGUGAAUUGUGUCUGAAGAUUGUUAUUUUUUUUUGCAUUGUCUCAGGGCAUCCAUGGGUCCAGGUUGGCGGUCUGGCUCCUGACAAGCCACUGGACUCUGCUGUUCUAUCCCGUAUGAAGCAGUUCUCGGCCAUGAACAAGCUGAAAAAGAUGGCUCUCAGGGUAAGAAGCAUUCAUUUCCCGGCUCGAAAUGAUCGUUUCUUUCACACGCCCUGUCGCUCUCAAUUGUCAUGUUGCCUUUGUGGUCAUCCACCGAGCCACCAAGUGGUGUUGCCUGCCAUUUGGAGCUUGGUGGAUGCUGUCAUGGAGGUGAUUAAGAAUACAAAACCGUCCAAGUCGUCUUGUCCUGACGCGUGUGUAUGUAUGUAUGUAUGUAUGCGUCUGUCCAGGUGAUUGCCGAGAACCUGUCGGAGGACGAGAUCGCCGGCCUCAAGGAGAUGUUCAAGAUGAUCGACUCGGACAACAGCGGGCAGAUCACGUACGAGGAGCUCAAGGUGGGGCUCAAGAAGGUGGGCGCCAACCUCCAGGAGUCGGAGAUCUACGCGCUCAUGCAAGCCGUAAGUUUGUCACUGAAAUCCACACGAGCAUGAUGAAUCCAGUGGAAGAGACUUGGCCUUGACAAGGAGAAUGAAAUGGGACGAAUGCAAUUGCAGGCGGACGUGGACAACAGCGGGACGAUCGACUACGGCGAGUUCAUCGCGGCGACGCUGCACCUGAACAAGGUGGAGCGGGAGGACCACCUGUUCGCGGCGUUCCAGUACUUCGACAAGGACGGCAGCGGCUACAUCACCCCCGACGAGCUGCAGCUCGCCUGCGAGGAGUUCGGCCUCGGCGGCGACGACCUCAGCCUCGACAACAUGAUCAGAGAAGUCGACCAGGACAACGUACGAUGAAUGCAGAUUCGUCAUCUUAUUAAGUAAGGGAAACUAAAACCACACCACCGGAUGAAAUGCUGAUGGUUUUGUUGGGAUGUUUUGGCAGGACGGGCGCAUAGACUACAACGAGUUCGUGGCGAUGAUGCAGAAGCCGGCGCUUGGGCUGGCGAAGAAGGCCGGGGCCGGGUUGGAGAGCAGCUUCAGCAUCGGGUUCAGGGAGGCGCUGAGGAUGGCUUGAAGGAGGAGGAGGAGGAGCUAGGUGGUAGUCAUGGUGACGCUAAUUUCCUUCCUGCUCGUCCAAGAGACUGUUGUUGUAGAGACGUGGUGAGGUGAUUGCUUUUGAUAGGGUUGAAAUGGCAGCAGCUCCUGGCGAGUAGCGGAGGGUCGGGACUCGGGACGACGUGUGUGUGUACUGUGUUAGAGGCAGGCAGGCAGCCCCGGUGAUUUUCUGCUCACUACUGCUGGAUUGGUUCAAUUGUGUAUUGUACUACAAAAGGCAUCCCCCGCCUCCUUGUAACCACACCGUUACAAGUUGUAUACAGUACGGUGACAAGUGAAGCCUGCACAAGCACCCGCUCCUAUGUCGUGCAAUCCUGUUGCACGGAUCUUGGCGCAAGGCUGAUGACAGGUAGAUUUUCAGGAGUCAUUCGCUGCAACCCGCUUUCUGGCGAACGCUCCCUUCUUAUUCCCUCCAAAAUUGAACUCGCGAGGACGUGGUAGCCGCGCUUACCACGUGGGCUGAAGUUGGGGUUGUGAACACUUUGUGAUAAUUUGCUAUUACUCUCUCCGUCCUAAAAUAAAUCUUUAUCUUUACCUAUUAAUAAAGCAUCUAUUGCUUCUGUGGUACCUCAUGCAAAUUGCCCCUAAAGUUUGCAUAAAUUACUCAUCAUCUCACCGGUAAGUAAUAUAAAACGUUUCACAAAACGAAAAAUCUCGGACUGGGCCGGCCCAUGUAAAAACCUCCUAUAUUACGCUUUGCACCCUGGGAGAAUAUCCAGC
rnacentral:lncRNA from 1 species